AGUCGCCACUUGGCAUAAUCCGGUGUGCCAAGUCACCUUUGGAAAAUCCUUUUCGAAAUGGUUUGACUUUAAAAAACUGAUCCACGAACAGAGAUUCCGGCUAAGGAAUUCUGUUGACCGAGGGGAAGGUGUUAGGCACCCCUCGAUCCCGUGGUUCGACCAUGGUCGCUUGGUGGAGCGUAUCGACUAAUUUGACAUUACAAAUGUACAAACCACAUAAACACACAAAACAAGCAAACAAACAAAUCACACAAAAUUCAAAACAAACCAAAAUAAUGUUCAGUCCAAAUUAUACAAUCCAAAAUAAAAGAGGUGCUGAAAUAUNNNNNNNNNNNNNNNNNNNNNNNNNNNNNNNNNNNNNNNNNNNNNNNNNNNNNNNNNNNNNNNNNNNNNNNNNNNNNNNNNNNNNNNNNNNNNNNNNNNNNNNNNNNNNNNNNNNNNNNNNNNNNNNNNNNNNNNNNNNNNNNNNNNNNNNNNNNNNNNNNNNNNNNNNNNNNNNNNNNNNNNNNNNNNNNNNNNNNNNNNNNNNNNNNNNNNNNNNNNNNNNNNNNNNNNNNNNNNNNNNNNNNNNNNNNNNNNNNNNNNNNNNNNNNNNNNNNNNNNNNNNNNNNNNNNNNNNNNNNNNNNNNNNNNNNNNNNNNNNAAAGAGAAGAAAGAAUUGGACCUUAAAUUUGAAGCUUUCAAACUCAAUGUUAUUUGAAUAAAGAGAGUCCGCACCCGAAAAUCUCAAGCCGAACCUUAACACCAACAAUCCAACUCGACAAAUAAUGACCCGUUCACCGUUCACUUUUCACGCUGUUACUGUUCACCAGUUACUGUUCACUGUUACUGUUCACCGGUUACUGUUCACCGGCGCUUUUUUUUGUUGUUGUUGUUCUUGUUCUUGUUCUUGUGAGGAAGAUUAUUUUGUGAUUGUUGUUAUUGUAGAGAAGAUGAUGAUCAAAGAAUGAACCCCCUUUUUCCCUCUUAGAAUUUUUCUUUUAUAAUGGGCAUGGAUUUGUUAUGAUGUGGGAAUUUUGGUGGGUCCCCCUAUAUAUUCUUUCUUUUAGUCUGUUAUUGUGAGGAUAAAAAUCUGAGUGGGUAGGAAGGUGGAAGCUUUUGAUUGGGUAGGUUGUUAGGAUAAGAUAAAUUAGUUAGAGGUAUUGUUUUUUGUUUAUUUUUGUAUUUUUGUGGGAUAUAAUUACAUGGGUUUGGACACAUGAUAAGGUGAACUAAAAAUGAAUAAAAUUAGUCUUCAGGAGGGACAAAAUUAGGUGUCUACAUCAUGCCUCCUUUGAAUGUAAACACGAAGUGUUUUCAGGCAAAGAAGUAGACAGCGAGACCAAAUUUUGACCCGACCAUUAUUCAAAGAAAGAAACAGAAGAAAGAAGGACAACCAGGUCUUGACUUAAGACAUCCUACCUACCCAAGUUAUGAGAGAAUCAAGUCACGGGUAUUUCAAAGGAUUGGAAAGAGAAGGACUAUGCCGAGUUGGAGAGUCGAGUGAGGUUCAGUCAAGGUUCCAGUUCGCGGAUCUGUUAUUACAUCAAAAAUGAAAAUUACACGUUAAAACAUAAAUGAAAUUACAAAAUUCUAUCUAUGCAGCUUCUUCUAGACUUUUGACUUGAGUUUCAUUACCCUAUUCUUCAGGUGGGCUCCUGACUUUCAAUUUUAUCAACUUGUUGUUUGGCUUUCAAUUGUUUCAGCUCAUUGCUUAAAUUUCAAUUUCCUCACCCUAUUUUUCAGGAAGGCUCCUGACUUGAUAUUUUUCAAUCUGCUAACUUUUAACUUUUCACGUUGUUGCUUUAUUUUCAACUUCUUCACCUUGUUGCUUGACUUUUAACUUCUUCACUUUGCUGCUUGACUUUUCAUUUCUUCACCCUAUUCUCCAGGCGGGUUCCUGACUUGCUAUUUCAUCAACUUGUUGACAUGUUUUCAACUUCUUCACCCUGUUCUGCAGGUGGGCUCCUGACUUGAUAUUUUUCAAUCUGUUUAACUUUCAAUUUCUUCACCUUGUUGCUUGGUUUUCCAUUUAUUCGCCCUGUGCUUCGGGUAGGCUCCUGAAAUCACAUCAAAACUAAAAAGAAAAUUAUCCCAAACAAAUAUUAUUAUAAAGAGGUUUUAUUUGCCAGAAAAGUANNNNNNNNNNNNNNNNNNNNNNNNNNNNNNNNNNNNNNNNNNNNNNNNNNNNNNNNNNNNNNNNNNNNNNNNNNNNNNNNNNNNNNNNNNNNNNNNNNNNNNNNNNNNNNNNNUAACUAGAAAGUGUAUCUUCUAGAGAUACAAGUUUAAGUUAAAAGUGUGUCACCUGACAAAUGAAAACUAGCAAGGAAGUGCGUCUCCUAAGGAUUAAGUGCAAUAACUCGACUAGAAAGUGUAUUUUAUAGGAAUCAAGACUUAAGUUAGAAAGUGCAUCACCUAAAAAGCAAAAUUCAAAUUACCCAAUUAAGGAAGUACAUCUCCUUACCAAUGUUGCUUGAAUUAUCAAAAUAAGGAAGUGCAUUUCCUUACCAAUGCCGCUUGAAUUACCAAAAUAAGGAAGUGCGUAUCCUUACCAAUGCCGCUUGAAUUACUCAAAUAAGGAAGUGCAUCUCCUCACAAAUGUCUCUUGAAUUACUCAAACAAGGAGGUGCGUCUCCUUACAAAUGUUUCUUGAAUUGUCCAAACCAGGAAGUGCAACUCCUUACAAAUGUUGCUUGAAUUACCCCAAACAAGGAAGUGCGUCUCCUUAUCAAAUACCAUUUGAAUUACCCAAACAAGGAAGUGCAUCUCCUUACAAAUGUUGCUUGAAUUACCAAACAAGGAAGUGCAUCUCCUUACAAAUGUUGCUUGAAUUACUCAACAAGGAAGUACGUCUCCUUACAAAUGUUUCUUGAAUUACCCAAACAAGGAAGUGCAUCUCCUUACAAAUUGCUUGAAUUGUCCAAACAAAGAAGUGCGUCUCCUUACAAAUGUUGCUUAAAUUAACCAAACAAGGAAGUGCAUCCCCUUACCAACACCGCUUGAAUUACCAAAAUAAGGAAGUGCGUCUUCUAACAAAUUUUGCUUGAAUUAACCAAUCAAGAAAGUGCGUCUCCUUACAAAUGUCGAUCGAAUUACCAAAUAAUGGAGUGCGUCUCCUAACAAAUGUCUCUUGAAUUAAUCAAACAAGGAAGUGCAUCUCCUCACAAAUAUUUCUUAAAUUAACUAAAUAAAUGAAGUGCAUCUCCUUACAAUAUUGCUUGACUUGUCCAAACAAGGAAGUGGUUCUCCUUACCAACAUCGCUUGAAUUACAAAAACAAGGAAGUGUGUCUCCUAAUAAAUGUCUCGUGAAUUGCUCUAAUAAGAAAGUGCAUCUCCUUACAAAUGUUGUUUGAAUUACCCAACCAAGGAAGUUCGUCUCCUUACAAGGAAGCGUGUCUCCUAGAAAUCUUUAAUUAUGAGUUUUACCAGGGCUUUGAAUACCAAAUAUGUGCAGAAAUAUUGUAUUCUUCAUUUGUGGAAGUUCGGUAUUGCAACUUUUAAUGUUUAGGCUUUGAAAUCCUUGAUUCGAAGGUAACAUGUGUUCCUAUUUCAUACAAAGAAAACUUGUUAGUUUAAAAACAUGGUGGCUGGUUUGCGGCUUUGGCUUUCAUGGAAAUUGCUCUUGCCUCAGUCGCAUUUAAUCUUGCUUUCAACCAUUAGCAUGUGUCACUGGCUUGCUGUAUCACUGACCCGAACUCAGAUUAUUAAGAGUGACUCUGAAACAAAUACAGUAUCCCUGCUUUGUCAUGCUUCUCAGAUAAACCCUUUGAACCUUGGUACUUCCAUGAGUUCCAAGACUUGUCAGUUGACAAAACUUUCUGCAUGCCUUGUUUUGGCUCACAAUCAUGUCUCUUUCAUGUGCUGGCCUUUUGUCUUGCUUUCUGCAAUUGAAGAAGUUGGUAGCCAGUUUUAAAAUCUUUUCUCACUUGUUUUGACAUAGACUUGACUCAACAACAAGAGAAAAAUGACAAUGACUUUUAUUUGGAUAAUUGACUCAAGAAAGAUAAACAAAAUAAAGAGAAAAAGAAAAGAUAAUGAAUGUCCCAAUUGAAACAAAGAAAUAAAAAUUUAUCUAAAAAUGACAGUCAACUCCAAAGAUUAUGCCAUGCAUUUUGGGUCAGGGUGCCUGACCUUUCCAUCCAAACUUUCUACCAAUUGUUGUUAAGUUAAUAGCCUUGAAACUGAGUUGUUUCCUUAGGUCAAUUGCAUUUAAGACCUCAUUCAGCUAGUGGUGCCUUGGAGGGCUUUUUUUUUUCAACAAGCCUCUCUCAUUUUUUCUAGAUUACCAUUGCCUUAUGGUGUCCGUGAGGGUUUUUCACCAAUGAGACUCUCUUAUUUUUAUUUGUCUCAACUCACCAUCGUCUUACCGUGCCUGUGAGGGUUUUCACCGAUAAAACUCUCUCAUUGUUAUCUCUCUCAGCUUACCAUCGUCUUACGGUGCCCAUGAGGGUUUUCACCUAUAAGACUCUCUCAUUUUCAUUUCUCUCCUGAUUCUUUAUGCCAAGGAAGACAAGUAGUUCCCAAAAUGCAUCAUCACAUCUAUUGCAUGCUUAGCCUUAACAUUCUCAAAGAUUNNNNNNNNNNNNNNNNNNNNNNNNNNNNNNNNNNNNNNNNNNNNNNNNNNNNNNNNNNNNNNNNNNNNNNNNNNNNNNNNNNNNNNNNNNNNNNNNNNNNNNNNNNNNNNNNNNNNNNNNNNNNNNNNNNNNNNNNNNNNNNNNNNNNNNNNNNNNNNNNNNNNNNNNNNNNNNNNNNNNNNNNNNNNNNNNNNNNNNNNNNNNNNNNNNNNNNNNNNNNNNNNNNNNNNNNNNNNNNNNNNNNNNNNNNNNNNNNNNNNNNNNNNNNNNNNNNNNNNNNNNNNNNNNNNAACAUUUUGUGACUUUUUUGUAACUUUUUGACUUUAUCUUUUUACUCGACACUAUUCUUUGAACUUUGCUUACUCUAUCUUGAUUCCAAAAGAGGGGUAUGAAAGAAAAUAGGACUAAAUCUCAAAUGGGGUAAACAAAGGAUGACACGAUGUUUGGAUAGCAGAAUGAAAUGCCUUCGUCAUAUCAAUCCUUGAAAAUGCAAGUACAUAUCAUGUAAUAUGAAAGUGAGAGAUGAAGAUCAUUUGCGACAUCUUUUUAAGUAGAUUGAGUUUGUGCGUCACUACUUCUUCUACGAACUCCGCCUUUGUUGUACAUUCCUCACAUCGAAUGACUCAUGGUUUCGUGAAGCUACUUAUCUUCUUAUUAGUCUUGAUAUAGGGAUCACACAUCCACUAUUUGACCUAAUUGGGACUUUCCUUUCGAUCGAUGACCAAGUUGUUCUUGUGAUUCUCAAAAUAAUUGUCUUAACUUGUCACCAAAUAUCUCAGCACUCUAUCUAUUUUCUCAUAUGCUCUUUUUUUCUAAAUUUAACCCUUUGAUUCAAUGUUCAUGCUUAAACUGGAUUUUAAGAUCUGGCUGAAAAUUUUAUUAGCAUGUCAUAUCACUAGAAUCAACACAAAAUGUACAUUGUAAAGAAAACAAACAAACAACACAUAUUUAAAACACAAAGGAAAAUGAGACACUUCAUUUAGUAGAAACAAAAGAUAGAAGAGUUUGAACAUAAACAACAAAAGGACAAAACAUGACAGAUCCCGAACUACAACCCUGAAAUAAUUCAGAGAACAGAAAAUAAAACAAAACAAGCUACCAAAUCCCUUCCUGGUUAGGAGAGGGGUGACUUCUCAAUUGCUCAGCCUGAUAUCUUAGCCACUGGUUUGCAUAUCAGCAUGACUAGAGUUUUUCUCAUUGUCAAUCUUCUGCACCAUGAUUGAUUUAUCUUGAAUCAUCUUUUCAAUUUCUCUUUUCAAAGUACGACAAUCUCCUGUGACCCUGAACAUUGGAAUGAUAUGUACAUCGUACAUUAGGAUCAAAACUUCUUAAAUAUGGGUUAGGAGUAUACCCAAGGAGAGGAGUGAUCAUGCCCUACUGUACCAAUCUCUGGAAUAAAAUUGCAUACGACUCUCCAAUGGGUGUGAAGCUAUCCCUCAACUUCUGUCUCAUUUUAUUAUUUGGCUUAAAUUAAAAACCAGGACUAGAAGGGCUUCGGUGUAUAUGUGGAGUUGGAGGAUAACUCGAUAGAGUUGGCGUGUCCCAGUAUGGGUAAGAUGGGGGUUGAACAUAUGGUUGCACAUUAUACACUUGAUAUGGAGAUGGGGGAAUGGAAUAUAAUGAAUACAUAGGUUUGAGCCCAUGGGAAAUGAUGGUAUAGUCUUCUUGCCCAUGCCUAUUGUCCAACUAUAUAGCAGAUGCAUCUUCCUCAUUUUUCUUUCCUCCAACACUUCCAGAAUAUUUUUGAAUUGCUUGAGUAGUCGCUUUCAAUGUUGAAAAACUCACAAUGCGACCAGUCUUAAUUCCAUCCUCUAUCAUCUCCCCCAUUUUGAGGACCUCAAUAAAUGACUUGCCUAAUGUAGGUAACAAAUGUUGAUAAUAUGUUUCAUCUUGCGCUUGAAUAAACACCUCCACUAUCUUGCUUUCUUUCAUUGGCGGUUUUACUCUAGCAGCUUGUUCGUGCCAUCUGAUCGCAUACUCCUUGAAACUCUCAAUAUUCUUUUUUUUAUACCAGUUAGGGAUUUUUCGUCAGGUAUCAACUCCACAUUGUAUUGAAAUUGUUGCACAAAUCCAUUAGCUAGGUCAUCCCAACUAAUCCACUUAUCAAUGUCUUGGUCAACAAACCAUUCCGAAGCUAGGCCUGAAAGACUCUCCCCGAAAUAAGCCAUGAGUAGUUCUUCCUUCCUUCUAGCGCCUCUUAACUGGUUGCAAUAAAGUCUCAAAUAUGCUACAGGAUCACCAUGUCUAUCAUACUUCUCAAACUUCAGCAUUUUAAAAUCAAAAGGAAGAUGUACACCUGGAAACAUGCACAGAUCUUUAUAUGAGACACUUUUGUACCCCUCAAGUCCUUACAAGUUUUUCAUAGUCAGUUCCAAACUUUUCAAUUUUCUGGCUAUUUUCUCUUGUUCUUCUGUUAUAACAGGCUUCUCGGUAUUUGGAGGAAAUUCAGGCAGUUGAGGGCAGUCGUAAGGACCAAUCGACUUAAAUGUGGGCUCGAGAACGUAAUGCUGAUCACUAAAACUAUUCAAUACAGGAUCGCUUGUAGAGUGAGGAAUCACAACCUUUGGAUUAACAUUAAAAGCAGGAGCUUCAGACAGGAGUGGGGCUCCGAAAGCAUGAAUAGCAGCUGGAGCCGAGUAGAUGGUAGUCUUGGAUUGGGGAGUGAGGAAAUGAACCUUGGAAGUGGUUGGAUAUUGUUGCCUCGGAGUUGAUCCUGAUGCAUGUUGUGGCAUAUCAACAAAAAUGGGAAAUUGUACAUGUGACACAGGAGACAAGCUAGAAAGAUAUUCCAGAUUAUCAGUGGGAACUGGAGGAAGCGGCAACCCAUUAGCCCAAGCUCGAUGCAUUUCUAUUAUUUGCCGCCUUAAUUGCCAAAUCUCUUCAUUAUCUCGUACAUUCUCAUUUCCCGAACUCCCUAUCUGAUUAGUGACAACUAACUCGGUAUCCUUGUUAGCCAUAACUUCCUCUGUGACUCGGAGCAAUAUGGAGGACCAGCCAAAAUGCUACAAACCAAACAUCUUAAACUAACUGGACAAGAGAUAGCAAAUGGUUAGAGUUCAACAGUUUUUCAAAACCAUUUUUUUCUUGAAAAGAUCACCGAACCCAAGAAGGGCACCUACGUAUCUCACUCCCGAAAGAGGAGAAUCAGGUGUGCGUAGUUCGUGAAGUCUUGCCAAAAUGGUCGAUUAAAAUCUUUUUCUUUCUUUUUUCUUUUUCUUGAAACUUUAAAAAGAAAAGAAAAAUAAAAAUUUGUCAAAAGAAAUGAUGAAAAUAUUUUUGAAUUCUUCGGCUUUAACAUCCCUAUACAAAAUGAAACCUAUGAUUACCAAAGAAAAUCUUUUUGGGUUUUUGAUUUUGAAUUUCAUAUGAAAACGAAACUUGAACCUAUUAAAUGAAAAAUCUUUUUGUAGUUUUCUUUUAAAGAAGUAUAUGAAACGCCUACGCUAAAUGGAGAGUGAAGAAAUAUUUUUGAAUUUUUCAAAUAAGAUCCCUGAACCAACAAUAGGCUGUCUAUGUAUCUCACUCCCGAAAGAGGAGAAUCAGGGGUGCGUAGUUCAUCUAGAUUGAACAAUUAAUGAUUAAAUAACAGAUGACACCCUGACUUGAGACACGACCAAAGACACAUGAUGAACAAUAUAGCAAAGUCUUUUUUUUUUAAAUUUUUAAUUCGACACUUUACAUAAAAAAUGACACCAACAGCUAUGAGAGAAAAAUCUUUUUGGUAUUUUCGUUAAAUGAAAUGUACAAAACUUCUACCACCUUUUUUUGAAUUUUUCUUUUAUAAAAAGCUGCUAAAAAAAUCUUUUUGGAGUUUUCGAAUUGUGAAAGCUUGCUAAAGGAAACAAAAAGAAAAUCUUUUUGAUUUUUUUCCUUAUUUUUGAAUUUUUGAAUCGUGGAAAACAAAAGCCAUAAAGAACCUAAAAACUAUGAAACUCUUAUUUGAUUCACCUUUUCUCUUUUUUUUUCUCUUUUUUUUCAAGCACACCUUACUUCUAGCACAUGUUUUCCCCGAAUCAGUCCGUUAAAUGACCACAUUACCCUCAAAGAUGCAACAUUUAGCACAUGGGGAUGCUUUAAAGGUGAGUCUCCUACAAAGAACUAUGUGGGCCCCGCUAGGUCUCAAUAUGAUGCACAUAAGAAUGACCUAAAGGCUGACCUACGUUGUAGUUUACUAACAAGUCCAUUCGGGGGAGCAUAUGGUUGAUAGUGGCUGCUUUGGUUUCCACCUACUCCAUACAUCCAACGGCUGCCCCCCUAAAAUAAGGGUGACUCAACUAGAGUUCGUGUGCACGACGUGCACUCCGGGACUUGUUACAGAAAGAAUUAACUCGGGUUAUGCAAAUGAUGCCAGAUAUAAAGCGGUAACACAUAAAGAAAGAAAAAAAAACUAUAAACAAAGAGCACAGAAAUGCACAACAGUGAUAACGAUAACACAAACAAUAAUCACAAACAAUGUUUAUACACCCAUAAUGCCAAAUAAAGCCGAUACGACUCCAAAAAAUAAGCCCGAAUUCUGAAAAGUCCCCAGCAGAGUCGCCAGAGCUGUACACCCCUUUUUCAACUCCAAAAAAAGAUAUGUAUUUUAAGUUUGAAAGGGUUUUAUUAUUAAGGUGACAAAAAUAAAAAGUUUGUUUAAAAAAAAAAGGAUUAUUUACAUUAUUUUUUUCUUAUUCAGAGUCGCCACUUAGCAUAAUCCAGUGUGCCAAGUUACCUUUGGAAAAUCCUUUUCGAAAUGGUUUGACUCUAAAAAACUGAUCCACGAACAGAGAUUUCGGCUAAGGAAUUCUGUUGACCGAGGGGAACGUGUUAGGCACCCCUCGAUCCCGUGGUUCGACCACGGUUUCUUGGUGGAGCGUAUCGACUAAUUUGACAUUACAAAUGUACAAACACAUAAACACACAAAAUAAGCAAACAAACAAAUCACACAAAAUUCAAAAAAAACCAAAAUAAUGUUCAGUCCAAAUUAUACAAUCCAAAAUAAAAGAGGUGAUGAAAUAUAAAACCUAUUCUAUUCUAAAAUAAUCCUAAACUAAACUCCACCCGAUGUUCCGGGCCUUGAUCACGAGCCUCCUUUGCGUACAUGCUACUUCGGGGCAUUCUCCGGAUAAAUCAAUACAAAUCCUUCAGGGCAUUUCCUGGCCAAAUGAGUACAAUUUAAACUUUUCGUGUAAUAAAGUAGAAAGUACCAUUCACGCACAUAUUCAAACACUUCAACAAAUAGUUAUUCCUAAAUUUGCCUACCCGGCCUACGUUUGCCUACCAAGUUCAACGUAUCACAAUUCUAUCAUGUUCAACAUUAUCAAUACAUCAAAAUUAAUCAAUAUUCAUUUUCCUCCAUUUUUAAUCCCCACCCUAAUUCAUUCUCAACCACGUGAUUAACCCAUUUCAAUACACAAUCCACCAAUCGAGAAUAACGAAAAUUCACCAAUCAUGCUUAGCACAUCACACACCCAAAUGUCACCAACAGUUCACAUCAACAAACAAACCACGAUAUCGAAUCACAUGCAAUCACAAUAACCCGUUCACCGUCACUUUUCACGCUAUUACUGUUCACCGGUACUGUUCAUCGGUUACUGUUCACCGGCUCUCUUUUUUCUUUUUUUGGUUGUUGUUGUUGUUGUUGUUCUUGUGAGGAAGAUUAUUUUGUAAUUGUUGUUAUUGCAGAGAAGAUGAUGAUCAAAGAAUGAGCCCCUUUUUUUCCCCUUAGAAUUUUUCUUUUAUAAUGGGCAUGGAUUUGUUAUGAUAUGGGAAUUUUGGUAGGUCCCCCCUAUAUUCUUUCUUUUAGUUUGUUAUUGUGAGGAUAAAAAUAUGAGUGGGUAGGGAGGUGGAAGCUUUUGAUUGGGUAGGUUGUUAGGAUAAGAUAAAUUAGUUAGAGGUAUUGUUUUUUGUUUAUUUUUGUAUUUUUGUGGGAUAUAAUUACAUGAGGUUGGACACAUGGUAAGGUGAACUAAAAAUGAAUAAAAUUAGACUUCGGGAGGGACAAAAUUAGGUGUCUACACUAUAUAAUCUUAACAAUUGUAUAAUGAAAUCUUAUACAUAGAAUAAUGCUGCUAAUACAUAUUUUAAUGAUAACUAAACCUUUAACAGACGUGGUUGUCCAGAAUCAUCAACAUUUUUCUUACUUGACCAUUUUGGAGCUAUCUUGUUUGAACUUGAACUCACAACUUCCCUCAAUUUCUUCAUUGUUACUGGAUUGUUUCAGUGCUUUGAAUGAUUCUCUGGGAAAUUGGGUUUUUCAUAAUCAAAAGAACCAAGAACAAAAUCAACAACGGGAAUAACAAUACGCGACCAUUAAAUGGAGAAGAUUCAACUUUUCAGAGAAGCACAUAUUCCCGAAUUCAGAGAAGCAUAUAUUGGAUAAAAUUGUAGUUUUUUUCUGGGUUUUUGAUGAAAAUGGAGAAGAUUUUAUCGAUUUUGGACGGAGAAAAGAUAAUUUUGGACGGAGAAGAUUUUGUUGAUUUUGAACGAAGAAAAUAGAGAAGAUUUUUUUUUUUUGAAGCGAGAUUAUUGUAGAUCAGAAUUUAUGGGUGUGGAGAGAUAAUAAAGAGGUUUAAUGCAGAUAGAUAAUUGGAGAGAUAAGGUAGGAAGAUUUUAGGAGGAAAAUAUAGAGCUAUUUGGGAUGUAUAAGAAGGAAAAGAGAGAAAAUAAAAAAGGUAGGGAUUUAAGUAAUUAAUUUUAGAUUUUUAUAAUUUAUUUUUCAAUAUGAGAUUUUAUGUAAUAAGGUAAAGUUAGCUUGUGAAUAUAUGUAAAUUAAACCAUAAUUAGUAUUUUUAGCCAACUGUUCAAAUGUGUAACUUUCGUUCCAUUUCACAAUUGGCCCUUAUUAUGGGCCACUAGUUGUUGGGCCUCUUGAGAUAUUUGCGUGCUCCAAUAUCCUGGAAAGCCCAAUGCAUAAGAUAAUGGGAGAUAGGACCCUUGCAAGUUAGGUUUAGAGGUAAUUGAAUUGGGCUUGCUUAUUGCUUGAACCAACAACCAACCCAACAAUGGCAAGACUUAUCAUAUACACCUUGACUUAUCAUAUUUAAGGAAAAAUAAUAUAAAUAUACACCUUGACUUAUCAUAUUUAUAAAAAUCUUCACCCUUACAAAGUAAUUCCAAAAAUUCCAACUAAUUAUGUACCUUCCUUAGAUGUAUGGAGGAGCUAAUUAUGUACUCGACAGACCCAAAAUCUGGAAAAAUGUAUCGGGAGCUAAUUCUGUAUAUUUAGAAGGAAAAUGUAUCUUUGUUGGAUGUAUUAUGUCUCUCGCCAGACCUGUAAUCGAAAAAAUAUAUCGAAAGCUAAUUGUGUAUCUUUACAAGCGAAAAAAUUAUAUCUUCGUUGGAUGUAUCAGGAGCUAAUUAUGUAUCCCACAGACUCAAAAUUUAGAUUUUCAGUAAUUAUACAAAAUGUCAAAAUUUUUCUGUAAUUAAGAUCGAAACUAUGGGGAUUUUUGUUGUUACCCCUAAAUUUAAACUAACAAACACAUAUGUGUAUAAAUAGUGUACAAGCUAUGUAUAUUAAUUUUAAAAAGGCAUAAUACAUAAACAAGCAUUCGAACUUGAUCUUAUCUGGCAAGUAAACAUUCCAACUUUAAGAGUGCACAUUCAGACACUUUUACUUUAUUUCAACUGGUAAUUAAACACUAGAACUCGUCCCCAUUGUGUCUCAUGGACAGCCGACAUUGACACAUAAAUUUUGAGGGUAUCUAUAUCACUAUAUGAUCAUUAAUAAGUUAGAGUGCAACUGACACAAUAGAAAUGAAUUAAGGUGUCUAGAUGUGUACUCAACAUUGAAGUGUUUAUUUGGCCGUUAAAGCUAAAUUUAAGUGUUUAUUUAUGUUUUAUGCCAUAAGAAAAUAAAUAGCAAAUCCAAUCGGCUAUUUGGGUAAAAUCCCCUUCAUCCAAGCUUUUGAAUCCAUUUUUUCUAAUAGGCAAGUAUGUGAAUGAUUCUUUCUCUUGAAUCUGAAAUGGUCUGAUAGCUUCUUUUACUUUACUUUUCUUCUUUUAUUUCUUCAAUUAAUCAAUUCAACAAUUCAUGCUUUAUCAAAAAGAACAAAAGAAGUAUCAUUAACAAAUUAAUGAGACAUUACUUUAAAUUUGUACCCAUCUAAUUGCUAAACUUUACUCCAUAUGGUCUUUUUAAUAAUAGGACAUAAUCUUUCAUUUUCGUAUACAUGUUAUGCUAGAUGCCACAUGCAAAUACUUUUAAUUAAGUAUUAACGUGCCGUUUGGUACGUGGUAUAAGAUGGGAUAUUCCAUGGUUAAAAAUUUGAUACUAAAUUUAUACCAUGUUUAGUUGAUGGUAGAUUUAUCUUGGGAUUAAUUUAUACCAUCAAUCAAACAUGUUAUAAAUCUACUUAAUUAGUCUUGAGAUAUUCCAUUUUAUCCCAUCCAACAUGAUAUUAUUUUAUAUCUCCUCCUAUAUGGUAUAAAUUAAUCCAAACAUUAUAAUCCAGUACUACAGAAAUAAUUUAGUAUAUAUAUCAUAUGGCCAUAGUUUAUUCGGAUACGAUAAGAUUUGGCCAUUUAGUCUACGUAUUUGCCUUGAUUCUAUUUUAUAGUUUUAUAAAAUUAGUGAUUCUACAACAUUUUCCAAAGAUCAAUAAGAUUAAAGAAAUAUUAGGAAUAAACACGAGGCAAGAUAGUAUUCACUAGAUCCAUCUCAAAUAGAAGUUACUUGUAAUAGAAGUAGCUAAUGAGCAGUUUGUAUAUAAUAAUCAACAAUAAUAAAAAAGAGAAGCAAGGAUGUCAAGAUUUUAAAAUGAAAACUCUUUUGAAUAAGAGAAACGAUUUACGGGUCAAGAAGAGCGAAUUGAUCUACUACAAUUCUCAUGAGAGGCAUAAUAUGGUAUAAAAAUUGUUUUGUUAAUAGUAUAAAAAGGAUAUAAUACAUCAGCAAACGCUCAAACUUGGUCUCAAUUGAUAAAUAAACACUCAAAUUUUGAUUAUUCGCAUCUAGACACCUUAACUUGGUCUCAACUAAUAAUUAAAUACGCCAAUUCAUUUCCAUUGUGUUUUGGGACACCAGAUGGUCACAUGUACACAUAAAUUUUGAAGAUGUUUAGACAAUCAUUUUGUAAGUUCGAGCAUCUUGAAUAUUACUUAUCAGCUGAGGCCAAAUUAUGUCGGUGAAAAGUGAGGGUCCCCAAGUAGUGGGAGAGCAAAGUGUGUGGAGUGGGUUGUAACUUGUUAAAACUUGUACGCCUCAAAGCGUAAGAAGAAGAAGUACGACGAGUGUUGAGAUGAGUUUUUCUAUUUUUAAUGAUUGCUUCUUGCUUCAAACUCGACGUAAUUUUGCUACUCUUUUUCUAAAUUACUAGUGUAAUUGCACGUGACUCACACACGUAUAACAUUUGAUUAUUUAAAAUUAAAUAAUUUUAUCUAUUAUGGAGAUUUUUAAUAAAAUAUAAAAAUUCAAAUCACCUUUCAAAAAUCUUUUAUACUUUAAUAUAAUAAUGUAAGUAUAAACAUAUACACAUAUAUAUUUUUCAACUCCAAGUGAUUAAUAGAUCAUCACUUUUGUAUUUGCGUACCUCUUUUUCUUGUUGUCACAGACUAAGAGAGACGCAUCAAUUUAAAUCGUAUUUGUGUUAUGAUUUAUAUAUAUAUAUAUUUAAAAUAUUUUCUUAUUUUUAAAGUCAAAUCUUUACAAAUUUAUUGAUUACAUUCUAUUACGUACUUAAAACAUUUAAAAAUCUGAAGCUUCUUAAUUUAUUCUUAUUCUAAUAGUUUUGUAUUUAUUUUUAGAUUUUUCAAUUCUUCUUAAAAUUAAAUUUAAUUGAUUUAGAAUUCUUAAACUAAUAGAAAAAGUACCAGCUGUUAUUAAUUUUGGCGACUUCUAAUAAGAAAAAGUUUUACCAUAAAUAUAUUUAAUUAUUCAACUCUUAAAUUAGAAAAAAGAUAGAGAAAUUUUGUUGUCUUCUAAAAAAGGAAAAGUUUUAUCACACAUAUAUUUAAUUAAUUUUCAACUCUUAAAUAUUAGGAAGAAAUAGCGAAAAAGACGAUUUUAUAUAAAACAAGGACUUUUAAUGAAGGGCAAAAAGUUUAAUUCACUUUUCUAAGGAUUUUCACACUUUUAAUAAAUUAUUAUAUUAUAGAUAUAGAUAUAUUAUAGAUUAUAGAUAAUUAAUAAAUAAAUGCAAAUUCCUCAGCAUCUGAAAUUAUAAUAGGUAUAAUAUUCCAUUUGUCUUCUUUGACGUAUUUUAGUUUGAUUAUGCACGAAGGUUAAGAGAUUUUAAUCAAGACUUUUAAAUAUUAUGACUUUAACUUGUAAAGAUAUGAGUCGAACUCAUCUCCAAAAGCUAGCUAGGAGGAAGGGGAUUGUCUAAGACUCCAAGUUCAUAUAAACAAAUUACCGAUUCAUUCUUAAAUUAAUGUAGGACUUUUACCAUUCUAACAUAACUUAAAGAUGUAUAUGCAAUGUACCAAAAUGUUUUAUGAAUCUGGUGGCGCUAAGCAUGUCAUGUGAGGUAGUGAAAUUAAAAGUUCCUUCUUUCUUUUUAUGUGGAACAUUUUCCAUUUUAAUAUGAUUUGUAGCUACAAAUUAGUAUAUGUCCAAACCAACUCAGCUUACUUCUUACAUCUUAUCCUUUAACGAAGUCACUAUUAUCUUGUUUCCAACUUCAUUUUUAAUUUUAUCUCUCCUAAUAUGUUUAUUCAUCCAACACAACAGUGUCAUUUUUGUAACUUUCCUCUUCUAAAUGUGCGAGUUUUUUGCUGGUCAACAUUUCGUCUCAUACACCAUAGUUGGUCUAACCACCACACAAUAGAACUGGUCUUUAAGUUUUUGUAGCACCUUCUUCUCACACAAAACUUCGAAUGCGAGCCUCCACUUCAUCAAUCCUGCACCAAUACGAUGAGUGACAUUCUCACCAAUCUCUCCAUUUCUUUUGAUAAUAUACCCAAAAUACUUGAAACUUCCUCUCUUUUGGAUGAAUUGCAUAUCGAGACUCACUUCCACACCAUCCUCAUAUAUUACUGUUACAACACUGAAUUUAUAUUACAAGUAUUCUGUCUUGAUCCUGUUCAACCUGAAACCUUUAGACUCCAUAAUCUGUCUCUAAAUCUCUAGCUUAGCAUUAUCUCCAUCGGUAAUAAUCUCGUUAAUCAGAAUUAUGUCAUCCGUAAAUAAACAAACACUAAAACAACUCAUCUUGAAUUGGCCAUAUCAAUUCCUUCGUUACCAAAAUAAAUAAAAACGGACUAAAGGCCGAUCUCUAGUCAUUCAUAUUAAAACUAAAAAAGUACUUCGAGUCUUUUUUGACUAUCCUAACCCGGAUUUUAACUCCUCUGUACGUAUCUUUCAACAUCGGAAAUUCUCUUCUUACUUAUAAUUUAGCAAAUUAUUAGUUUUCAAUCAAUAAUUAUUAAAUGUGAUUAUAUGUAAUUAUUUAUUUAUUAUAUUUCGAAAAUUCUCUUCUUACUUAUAAUUUAGCAAAUUAUUAGUUUUCAAUCAAUAAUUAUUAAAUGUGAUUAUCUGUAAUUAUUUAUUUAUUUAUUAUAUUUGCCUAUCUGUUAGAAGUGCCUCUAAUAAACCCCCCUUGUGUCUCAUUACCAAAAAUCGCAAAUAUAUACCUUAUUUUUUCUUUUUCCUGUUUUUACUCUCUUAUCGUCAUACAUAUUUUAUUUUCUUCUCCCUUUUAGUUCUUUGUUUUUAACUUUAUAAAAAGCUAGAGCCAGCAAGCAGCACUUUACUAAGAGUGAAGCUAACAUGGCAUACAGUCAAGAAAAGGAUCAUCCAAAAGUUAAAACAAUAUUUAGAGAAAAGAAAUUUCUGUUGUAUAUAUACUAUUAUGUUAGGAUCAACUUGUACCAAUAGCAUAAGCAUAAUUUUAUUUUAUUUUACUAAGUCCACUAAGCAAGCACCACAAAGAUCAUAAUUAUAAUUGUGACCGUGGCUAACCCAACCUCCUCAUGGCCCUUGCCAUAGACAAAAUGUUCGUUUUAUGCCUUAUAACUCAAUUUCUUAAAUGAUCACCGAAUUUGUAGAAGUAUUUCACUAAAGUAAUUUUUAAUUUUUUUUUUUUUGACAAUACAGUUACUGAACUUAUAGAAAUAUCUAAGUUAAAUCAUAGUUGGUAGAACUGCUACAACUUUAUUUAGUUACUAAGCCCAUCAAGCAAGCACCAUGUUGGAUCAUGACUGCGGCUUGAGUCACCCCAAUACUCUCACGGGCCUCACCAUAAAUAGGAUGUUGGUGUUAUGAGUCAAUUUUUCAAAUGGUAACUAAACUUGUAGAAAAAUUCCACGAAAGUAAUUUUUGCAAAGCAACACAUAAAUUUUGAUAGUUUGGAAUUUAAUUACAAAAUAUUUCAACAUUUUGUAUAAUUACUGAAAAUCUCGAUUUUGGGUCUAUGCAAGAUGUAUAAUUAGCUCCAGUAUGUCCAACGAAGAUAUUUUUUUACUUUGUAAAGAUACAUAAUUAGCUUCUGAUAUUUUUUCAGAUUUUGGGUCUGUUGAGAUACAUAAUUAGCUCUUGAUAUAUGUUUAUGUUUUUUCCUUGGAUAAUAUGGUCAUUGAACUUGUAGAUAUAUCUUACUAAAGUCAGUGAUAAAAACAUGUUUUAACUUUAUUUUUUAACUAAGCUCACCAAGCAAGCAUCAUGUUCGAUCAUGACUGUGACCUAAUUAAGUUACCCAGCCCCCUCAUGGGCCUUUUCGUAGACAGAAUGUUUGUGGUACCCAAAUAUAUAUAUAUAUAUAUAUAUAUAUAUUUGAACUUAUAGUAUUGCUUUAAAGACAUGGGGUUCUCUGUUUCUUAUAUAAACUGUCUGAUAGAGUAAAAUAGGCUACAAUUUAGAAGGCAUGGAGAACAUGUCUAAUGGGCUAAGCCACCUCUUCAUGACAGUAUUUCUCCAUUGUUUCUCAGCAUUCAUGGUGAUUCCUGCAAUAACUGAUAUCACUAUGUCUGCCCUUUGUCCUGGCAAAGAUGAAUGCUCCAUUGCUAUUUAUCUCACUGGAAUUCAACAGGCAGUAUGUAUUAUCAUUCCCUUUAUCCCUUUAUUUUUGCUUAAUUUUCGUGACAUGUAUCUAGGACGGAUUUUUGUGUGUUCAAUUGAACUUCUUAUUUUCCAUUUUUAUUUACGUAUCAGAGAUAUAAAGGGCUGAAUCACAGUGAAUCGUGACAUCGAGGGCUUUCUAUUGGAACUAUAUAUGCGUGUACAAAAUGUUUAUAACGUACACGUUUAAUAAGAUGACAUUCAUUCUGAUCUUCCUAUAUGCUAGGAACGCUUACUUCCUUCCCUUCAUGCUAAUACUUGUAAUUUUGCUUAUGUAUUAAGUUUUUGUCUUUCCAUUUCUUAGUUGAAAUUCAUAGAUCACUUGCAGUAUUCUUUAUUUUAAUUAAUUAGCACCAUGUUGGUUUCUUAUGAAAUUAUGCUCAUAAUAAAGUGGUAUGCCAAUUUUUAAUGAAAAAAGUGAGGGGCUCUACAAUAUUGUUCCAUGUGACAUGUAUUCCACUGUUUCUACUUUGUUCAAAUGUUAGUAUAAUGUGUUGAAGGAAUUAAAACGUACACAUGAUGAGUCACAACUAUUUCAAUGUCAUACACUUAUUUUAAAUUUUCAAUUCGUCACUAUAUAUCUUUCAAAAUCGCACACUAAGUUUAAAUUCUGAAUCCGUCACUAUAUAUCUUCCAUGCAUGAAGUUAUUUGCUUUAAUUCUAAGUUAAUUGGUUAGUAAUUUGUUUGAUCAUGAGUUAUAUGACUCACUUCCAAGGGAGAGUUGGACUGACUUAGAAGGGAACCCCAAAAAAUUUUUUUUUUUUUAAAAAAGAGAAGAGAAUCAAAGAAAUGCUUUAUCAUAAAACAAUUUUUUAAAGAUUAAUUAGCCAUCUGCCUUAUUAUCUAGCCCCAACCAUCCUCAUAUUAUAUUCUCGUACAUAUGUGCCAAAUUGGCUUAAGUAUUCCUAUGAUAUUAUGAUACAUAGUUCAUUACUUAAUCAUUUUCUCUCCGAUCCUUAAUCAGACAUUUUAAAUUUAAGUUUUAAGAAUGAAGAAAUUGUUCCUCUACAAAUAGAAGCGACAAAUACAAUUUUGAAUUUAUAAUUUUAUACUUUAGAGUACAUUCAACUUCAUUAGAUUUAGAAUAAGUUAAUACAUCGAUCAAAUUAAUAAAUAUCGAAUAUCAAAUGAUUAUACCAAUUACACACACGAAAAAAAACUACAAAAUUUGUCUUUAAGUGAGAAGUUUCCCCUAGUUCCUAUGAAAUUCCAUUAAGAAAGUGAAACUUCUACCAGUUCUAACUUCUAACUUUUUUCUAGAAUAAAAAAUAAUUGUCAUACUUUUGUCAAAUAAUGCAAGUGUCUCAUAUUACAUGCCUGUCCCACUUUAUCUACCAUUUUGUCAUUUUUUAUUUCAUUUUUUCCCUCUAAUUAUUAGUUUUUAUUUUCCUCGAAUAUUUUGUUUUUUCUUUUCACAUUGCUAGUUUGUUGAAUAUGAUGAAUACAAUGUUUUUUCUGAAUUGAUAAGUCGGUAAGUUUUAAUUUUAUUUGGUGAUGGUGCAGAUAAUAGGAUUGGGAUCAUUGAUUAUAAUGCCUGUGUUGGGGAAUUUAUCAGAUACUUAUGGAAGAAAAGUUAUGUUGAUGGUCCCUUUGACCCUUUCUAUAUUUCCUCUAGGUAUUUAUUCAACUUGAUUUCAAUUUAUUUGUUUUAAUUAGUAAUUAAAUACUUUUUAAAAUAAAUUUUUACUAUGUUACUCUAAUUCUUUGAAAAGAUCAAUAAGUGUAUGUUAAAUUAUCCAAAAAUAAUGUAUUUUGAAAAAUCAGAUAUACGACAACAAUAAAAAUGAAAAAUCUAAGUACUUUUUUAUUCUGAUACGAUAAUAAAAACUGAAAAGUCUAAAUACUUUUUUACCAUGAUAUGACAAAUCAUCAAAUAACUCUUUUAGACCAAUUUCUACAAUUGAACCCCUUUAAAUAAAGGGUAAAAAGGGACAAAAAUACACUAGAUGGAAUAAAGGAUGAACACUAUAUAAGAAGAUUAAAAGACCCUAUGAAUGAGGAAGUGAAAAGGCUAAAGUUAUUAAUUAGUGCCAAAAAAAUGUCACCUUCGUCUUAUAUUAUUUAUCGUAUUUUUCUUUUACGUGCCUUUUUUAAAACAUAUUAAUUAAAAGAUUUUUUGAGCAUAAUAUAAUUUUUCUUCAUUCAAUAUUUACUUUAUUGUUUGUCAUAAGUUCAUAAUUGAAUUUUAUGUAAUCUUAAAAACAAUAACUACUUAUAACAAAAUGAAAUGAAAAAUUAUUUUUAUCUUGAGAGAUGACAAAUAAUUCGAUAUGACUAAUUCUACGAAUAAUUUGAGAGAGAAAUUAAGUAUUAGUACUUCCACUCACUUGUGGGAACAUAAAAAGGAAAUUUCUCUUUUUGUUUGUUUGAUUCCUUUCACACAACUUCAUGAGAUUUUAUUAAAGAGUGUCAAAAUAUUAAGAAAUAAAUUCAUGAAGAAAUCAAGGAAUGUCAAAUAAAUAAUAAAUACACAUUAAAAAUAUAUUUUACCUAGCUAAAUAUUGUAAUUUUCCACCCCUCCCACCUCACAAACACACCCGCCCAAGAAUAGAGUGGACUAUUUACUAUAAUGAAACUUGAAUUUUUAUAGAAUUAAAUUCAAAAAUUAUUUAUUCAUCAUAUAUUGACAAAUUUUAUAUUUCCAGUAAUAUUGGCAUACAGCAGGACAAAAUAUUUCUUCUAUGCUUAUUACAUCCUACGAACUCUUGUUGCUAUGGUUUGCGAAGGAAAUGUUCACUGUCUCGCACUUGCCUAUGUGGUAAAAUAAAUUAAAAAUAUAGUUCCGUUAUGUAAUAAUAUAUAAAAAAAAUUAUUUAUACUGACAAUAUAUGUAACUUAAUUCAGGCUGAUGUUGUGCCAGAAAGUCGUCGCGCUUCUGUCUUUGGAGUGUUAUCAGGCAUUGCUUCUUCUGCUUUUGUUUGUGGAAAUCUCUCUACUCGUUUUCUCUCUACUGCUUCGACUUUUCAAGUACGUGACACUCUUUUCUUUUUUGAAACGUCUUAAAAUGUCUAACGCUAUUUUACUAUUAAGAAUAUUGCGAAUUAACUUAUAUUCACUAACAGUAUAGUGGAAUUUUUAUAUCAUUGAUGCGAUUUAACAUAUUACAAGAGGUUAGUCGUUGGGUUUUUUUUUAUUUUAUAAUAUUUGUGUAUAGAAGUUAAAGCCAUAAUAUUGUUGUAUACGUCUUUCAUGAUUUCAAAAUCAUCUUAUAUUAAAAACUAGUUACUACGGGCCCAAUAAAUAUUUUUUUAAAAUUUAUUUUAAUUAUUAUGAUUUAUAGUAUUUUUUUAAAAUAUAUAAUAAAUUAAUUUUUUUUUAGAUAUUUUAAAUUGUUAACUAUUGUAAUUUAUAAUAUGUUUUAUAUAAUUUUUAAAUGCUUAGAUGAUGUUAACUAUUAUAAUUUAUAAUAAAUUUUAUGUAAUUUUUAAAUGUUUAAAUGACCAUAAUAAUUAAUUAUGGGUGAUAUAGUAGAGCUACGAGUGAAACAACAAAACAAACAUGUUUUAAUGACUCACAACAACUAAUUAAACGCAAUACAACAAAAUUACUAUAAAAGAUACUUGUGAAAAAAUUUAAAUGGUCAUAAUAAUUAAUUAGGAGUGACAUAGUAAAAUCACGAUUGAAACAACAAAGAAGACAUGUCUAAUUAAAAGUGAUACAACAAAAUUACUAUACAAAAAUAACUGGGUGAAGCAGACAUGGCAUAAAUAUCUAUUUUACUUUUUGGUUAAACAUUAUUAAUUUUUUAAUACAUAAAUAACUUAUAAUAAUUAAUUAGAGAUGAUAUAAUAAAAUCACGAAGAAAGCAGCUUAUGAAGCAGGCAGGAUCAUAAAUAUCUAUUUUACUUUUUUUUAUUAAAUAAUAUUAAUUUUUUAAUAUAUAAAUAACUAAUAAUAAUUAAUUAGAGAUCACAUAAUUAAAAUCACGGAAGAAGCAGCUGAUGAAGCAGACAGAAAAAGCAGGCAUGUUGACGGAGUGCUGCCUGCUUCUCGUGCCUUUUGCCUCUUAUUAGAUAGUAAAAUUAUAAAUUUCAAUCAGAUGUUUUUGCUAGUAAACCUUAUCACAUGUAUGUUAAGACAUAAUACAUAAAUAUACAUUUAAAUUUGACUUUGGUUGACAAGUAAACCGUCUAAACUUUUAGUAUGUAGGUUCAGACACCUUAACUCAUCUUCAAUGUGUCGGUUGAACGCUUCAAUUUUAAAAAUGAUCAUCCAGACACCCCUGAAAUUUAUGUGCUACAUCAGCUUUGAGUGUCCACGUGAUACAGUGGAGACAAGUUGGGAAUGCUUAGCACUCAUCUUCAAUGUGUCAGUUGGACGUUUCAAUUUUCAAAAUGAUCAUCUAGACACCUCUAAAAUUUAUGUGCCACGUCAGCUUCAGGUGUCCACGUGACAUAGUGGAGAUAAGUUGGAGCGCGUAGUUGGCCAUUGAGAUCAAGUUGAGAUGUCUAAAUAUACACUCUCAAAAUUGGAGUGCUUACUUGCCAGCUAAAGCCAAAUUUAAGUAUCGGUUUACGUAUUAUGCCAUUAUUUAAUUAUAUUUUCUUCUACUGCAGCUAAAAUAAUAUAUAAGUCAAAUUAACAUGUAAUAAUCCAUUAGUUUCCAAUCACACACAAGUAUAUUUUAGUUUAAUUUAUGCUAAUUAUCAAACUAAACUAUUGUUACCAACAGGUUGCUGCAGCAGUAGCAGUGAUAGCUCUUGUAUACACAAGAAUGUUUCUCCCAGAGCCUUUGAUAAAAGAACAAAUUUCUACUAAAGGAACAGACACAAUUUGUCUUCUGGAAAAAGCUCCAAAUAAAAAAUUCCAAUUAUUCAAGACAUCGCCUUCUUUCAAUGAUGUGCUACGUUUGUUAAGUAAUAGGUCAGAUUGUAAAUUCACUCAAAUAUGAAUUAUCAUUUUGGCUUGAGUCGACAUCUAUAUCCUUCAACUUUGAAUGUUCACGAGUAGGCAGUUAAACUUGUAAUAAAGUUGAAUAAGUAGAUGUACAUGUCCUACGUGUCAAUUCACGUGAGAUACAUUCGAAUCGACUUGUAUUAUGCCCCGUAGGAUGCAUAUUGUGUCAUGUAGGGCGCAUAUUAUGCCUUGUAGGAUGUGUGUUAACUUAUUCAACUUUAUACAAGUUUAAGUGCGCCUACUUGUAUACACCCAAAGUUGGAGGUCAUAGAUACCGCCUGAGGCUAAGUUAAAAGAUAAAUUAAUGUAUUAUGGCUUUGGAAUAAACUUUACCUGCAUACUAUGUUGCUCGAACUCUCCAAAUUAUCGCACCCAUUUCAAAUCUUUCAAAAGUUUACUACUUUCAAUUUUGGAGGAUCUGACACACAUUUGGCAGUAUUUUUGAAAAGUUUAAGCAACAUAGAUGUCCAAUACAUUUUUAUUGAUUUUUUUUUGUUUGAAUCUCCUAUUAAUGAUUAUUGUAAUUAAAACUUGCAGCUCCACAUUUUUACAUGCAGCUAUUGUUUCUUUCUUUGUCAAUGUUGCACAAGUUGGCCUUGAGUCUUCUCUUCUUGUAAGUUUCAGCACUUCCCAUUAAUGUGGAAACCCCCAUUCUAUACAGUACACAGAGACGAAUCCAAAAUUUAAAGUUUAUGAGUUCCUACAGUAACCUCAAGUUAAAAUACGUACAAUAAUAACUGAGUUCACAAUUAAAUAUUUAUGCUUCCGCGAAUCCAUACGUUCAACUCGAAAUCCUCCAUUGAAUGUCAAGUAUAAUCUUGGGAUUUUUACACAAAUAGCCAGCCAGAUUCACUGUGUAUUUUUCCUACUCAGUAUACAUAGUAUACAUCGAUUAUACGUCAAAAAUUGCGUUGUUUUUCUUCCCUAAGACAAAAUGGUUUUCUUGAGAUGUAAGCAGUACUUCUUGAAGGCUCAGUUUCAUUUCAACAAAGAUCAAUUUGCUGAUUUGUUGAUAAUUUCUGGAAUUGCAGGAUCUAUAUCACAGGUGAUUGUUUCUUAACAACCUUUUUUGUUUUAUAUUUUCACAUUUUUUACUUUUUGCUUCUCAAUAUACAUAUUAUAUCUUCAAUCUCUUAAUAUUUUUGGCAGCUUCUUCUAAUGCCCAUAUUAGUUCCUGCUCUUGGAGAGGAGAAGUUGCUUUCUGUUGGACUCUUUUUCAAUUGUGUGCAUGUAUAGUACUAACUCUGUCCUUGACUGCAUUUUCAAUUCGACGAUUUCAUUUGACUAUUACAACAUUGCUUUCUAGUUGAAGAUGUUGAAGAUUUUAUUUAACUCAAAAUCAAUUAUGCAGAUGUUACUUUAUAGCAUUGCUUGGUCCUCGUGGGUAAUUUCUGCCUCCUUUCUAGUCUAUUUCAUAUGUUUUAGUCUUUUGCCUGCCUAUUACUCCGUCCGUUUCAUUUUACAUGACUGUUCUAAGUACGCAAGAAAGAAUUUUGAAACAAGUAGUAUUAAACAUGUCAUUAAAGGUAAAUUGAGAAGUUUAAAAUUAAACUGUUACAACAUAUAGUCGUUCCUUCUUAAAACAGAUUUAGAAAGGAAACAAUGUCACAUAAAAUAGAGCGGAGGGAGUAGAUUUUAUGUUCUUCAAGAUACCGCUUAUCUACUUUACCAAAUGAAUGAGGUUAAUUGAGCAGUGAAAAACAUGCAGGUCCCUUAUGCUAGUGCUUUGAUCUCUGUUAUGUCUAUUUUCGCAAUGCCAUGUGUAAGUCGAAUUUAUAUAAUCGUUUGUUUUUCAAAAGUUUGAAGUUAAAAACGCUAAAAGUCGUGCCUGAUUGCAGCUGAAGAGCAUGGCAUCCAAGCAAGUUGGGCCAAAUGAACAGGUUUGUUGUCAAGAAUUGUUCUCAUAUUUUCCCUUCACAUGACACACUAACAUCUUUGAUCAUUUUCUCCCUCUUUUCUUUUUCUCCCCUUUUGUAUUCUGUCCUGUAAACACUUUUGUUAAUGUAUUUCUCCUAUAGUUUCUCGUCAGCCGAUUUCUGUUACUACAUACUGUCUCUUGUACUUUGAUUAUCACACUUCUUUGUUGUAGUUAUUGUUCCUCCCUUCUUUUUUCCUUUCAGAAUGUUUUGGCAUACUUCCGAUAUUAUUUUGCCAUGAUCCCUUCUCAUCCAUUAUUCUUUUUCAAUCUGCUUUGUUUGAGCUGAGGGUUUAUUGGAAACAACUUCUCUACCUUCCAAGGUAGGGGUAAGGUCUGCGUACACUCUACCCUCCUCGAAUUCCACUUGUGGGAUUACACCAGGAGUGUUGUUGUUGUAGAGCUGUAUCUAGCAUGUUUUCAUUGUCUCAAAAUCUGUUUCACUUCCUUUUUCAGGGAAAGGUUCAAGGAUGCAUCACAGGCAUAUGCUCCUUCGCGAGCAUGGUUUCUCCAUUAAUUUUCAGUCCUUUAACAGGUAGCUAAACUCGGUUUCUUUUUCUCCCCCUCGUGUUUGCGAUACACAAGUCAAUUUGAUCUGAUUAUGGUGUCACUUUUUUUCCAGCUUUAUUUCUAUCAGAACAUGCACCUUUCCAUUUCCCUGGAUUCGGUCUAGCCUGUGCUGCCUUUGCUUUAGUAAGUGUUUUUGGCUUCUGAAAUUUGCAUCUUCAAUUUCCUUUAUCAUUAGCGAACGGGAAACAAAUGUAUAAACUAAACUAAAACUGAACAUGUUACAUGAAGUUCUGGGAUUGAUUUUUCAGAUGGUCAAUCAGCUAAUACUUACUAUCUUAUAGUCACUUUCUUCUUGAUAAUAACUAUCGGUUGAGUAGCCAUAUGAGAAAAUAACUCGACAAUUCUGCGAAAGAUCAGGCCGUCAUUAGUAGAAUUGCAUUCCUGAGGCCUACACAAUGUGAAUGUUUUCAUUUAAACUUAGUGUCAUUUUGAGCUCCAUUCCUCAUUUCUUGUGUUCAUAUACUAUCUUGAGCAUGCUGAAUAAACAUUCGCGUAUUGCAUACUGGUCCUGAAGGAUUUCAAAUUUAACAGUAUCGAUGAUUAUGCAGAUGGUAGCCUUCAUUGAGAGCUUCAUGAUAAAUUCAGCUAUUCCUGUAACCGAUUGCAGCCUAAACAAUUCAGAAUCAGCAGAACCUUAGUCUUGCAAUCGGAGCAAAAUGACUCUAAACAAUAAGGCCAUUUCUUAUAGUUCGAUGAUCUAUUCAACUUAAUCAACAAUGUACAUUAUUGCACACAGAAUUCAGCCUGAAAUUCGAUAUGAAGUUUAUUAUGUUGUCGAUAUCAGCAAGAUUAAUUGGCUCCUGACAUACGGAAAAAAACUACGAUUACAGCUGCCUCAAAGAAAAUAUAUUUAGAUUUAUUUGUAAUGUUUACUAUAGAGAAGUGCAGUUUAUCAAUAGUGUUUUUUCCAUCUAAGAUGCUCCACAUUAAUUGUUCAGAGGAAGUUAAAAUAUGUAGAUAUGUAUGAGUAUGACAAUGAAUGUGUAUUAGGAAGUGUUUAUUUUUUCUCCCCCCACUGUUGUUUGAUAUCUUUAAGUGCACCACAUUUCUUUUAAUUUGAUAUCAUAACAUGCCAAAAGUCGUAAGUUAUAAUAUCUCAUUUGUGUCAAAAACACACCUAAUUAAGGUAUUCCGUUUUUUUAAGUUUCGUACCUGAACUAGUGUGAGUUUUCUGCUUGAACUAUCAUCAAACACACCUCAUCUUUCAAUUGUUCCCUUUUCUUUCCUGAAAUAUCUUUUAAGUAAGACGAGCAAAUCUUGACGGUAUCGACAACAUAAACUUCAUGUCGAAUUUCAGGCGGACUUUAAUAGGCCAUAAUAUACACUAUCGAUGAAGGUGAAUAGAUCAUAUAAUUAUCAUCAACUAUUUAUCAAAACACAUCUUAACUAUCAAUUGUUAAUGUUUCCUACUUGAACGAUGGUGAUAGUCAAGCAGGAGACUCACACACUUGAUAGUUCAGGUAUGAAACUUGAAAAAAGCAGGACACUUUAGACAUUGAUAAAUUAGAGUUAAUGGUCAAAACACAUUAAGUUAUCACAAUUUUCACGAGCUUCACACCCCAACUAUCAACAAUUCACGUUUCCUACCUAUAUAUCAAAACACACCUAAAAACUAACUAGGUUAACUAGUAGUUGUUCCUUUCUCAUCUGAAUUAUCACCAUCUACUCAACUAGGUGUAUUUUAGUACAUAGAUUAAGCCUGUCAAACGGGCCGGGUUGAACCGGCCCGGUCAGCCCAUGGGUUGUAGGGUACCGAGUCCCGGGCCGAUUUAAUUUUUUAGUUGGGCUCAGUUAAAUCGGCCCGAACCAAGCCUGCCGGUUAAUCGGCCCCGUUGUCUUUAAAAAAAAAUAAAUUUGGAGAUUUGGGUCAAACUAGCCGUUGGCCCAACGACUAUAUAGCCGUUUUUGGGUCCAAACGGCUAGUUUGGGCCCUUUUAUUAAUUUUUUUUCAUUUAAAAUAUUUUUUAAUCCCAAAAAAAAUUCUGUAAAUACCCUACACCUUCAAAUCAUUUUUUCACACAAUUUUUCAUUUUCUCAAAUCUCAUUCUCUCUCAAUUCUCAAAUAUUCUAUAUAUUUAAUUUCCUAAAGUGCUCACUUUAAUUUUUUUAAUUUUGCGAUUACAAAGUACGAGUGGAAGUUUCUAAAGUCGCAACCUUCGGAUACUUCCAAAAUUUGGUAUUGUCGUUCCAUCUCUUACGUUUAAUUUUUAUUUAGUGUAUUAAUUGUUGAAUAUUUAAUUUUAUUAUAUUUGUGUAUUUUAAUUUUUUUUGUUUANNNNNNNNNNNNNNNNNNNNNNNNNNNNNNNNNNNNNNNNNNNNNNNNNNNNNNNNNNNNNNNNNNNNNNNNNNNNNNNNNNNNNNNNNNNNNNNNNNNNNNNNNNNNNNNNNNNNNNNNNNNNNNNNNNNNNNNNAAGAAAUAGGUGUAGGUGCUCACGAUAUGGAUUAUGUAGAAGCUAAGGAAAAUUACGGUAUAGAAGAAGAAAAUGAAGUAGAUGCGGUUAAUUUAGACGAAGAUGAUGAAAAUAUUGGUGAGAAACCCACAGUAGGAAAUGCUAACGUUAGAUCUAAAUCGGUUAAUCUCUCUCCCCGUGUCCCAAGAGUUCAUAAAACAACUAGUAUUGCAUGACAAUUUUUUGAACGUAUAUCAUAUACUGAGGUGCAAUGCAAUAUUUGUCAACAAAUAUAUAAGCAUAAAAGAAGAGGUAAGCAAGGGGUACGAGUACGUUAAUGAGACAUAUAGGUGAUGCUCACAAAAGAGAGUUAAAUAUUGCACGAGGUGGUGGGGAUGUUGGUGGUCCAACGCAAACUAGAAUGGACCCAUCAACUAAUCAGGUAAUGAAGAAGUAUAAUAAAUUGAGGGACCAGGAAGAAAUAGCUAAAAUGGUAGCUGUGGGUUGUUUGCCUUUUAGUUUUCCUUCUUUUGAUGCAUUUAUUCAUUAUAUUCAACCAAUUUAUAAUCCUAUGUUUAAUGGUAUUCCUAGAAGUACUUGUCGGUCUGAUAUUUUUAGACGUCAUUCACAAUAUUAUUUUUAUUUAUCAACAUUGUUAAAAAAAUAUUUAAUGUAACUUGUCCCUAACUUCUGAUUAGGUCGUGCUGUAAAUAAAAAUGAUUAUUUAACUGUUACUUGACAUUGGAUGGACAGUAAUUUUUUGAUGCAAAAAUGUAUUUUUUUUUUAUAUGAUGAAGAUCGUAAACAUCCUGGAGAUUUUAUUGUUGAUUCUAUUGUUAAAGUUGUCGAAUUUUAUGGUAUCGAAAAUAAAAUCUUAUAUAUUGCUUUUGAUAAUGCUUCUAACAACAAGACUGCUAUAAAAAAAAAUUAAAAUCUAAGCUAUCUCCGUUGUUGCCUGAAAUUUUUCAUAUUAAGUGUGCAUGUCAUAUAUAUAAUUUAAUUGUAAAAGAUGAUCUUCAGUUUUUUGAGCUUUAUAUUGAAAAAAUUCGUCUUGUUGUUGGUUUUAUUCAAAGAAAUAAUCGAAGAAAAAGAAUUAGAGAAUUUAAAGUUAAAUUUCAAGAAAAUGGACUUGCACCGAUAUUGAUGCCUGAGGAAAUUGAUAUUAGAUGGAAUUCUACGUAUGAUUUUCUAAAACUUGUUAUAAAUAUAGAGUUUCUCUUACACUAGCUUUUAGCCAAUAUUGUGGUUCAUUUGCUGAUUGCAUGCUACAUGAUUCUGAUUGGGUUGUAAUUAAUGAUCUUGUUAAGUUCUUAAAAAAAUUUUAUAUAGCUACGGUUGAAUUUUCCAAUGCUUAUUAUCCUACUGUUUGUAAUAUUUUAGCAUAUAUAGCCGAUAUUUCUGGUUUGCUCAAAGAAUAUAAAAAUAAAGAAGGUUAUAAAGAAGUUGUUGGUGCCAUGUUUACUAAAUUUUAAAAAUAUUUUUUUCCGAUUCCCCCUAUUUACUUGGUUUGUGUUAUGCUAAAUCCGUGCAUGAAAUAUAAUACUAUGUGCCACUUUAGUAUUAUUAUUUAUGCUAACUUAGAAAUAAAUACUAACAAUGAUUUUGAACAAGUAUUACAACCUGAUUUGUGGACGGCUAUGGGCUAUGCGAAUGAAUACAUAGAGAAAUUAUAUAAUCACUAUGCUAAUUUAGUUGAUUUAGCCGUACCUACAAAUAUCACUCCAACUGUCGCUCUUCAUCCUCCUGAGGAGCCAUCAUCUUCUAAAAGGUCGACAUAUAAUGGUUUUCCUGAUUCCUUUUAUGAUUUACCUUGUUGGAACAGUGUUUAUGAAAGAGCUUACACAUCAACUUAUCAGAAAAAGAUUAAAUAUUAUCUUCGGUAGCCGCCGGAGGAUUGCAGACGACGGAUCGACACGUUGGAUUAGUGGAGGAGUAAUGAAACACAAUAUCCUGUGCUUUCAAGAUUAGCUAGAGAUAUCUUGAAUGUUCCAAUGUCAACCGUUGCAUCAGAGAGCGCCUUUAGUCAAGGACGACAGUAGCUUGGAGACAGCCGACACUCAUUGGGAAGCACUGAAAUGAAUGUUCUAGUUUGCCUCAGAGAUUAGAUUAAGCGGAAAGAAGAAACCAAGGAAUAGAACUGCAGCCGAACGACGAGCAGAAACUUGAAGAAAUUAUGUCUUCAGGGAGAACUCAGCAGAAUCAAGUCCAAUGCAUGGUUUUGUCCCCGUUGACUAUGACUAUCUUAUGCAAAUUCCCGUUAAUAUUAACAUGAACGAGUUGGAAAAAAUGAUGUAUAAUUUGUAGAUUUUUCAUUCAUGUAAAUUAUAAAUUUUGGAUUAUUUCGCAAUCAAUAAAAUUUAAGAUUCAUUCACUCCUUAGUUCUUACUUUGUAAUUUUUUUCAUUUAAUGAUUUAAAUUGAACUUCUAGUUUAAAUUAAAAACUUACUUCUAAUAUAUUAUUAAUUUACUAUCAAGUGUUAUUAAUUUAUUAUAUUAAGUUGCAUAUGUUUUGUAUAUUUAUGUAUAUAUCUUCUAUAGAUGUGUAUAUAUAUAUAUUUAUAUAUAUUUUAGUAUAUGUUUUAUUUAAAGUAGUACAUAUAUAUUGAAUGGUGCAUAUAUAUAUAUAUGUAUAUAUCUUCUAUAGAUGUGUAUAUUUAACGUAUACAUGUAUAUAUAUUUCAUAAAUUAGUAUAGAACUAUAUAUGUAUUGUAAUGUAUAUAUAUUGUACUAUAUUUUAUUUAAAGUAGUACAUAUAUAUUGAAUGGUGCGUAUAUAUGUGUAUAUAUCUUCUAUAGACGUGUAUAUUUAACGUAUACAUGUGUAUAUAUUUUAUAAAUUAGUAUAAAAAGUCAUAGGCCAGGACUUAUAUUAAAUUUUUCUUUUUUUAAAUAAAAUUAGGCAAUGGAUUUGAAUUUUUUUUUUCUCCAAAAUUAAUAUUGGGCUACAGUUGCAAUCGACCAUGGAUAGGGGUGUGCAAAAAUCGAGUCGACCGAUAAACCGAAUCGAUAAAAAUGCUAUUGGGUUAUUGGGUUAACGAUUUCUUAGUGGUUUUAUAAAAAAAUUUAUUGGGUAAACGAUGCGGUUUAGGUUUUAGUUUAUUGGGUUAUCGGUUAAAUCGAUAACCCAAUGAGAAUACACUAAGUUACUGUUUUUCUCCUAUUUAUGUAAUGUAUAUAUAUAUAUAUAUAUAUAUAUAUUGUAGUAUAUUUUAUUUAAAGUAGUACAUAUACAUUGAAUGGUGCGUAUAUAUGUGUAUAUGUCUUCUAUAGACGUGUAUAUUUAACGUAUACAUGUGUAUAUGUUUUAUAAAUUAGUAUAUAACUAUUUAUAUAUCUAUCUAUCUAUCUAUCUAUAUAUAUAUAUAUAUAUAUGUAUAUAUAUUGUUGUAUAUUUUAUUUAAAGUAGUACAUAUACAUUGAAUGGUGCAUAUAUAUGUGUAAUUGUGUAUAUGUGUAUAUAUUUUUUUAAUUCUAAUGUAGUAUAUGCUAUAUAUAUAGUGUAUAUAUAUUGUUUAACGUAUUUAAAAUGUAUAUAGGUGGGUGUAUAUAGUGUAUAUUGAAUAAAAUUUUUUUUUAUUUUUGACCGAAUUUUUAAUCGGAUUUGGCUGGGUUUAGAUGGGUUUGACCGGGUUGGGCUAAGUGGGCCGGGUUAGGGCUUUUAAAAAAAUUUUAUUGUUGAACCCGGCCCGGCUUGGCCGACUUAACCCAACCCAGAUCCGACCCGACCCACAACCCGGCUAAAUUUAAUGGGCCGAUUCCGGGUUGACCCAUCCCGACCCACUUAACACCCUUAACAUGGAUGGUGAUAUUUCAUGUAAGAAAAAGAAAUAACUAAUAAUUAAAGUGUAAAACUUGCGAAAAAGAAAUAAUUCAUAGGUAUUUUUAUCAUUAUUUGAAAUAAAACAUGUUGUACCGUAUGAUUCAUUAUUUCAACUUCAAACUUGAAAAAAGAGAAUCUAAAAUUUAAAAAGCAUGAAAAUAAAUUGAAAUUUAAUUUUGAAACAAAAGGAAUAUGAUAUUGUAAGUGACAUAAGAACUAGAAAGAAAAAAAUGGCGAAUGGGGAACAAGUAUUAAAAGUGCAGUACCACUAACUGCGGAGAAAAAGAAGACCAACAAAAAGUAGUGUGACGAAAGCAAAAAAAGGAAUAAUCUUUUUCAACCUUCUGCAUGAAUGGCUAGAGGGAUAUUCACAUGGUCCCCUCCCCACCUCCAUCCAAGCCCCGUUAUCUAGAUGGAUUCAUAAUUUAAACGUUUUUGAUCUAAUAUCAUUCUAGUUGAAAUUUUGGUAAAUUUAGACAAAUAUGUUGAUAUUUAGCAUAAAAAAUAUUGAGUUGGGAUGAUCCAAGAGAUAGGGGCAUAAGAGGUUCAUGUUAGAAUGUUGGUUGGAGAAUGAAUCAAUAGUUGUUGUUUAUAUGGACUUGAAUAAUCUCAUUUCUUGAGUUGAUUUUUGAGAUUAUGUUAAGCUUCCAUCAAUGAUGGAUUCUUAGCUUAGGGCAUGAUACUACAUCAGAUAGAAGAGAGGGAGGAAGAGAUAUUUUUAUUCAAUAAGAAUGAUAACUCCUCUAUACAACACAUCUUAGACCUCCUAUUUAUAGAGUUUAUAAGCUACUCUAUUAACUUAUCUUAGCUCACUAACUAACUAAGUAACUUGUGGAGUACAACUGGCUAAUUAGAGUAUUACCAAUAACUAAUUAGAGUGGUACCACUUUCUAUAACUAACUAAUUGCUACAUAUCUCUAACUAACUAUGACACCUGUGCAUUUUAAUCCUUUGAACACCCCUCCUCAAGCUGAUGGGUGAAAUAUGUAUUUCACACCAAGCUUGGAUAAAAGAUAAGAAUGUUGAGUCCUUCCCAAGCUUUUAGUAAGCAAGUCUGCCAGCUGCUUUUUUGUAGAUAUAUGAUGAGUCUUGAUCAUCCCUUUCAACAGUUUUUCUCUAACGAAAUAACAAUCAAUAUCAAAGUGCUUUGUUCUCUCAUGAAAGAUUGAGUUUGCUGCAAUUUGAAUUGCAGCUUUGCUGUCACAGAACAAACUUACUAGUUGUUAUAUAUUCAUUUCUAACUCUUUAUAUACUCCAAUGAGCCAAGUUACCUUUGCAACAGUUGAAGUCAUGCUCCUAAAUUCUACUUCAGUUGAACUCCUUGCCACAGUUUCUUGCUUCUUGGAUUUCCAGGAUACAAUAGCAUUUCCAAACAUGAUCAAAUAACCUAUCACUGAUCUCUUAGUCUGUAGACAAGUUCUUCAAUCUGAAUCACAGAAUGCAGUUAACUUAUCUGUUCCUUGGGAUGGCAUGAACAAUCCAAGUCCAGGGGUUGACUUGAUAUAUUUAACCACCCUAAUUGCAGCUUCCAUGUGAGACUCCUUUGGUGCAUGCAUAUAUUGACUCAAGACUUGUACAACAAAUGAGAUGUCUAUUCUUGUCAUAGUCAAAUACAACAGUCUUCCUACUAACCUCUGAAACUUCCCAACAUCUUCCAGUGGUUUAUCAUCUGAUGUUGAAUUUUCAACAUGAGCAUCAUACUCUUUUGAGGUCAACCUCAAGUUUGGAUCAAGCGAUGUGUACACUGGCUUUGCACCACUCAAUCCUAACUCAGUUAUCAGCUCCAGUGCAUAUUUGUGUUGGCUCAUAAUAUACCCCUCCUUGGUCCUAGCAAACUCAAUACCAAGAAAGAACUUGAGAUUACCUAAAUCCUUCAUUUUGAACUUAAGUUUCAGAUCAUUUUUUGCCUGAUUUAUUUUAUCAAGACUGGUUCCAGUGAUAAGAAGAUCAUCCACAUACACCAAUACUAUAGUAAUCUCUGACCUGUUUUUCUUAGUGUACAAAGAAUAGUCAUAAUGACUCUGGACAAAUCCUAGUUCAAGUAAAACUGUUGUAAGCUUGAGAUUCCACUGUCUUGGGGCUUGCUUAAGUUUAUAUAGAAACUUGUGUAGUUUGCAGACCUUACUAACCUCCCCCUAUCUACAAAAGCCUGAAGGAAUAACCAUAUAAACAUCCUCAACAAGAUCACCAUGUAGGAAAGCAUUGUGAACAUCCAUUUGGAACACAGGCCAGUUUCUUGACGCAGCAAUAGCAACCACAGACCUGACAAUAACUAUUUUAGCUACUGGGGAAAAAGUUUCAGAGUAGUCCAGUACUUUCUUCUAACUAAAGCCCUUAGCAACAAGCCUUGCUUUGUAUCUUUCAACCACACUUGAUGCUAAAUAUUGACCUUAAACACCCAUUUAUAACCAAUAGGUUGUUUACCAGGGGGAAGAUCAAUAAUGGACCAAGUAUGAUUCUCUUCAAGAGCAGCCACCUCAGAUUUCAUAGCCUCAAUCCAUUUAGGAUUAUGAGAAGCCUCUUCAAAAGAAGAAGGCUCACUAACAGAAGAAUAAGCAGCCAAGGCCAUACUAUGAGCAUAGGAUAAAUUGUCAUAACUAACAUGGUUAGAUAAGGGGUACAAACAAACAAAAUUAGACUUUGGUUUGCCAAUGUGAUAAUCUCUUAGCCAGACAGGAGGCCUAGACUGUCUGGUGAAGAUUCUUUUAUCUACAAUAGGAGGGGCUAAAAAGGUAGCUCUGGAGAACUUGAAUCAGUAGUGUCAACAUGUAAAGAUACAUUUGAUGAGGAAGAACCACCAGAAGCAAUUGGUAUGACCAAAGGAACAAUAGAUGCAUCAAAGUGCUCAGUGAAAUGUAUAGUAGAGAAUAAGGGAGAAGAUGUAGUCAUGUGUUGGAAGGGGAAAAUAUGUUCUUUAAAGGUGACAUCUCUACUGACUAAGAAUUCCUUAGUGUGAAGUGCAAAUAACUUGUAGCCCUUUUGGAGUGGAGAAUAACCAAGAAACACAGUAGGAAGAGCUCUAGAAGCAAACUUAUCCACAUGUCUAACCUCAGUAGCAAAGGCAAGACAACCAAACACUUUUAGAUGAGCCAAAGAUGGUGUGACAUUAUAGAGAAACUCAUAAGGAGUUUUACCUUUAAGGAUAGUAGAGAGUAGUAUGUUGAUAAGAUACACACUAGUUAGGACACAUUCACCCCAGAAUUUUAAGGGUAUAUGAGACUGAAACCUCAGAGCCCUAACUGUACCAAGGAUGUGUCUAUGCUUCCUCUCUACCACUCCAUUUCUAUUGAAGAGUAUAAACACAAGAACUCUAAUGUAAUAUACCCAAUGAAUUAAGUAAAUCAUUCACUUGAGAAUUGAAGAAUUCACAACCAUUGUCACUUCUUAAGAUUUUAACAGUAGCACCAAAUACAUUCUGAAUCAUCACAAAGAAGUUUUUAAUUAAGAGCUACUAUAACUUCUGAUUUAGAGUUUAACAACAUCAACCAGGUGUACCUGGAGUAAUCAUCAACUAAGGUCAGAAAGAAUCUCUUACCAUCAUGAGUAGGAACUCUUUACGGACCUCAAACAUCAGCAUGUAGUAUAUGAAAACAAGUAUCAGUAGCAGUUGUACUAAGAGAGAAAGGCUUUCUGGAUUGUUUAGAUAAAGAACAAACUGUGCAACAUUCAAAUGAUUUAUCAGACAUAUUCUUAAAGCAAUGCAAUUUCUUUAGAGUUACAAGAGGUGCAUGUUCUAGCAUUUGAUGCCACAAGCCUAGUGAACCAACUGGAUGUAAAGAAGCAGAACUGGCAAUGUCAACAACUGAGUUUAUAUGCAUAGAAUUAGAAGGAAAAUGAGGUUCUGAUGAUUGGAAGAGACAAUCUGCAGCUGCCACAUAAAGAUCAUUCUCCAACUUGCCAAUCCCCCUCAUUUUCCCACUGAAGAUGUCCUGGAAUAUACAGAAUUCAGGAUAAAAUAAGACACAAGACUUUCAAUCCUUUGUCAAUCGUGACAAAUAUAAUAGGUUGUACUUAAACUUAGGUAUGUAGAGCACAUUAGUGAUUUUAGAACCCCUCAAAAUACUGGAAGAUCCUACAGUGCAAACUUUAGCUUAAGUACCAGUUGGUCGGUGAAAUUCUCCAUCUUGAUAAGAAUUUAAUUUGUGAUGUUUAUUUAAUAAACUCAAUUUAAUAACCAUAUGCUUAGAUGCUCCAGUAUCUAUAAUCCACUUUUCACCAGCAAAAGUAGAGUUGAAGCAUGUAACCAUACCUGCAGCUGUAUGUUGGUGUCAUUUUUAAUCUUUUCUUUUUUUUUUGUCAACCAAGAGCAAGAGUUGUUGGUAUUGCUUAGGAGAGAAUUGAGGUUACAUGUAAGGGUAGUAGUAGGGUGAUUGUGGCUGCAUACACUGUGGAGAUGAUGCAUUAAUCAUGAAAGCAUAAGGAGUCUUAGAAAAGUUACUAGCACUGGGAAUUCCAGAGCCUGGUCUGAUUGGCCAUGUUGGAGUGGUCUGAAGGGCUGAUUGUGAUUAGCUCUAAAUCCUUGGUUUUGGUAGCCAUACCCUCUACCAUGACCAUUGUUACCUGAGAUAGGCCCUUGACUAGUCUUCUUUUUGGCUUUCCAAUCGGUGGAUAUCCAUGUAAUUUGUAACAAACAUCUCUAGUAUGACCAUCCCAGUUGCAGUAAUCACAGUACAAGCCACUGGUACCCUUUUUAGGCUUGGAAUAGGACUGAGAGCCAUGAUUCUCCUGUGUAGCUUUACCUUUAGUACUAAAAAAUGCCAUAGCAUCAUUUAUAUCUCCAGAGCUGGUAGAACCAGUUGUUCCAACAACAUUUGAUUUACCCAAAAUUCUCUAGCUCUCUUCAGCCAUAACUAGUGAAUAAGCCUUAUUCACACUAGGAGGUGGAUCGAACAUCAUUAUUUGACUUCUACAUUGGUUAUAGGAGUCAUUUAACCCUACUAAAAACUGUAUCAACCUUUGAUAGUCAGAGUGGGCUGCAUAAGUUUUAGAUUCUGCACAGUUGUAGCUAGGACAUGGCAUAAGUGAGUCAUACUCCAUCCAUAACUCUUUCAAUCGAGAAAAAUAUUGUACUACAGAAGCUAUUCCUUUUGUCAAAGUAGCUAUUUCCUUGUGCAAAUAAAAAAUUCUAGAUCCAUCUACCUUAUCAAACCUUUCCUUAAGGUCUGCUCAAACCUGUUGGGCAUUACUGGCAUAGACAAUACCACUAAGUAAAUCACAACUCACAUAAAUCAAUAUCCAGGAAAGAACAAUAGCAUUACAUUUUUCCCAGAGAUCAUGUAAGGAAGAAUCAAACUUGUAUUUUGAGCUCUACCCAUUCACAAAACCUAACUUCCCUUUACCUAGAAGGCCUAUUUUUAUAGAUCGACUCCACAAAACAUAAUUCUCAGAUCCAUUUAGUUGAAUUGAAAUGAGAGAACUACCUAGAGUAUCACAUGCAUGAAGAUGCAGUGGAUGAUGGGAGUCAAUCACUGUUUCACCUUCAUUUCUUGAGCUAGAUGUGGUCGUAGCUGUAGUUGCCAUUGAUGAACUCAGAAGUAACAAACACUAUACUUGAAACAAUCGUUAUUCCGAACCGUUUCUCGAUCGAUACAGUAGCUCCUUCACAAGAUCUCUUUGUGCACCGAAAAUAGGGGAAUUGGAUUGCAGAAGAAAUAGAGGUUCCCAGUAACGAUCGAUGCUCUAAUACCAUGUUAAGCUUCCAUCAAUGAUGGAUUCUUAACUUAGGGCAUGAUACUAGAUCAGAGAGAAGAGAGCGAGGAAGAGAUAUUCUUAUUCAAUAAGAAUGAUAACUCCUCUAUACAAUACAUCUGAGGCCUCCUAUUUAUAAAGUUUAUAAGCUACUCUAUUAACUUAUCUUAGCUCACUAACUAACUAAGUAACUUAUGGAGUACAACUGGCUAAUUAGUGUAUUACCAAUAACCAAUUAGAGUGGUACCACUUUCUGUAACUAACUACUUGCUACAUAUCUCUAACUAACUAUGACACCUGUACACUAUUUCACUGCUUCUUGUUCUUACUCCUUUGAACAAGUUAAGUUCAUUUGUUAUAUCUUACAUGAUGUCAGAAUCAGUUAUAUUCCUAUUUAGGCUCUCGGUUCACGCCCCAAUUUAGACCUGCUCAUGUUUUUUAGGGCUGAGUUAGGUUCAAGCGUCAUAUCUUACAGGAUUUUAGAGUCAGGUUCAAUCCUAUUUGAAUUCUAGUGUCACACUCUAGCUUGGACCUAGGCGUGAAGGGAUGGUCUUUUGACAUGCUCAAGUUUUUGAGGAUUGAGUUAGAUCCAAAUAUCAUAUCUUACAUGGUAUAUUAGAGUCAGGUACAUCUCUAUUUGGGCUCUCGGGUCACCCUCUAGUUUGGACCUAGACGUGAAGGGAUAGUGGUUUGUUAAUAAGGUAUUAUAUGUUACUUCUUUAUAUUUUGAAUUCCGUUUCCCGCAACAAAAAUAGUUGCAUUCGUCACCACUUAGUUAUAUACGUUGCUGACUAUUUCCAACUUCCAUUAACAUCAGUAUUUUUCCAACCAAUAGUGUACCAAACAGUGAUUCAAGCAAUGAGGUAAGCAAUCCAUUAUAAAUAUUGAAUGAAUCAAAUCGGACCAACGUAAAAUACUUAAUUAUCCACCAUGUGACUAAUCAAAAUGCAUCAUUUCUUUUUUUUAAAAAGGUUCUUGAUGUUGUCAUCGAAGAGGAGCCUUUAAUUAUUGUUAUAUGAUCAGAAGAUCAUCAUGAGUUCAAGAUUUCAAGCCAUGGAAAUAGUCGGUCUCAGUGGCGGAGCCACUUUUGCUUCAGGGGUUCAUUUGGACCCUCUUCGACGAAAAAUUAUACGUAAUAUUUUUAUACUAUUUUUUAAUGAUUAAAAGUAUUUUUUAUAUGUUGAACCCCUUUGAUUAGUUCAUAUAUAUACUUCUGAACCCCUUUAAUGAAAAUUCUGGCUCCGCCACUUAUCGGACCAUUGCAGAAAUGUAAUAUAAGACUACAUACAUAAAUAAACCGUUGUGGUCCAACCCUUUUCCAAACCCAAUACAUAGCGCGAGCUUUAGUACACAAGCCGCCCUUUAUAUGGUGUCAUCAUAGAAUCUCUUGAGUGGAAAAUGAGACAACAGACAAGUUUGUAAUCUUAUUGGACAAGAAGAAACAAAGUUGUGGUUGUGAGUAACUAUCAAGCCCCUUAUAAUCCAUUAUCGUAUUCCAAUAUGAUAUGCAUGAAAUGGAUAUAAUUAUUAAACAAAGUUAAAUCCAGAAAAAAGAAAGAACAAUAAGACAGCUUUUGGUGAUAUAAUCGAAGAUUUAUAUACCUUGUUUAAUUUGGAUCCACGUCCUUCGGUAGAUACACCAUAGUAUCGGAAACAGAUUCAAGAUUUAAUUUUUAUGAGUUUGAGUUUGGAGUUCUAUCAUGAAUAUAUCGCUUUAGAUUUACGAUUUAGAGUGGAUAUAUCCUCGUUAAAAAAAUGAUACAUAUAUAUCAAGCCGUUUAUAAUUUUUUUUUUUUCGCUAAAGCACACUUAUUUUGAGACGAAGAAAGUAAUACAAAUACAAAAUCUGAACAAAAGUUAUCAAAUUCAAAAAAAUCCAGUAAUUAAUGCAAUAGGUCAACAACAACAUAUCCACUGUAAUCAAGUAGAUUCUAAUGAGGUGAAAUGUAUGCAAACCUUACCAUUACCCAGAGGCGGUUUACGAUAGACUUUCGGGUAAAAAAGGGAAGUGUACCCAAACAAGAUUAUAAUAGGUCGUCCCCUGCCUAUUAAUUAUUUAAAAUAAAAGACCAAUCAGCAGGAAAUUUACUUGUUUUUUUUUUGCUUUCUUUUGUAUUUUCUGUUCAUGAUGUAAGCAGCUGCCAUAAAGAAUCUACAAACAUAGUAGAAUUAUUUUCAACUACUCCGAUAUCUUUAUUAACUAAUUUUCUCUCUACCUUUAUUUUUUCUUGGUAUAUUCACAUUCAUAUUUUGUAAUAUUCCUUAGUCUAAUUCUGUUUUUGAAUGAUGGAAGAUGCAGUGAGUUGUAGCAGCAGAGGAUUUUCAGAGUUGUCGCGGAAUCAUACUCGAAAGAGGAGAGAAAAAGUUGAAGUCUUUCAAGAAGUGCUUCGAAGAUUAAGGGAGUUGAAUGAUGAAGAAGUGAAUCAACCUGGUUUUGAGGACGAGUUGUGGGCUCAUUUCACUAAGCUUCCACUUCGGUAAAUUCUUUUUUCUUAUCAUCCGAGCAACCUUCUUGUAAAAUUUUUUUUUUUUUUUUUGGGGGUUGGGGAGGGGGUAGGGGGUAGGGGUGGAUAUUUACAAAGGUGUGGAAUCGAAUCCUCACUAACAAGGCAAACGAUCAGGUAGUGUAAGUUAUAAGUAUGUUUUAUCUGUGCCAAGAAUUUGUUUGUGAUGAGUUAUUUAACUGGUUAUAAUGACGUAUUACUCUAUUUUAUGAGUUAUUAUAACUUCACUGGCUAAUAUAGGUAUGCAUUGGAUGUGAAUAUUGAGAGGGCACAAGAUGUUGUCAUGCACAAGAACUUGUUGCAAAUGGCACAUUAUCAGAAUCCUGCGCCACAAGUUGAAGUCCGAUUAGUGCAGGUAAUACUAUUGUCAAACUUUUGCAGUUCAUACUUUACAUGAUAACAAAAUCAUGUCUAUAUACAUGUCUGAUGAAAUAAACAAAUAAUUCAAGAAAUAUUUGAACUCAAUCAUGUUCCAUGGUUCAUGGACAUAGUAGUAUUUGAUGACAUUCUGGAUAAAAAUGGUGUCAUGCCCUCAGUAACGCAUGAUGUAGUUGACUCCUAAGCAGUAGUCUUUCAAAAUCUUGAUUUCUCUCUGUAUGAAGACUUCAAUUUCUUCUCAAUCAGUUAUGUCUCUAUUGAGUUCUAUACAAUUUGUUUAGUAAUAUAUGUCUUCUAUCUUUAUUUUAACGCCCUUGAUGGAGGGCAGGUGACUGUCACGCUCAUAGCCUGACUAGUUUCUAAAGAUGAGUUGCACAUGACACCUUAGGUGAAUCCCAUAGACCUUUUUAAGGCAUAUCACAAUGUUCACAUGGUACGACAAUACGUGCCAUGGACUUGGACCGUGACAUUUACAGUUUCUCUCGACUGCCUUUUAUGUUUUUUCCGUUUUCUGAUAAGCCUGCUUGAAGCAAAUCGAGUAAGAACUUAUUCAUUUCAAAUUUCUGCUAUCCAGAUUCAUCGAAUAUCUCCCGGGGAUUCAGUUCAUUCCACUUUCUCAAAAAGGAGAGGUGCACAAGUUAUUGAUCACCAUGGCAGGUAGAGGCAUGCUGAUACAAGUUUUAAUAUAUCUGAACUCUCUUUCCUAUACUCAGAAUAGUGAUUGAUGAAAGCUUCAACAGUCUAUUUUUUCUGUUCUUUUUCGAAUUUACAGCAUGCAUCCUCCACCUGCCUUUGGUUUGUCACCAAGCACAGAGCUUGCGUUAGGAACCAAUAAAUUAUAUGUUCAAGAUGGAAAUAGUGCUGUGAGUGGAAAUUCAAUGUUAUUUCGGUAAUAUCUUGAUAGAUUUCUUCUUAUUUAGCUUUCAGUUUAUUAUUUUCCUUCAUCAUCAGGUAUAAGGUGUUUCUUCAUUCCUUCAAGAUUUUGCAAGUUACUAUGAUGCUGUUAUAUUCAGGGAAAAUUUGUUAAUUCUAUCUCUCUUUUACUUUGUUUCGCAGACCUUUGUAUGAAAUAACGGUUUCAACACUUGACAAGCCUAAGCUCCUCUUUCGAGUAAGCCUUUCCUGUGUCAAUGUUAUAUCUCUUUCAAGAAUCUCUCUGCACUCUCAUAGAAUGAUGCAAUAUAUCCCGAUUCUCCGGAAUCGUAACAGUUUCAAGUAAAUAAGAAAACUUGCUUCUCGUUUCGUGCAGUGGCUAGCUCCAGUUUGCCAAUAUAUUAAAAAAAUCCCCUUUUGAUGCUGCUGUAAGGAUUACAAUAUUUGCUGUGUUUUCUAGUUCUCCUCGCGGCCUUAUUAGUAGUUGUGUGUCUUCUUAAGCAAGUUAUCACCAUGUUACAAAACUAAUGUGUCAUUUAUAAUUAAGCACUCGUCAAGUAAGGAAUGCCUAUAUUCUCGACUUGGUGUGCUUAUAGGCACUUGUUCAGACUUUUUCCCUCUCUGAACAUUCUCUCAAAAGUUUCUCUAUUAAGUUCCUUACUUGAUAUGUGAUUAAUGUUAAUGCACGUUUGUUUCAGUUGACUUCUUUACUUUCGGAGAUUGGAUUGAACAUUCAAGAAGCUCAUGCUUUCUCCACAAAAGACGGUUACUCCUUGGAUGUUUUUGUGGUUGAUGGUUGGGAAAAUGAGGUACUUAUCUAGAUGAACAUAUAAAUUGACCGGUAUAAGACUGUUUUUUUGUGGUUAAUAGGUACUUCGUCUCCAUAUAUCUUUAUAUAAUUCAUGACCUUUUGUCUCUUUUAUCAUUGCUAGGAAACUGACCAGCUAAGAAAUGCACUGUUGAAGGAAAUUUCAAAUAUGGAGGUAAAAAGUAGUAAUGUUGCUCCGUCUAUCAUCCAUCUCUAUCUUAAUGUUUUCAAGUGCAAUGCAGAAACAGCCUGUGUUAAAUCAAGACCUUUUGUUCCCCCAAAAGGAGUUCAUACAAACUGGUAUCAACGUCACCGCGGAUCAUGUGGAUACACCAAGCAACGGGAGUGAAGCGUGGGAAAUAGACAAUGCACAGCUGAAAUAUGAAUAUAAAAUUGCAACUGGAUCAACUGGUGAUUUGUCAGUAAAAAUGUCACUUUGAAACAAGGAUACAAUACGGUUGCUGACUGCGGCCUAACAAUUUAUGUUAUUGGCAGGUUUAAAGGUUCAUUCCAUAAUCAGGAAGUGGCUAUUAAGGUUCUCAAGGCUGAGUGCCUAAAUGAAGAUGUGCAAAGAGAUUUUGCACAAGAAAUUUAUAUAUUAAGGUGACUAAAACUAGAUAUGUUUGCAUUGAUCAGCAACAACAUUUUGUCCUGCUACGAUUUUACUAUCAUCGUCUUGAUAUGCCUGAUUCGGGAAAAUGAAAACGCUUGAGUACUUUUAAAAAGAUAUUGUAGAAGAUUAUAUAUACAUGACCUGAACUCUUUCUGGUACUUACAGGAAAGUCCGCCACAAGAAUGUUGUGCGAUUUAUUGGUGCUUGUACAAAACCUCCGCGCUUAUGCAUAAUCACAGGUAACACAAGACAUUCUUUCUUUUUUGGUGAUAAACUGUAAAAUAUUUUCAUUAACUACCAAAAACAAUAGACCUGAUGAGCGACCUCGAGAACCUUAACCACCUUCUAGGAAGGAUGCUUGGAUUGAGAUCGAUCUCUAAUCACAAGCAAACAACAAAAUAAUUACAUUAUCUCAUCAUCUUCAAUAUUCCCUUGUAUGCAGAAUUUAUGUCUGGUGGGAGUCUGUAUGAUUUUCUGCACAAAAAGAAAGGCCUUUUCAGGCUUUCAGUAUUACUCAAGGUUGCAAUUGAUGUUUCAAAGGGGAUGAGCUACCUGCAUCAAAAUAAUAUAAUUCACAGAGACCUCAAGACUGCCAAUCUCUUGAUGGAUGAAAAUCAAGUAAUGGCUGUUUUGGCAGCCUGGAUAUAUGUCGUUAUCUCUUUAACUGAAUACAUAAAAAAGAAAGCUGCUUACAGCUUGUGCUAGCUUGACAGGUUGUGAAGGUUGUUGACUUUGGUGUUGCUCGAGUGCAAGUUCAGUCUGGUGUCAUGACCGCAGAAACAGGAACAUAUCGAUGGAUGGCUCCUGAGGUCGACGCUUUUUCAUUCUUCUAUAGUAUCAAUCAUUUUCCGCGCGUUUUGUGUUGUGUCCGUUUUCCAAAAAACGAAAAAUGACAAGCCCCAUAAGGCUUGAAGCAAAAAUGCAAGAAGUGAAGCGCACAAUUUAGAACCUGUUCGACUUAUUUUUGAUAGUUUGGCUUUAAAACAAGUGCUUAGUAACACUUUGUAUCUUAGCCAAACACUACAAAAGUGUUUCAAAACACCUAAAAUAAGCCAAUCCAAACAGGUUUUUAUGGAAAAUUUAGAAGUAUAAGUACCAUACACACAUGAAUUUGAUCAAAAUGGAACUAAAUUAGCUAUUUCUUUUGUUUGAUAUUUCAAAGGUUAUUGGACAUAAACCCUAUGAUCGAAAAGCCGAUGUUUUCAGCUUUGGAAUUGUACUGUGGGAGCUGUUAACAGGAAAGGUAAUGUUUUUUCUGUUCAUUCUUUCAUUUCAAUCAUUCAUAAAUCCAUAGGGAAGACGGAGAACAUUAACAUAUAUAUGAGGAAAAUACUUUCAUGUGUAUUUUACUAGCAUUUUCGUGUUGCCUAAGAUCGUAACCUAUUACUCUAACUAGUUUAUGUCAUUUUUGUUUCCUCAUGAGCAUUUUGUAGGAUUUAACAAUUUUCAGUGUCAAUAAUUGUUUUUGUCGAUGUUAACAUAUCAGCUUCCUUACGAGUUCUUGACCCCAUUACAAGCUGCGGUCGCUGUUGUUCAGAAGGUAUAUAUUUCUCAAUCUACAAACAUAUCUCAUCCUCUUCAAUUUUCAACGAUUCUGCUUGAUAACUCAAAAACAACAACAUACCUAGUGGUCUCGUAAAGUAGGGUCUCGGAGGGUACAUAGAGUAUAUACAAACCUUACCUCUACUUGACAUAGAGUAUAUACAAACCUUACCUCUACUUGAUAACUCAUGCACUAUACAUGGUUGCACCGGGACAUUUAGGUUGUCAAAAUCUGUAGAAAACUUAGCAGUAAAGACAGAUAUUUAUUUACUUAUAAACAAAAACUACAUACAGUACACUUCAUAACAAUCAACAAAUAUCAAUACACAUUAGUUGAAUUUAUUUUCUAACAUAAAAUUAUAGGGUCUAAGGCCAACAAUUCCCGCGAACACUCAUCCAACGCUGGUAGAAUUGCUCGAGAAAUGCUGGCAGCAAGACCCCUUCGUAAGGCCUGAAUUUUCCGUAAUUCUUGACAUCUUGCAACACAUGACCAAAAAGGUACAUCGUAGAAGCUAAGUAUUAAUUUUAAUGUGAUUUCUGCAUAUGUUUUGUGUUUCUAAACAUUAUUGCACUGCCUAAAACCAGAUAGUUGAAGAAGAGAAAAGUAACAAAAGAAGAAGCGCCGCGUUGCCAUUGAGGAAGCAUGAUGCAUGACCACGUUUUACUUUAAGUUAUAUGUACUCACAGUGUGAUUUUUUUCCGCUAUCAGUGUUGUAUAACUAUGAUCUGUGGCAGUAGGUUAGCUACAACUUUUCACAGAUUACAAAUUAAUAAUGUUUAUCAUUGGGAUUUACCUUGUAAUUUACAUGAUCAUAUUGUAUAAAUAUUUAAAAACUCGCUAUUUAUGACAAAUAUUAUGUUUUAUAUACUCUUUCAAGUGUUAAACUCAUUACACGUUGUCCUAAGCAUGAUUUUUUUUUUUUUUUUUGGAUAAUUUAAUCAAUCAAACAUGAAAAAAUUUAGUAGAAAAUGGUAUUCUCCGUACGAAAACACACCCUAAAAUAAGAACAAGAAUUAUAUUGUAUGUAAUAUUAAACAAAUGAAUUAAAAAAGAGUAGGAAAAAUAACCUGAAGUGGUCAAACAAAAAGAACAACCAUAUGAGGCUUCCAUUAAGGUCCCAAAAUUUUAUCCUAUUACAGAAGAAGGAUUUUUAGCAAAUAUUUAUAAAAUAAUAUUGAAGAUUGUAUUAAAAAAAAGUUCAAAAUUUAUAUUAAAGAAAAAAAGAAAGAAAAAUUAAGUACGUUUUAUCAAAAAAUAUUUUAAAACUUUAAAUUAAAUAACUCAAAUCUUCAAAUUAAUAAAUAAAAUUUUUGCAAUAACAUCUAAGUGAAUGUAUAAUAAACACAUGACGAACAUCUUAUAAAUCAGAAGUAAUUCUACAUUCAUAAAGAAAAAAAUUAUACUUCUGCAUUCAUAAAGAAAAAAAUUAUAUAACAUAUUUAAGAUAUUGACUGUCACACCCCCUUUUUACGUAUUCCAAAAAAGAUUUAUUUUAAAGUUCGAAAGGGUUUUAUUAUUUAAGUGACAGAAAUGAAAAUUUAUUUUGGAAAAAGGAUUAUUUACAUUUUUUAUUCAGAAUCGCCACUUAGCAUAAUCCGGUGUGCCAAGUCACCUUUGGAAAAUCCUUUUCGAAGCCAUUUGACUAUUAAACUGGUUUGCGAACAGAGAUUCCGGCUAAGGAAUUCUGUUGACCGAGGGGAAGGUGUUAGGCACCCCUUGAUCCCGUGGUUUGACCACGGUCGCUUGGCAGAGCGUAUCGGCUAAAUUGACGUUACAAAUGCAUAAACCACACAAAGCACACAAAAAUAAUCACUCAAGCAAACAAAAACAAAAUAAUCCAAAACAUAAAGUCCAGUCCAAUUAUACAGUCCAAAAUAGAAAAUAUAAAUCCUAUUCUAAACUAAAUCUAGACUACGCUCCAAUGCCUUACCCAAUUCCGCGGGCCUUCAUCACGGUCAUUUUUCGCCAAACAUGAUACAUCGGGACAUUCCCCGGUGAAUAAAUAUAUGCAGAUACUUCGGGGCAUUCCCCGGCCAAAUUAUACAAUUGAAUUAAAUAUGAUAAGCUAGAAAGAAACAUUCACACGCACCUUCUAACAUUCAACCAAAAUAACAAGUUUUAAAAUUUGCCUAUCCGAACCUAUAUUGCCUAUCCGCUUUUGAGUUAAAAUGAUUCUAUCAAAUGCAUGCUUAAUCCAAAUUAAAUAAAACGACAACGGUCCAAAAUUUAACUACAUUCAACUUUUAACAACUUUUUAUUCCCACCCAGAAAUCCUUUUCCAACCAAAUAUUAACACAUGCUUUGCCUAUCAACUCAAUUUUUUUUUUUUUACUAGGAAUUCAAUAUAAACAACAUAGAUCCAACGACAAUUAAAGCAUGAUAAUCAUACGAAUUUCACGUGAAAUAACAUCAAACAUUCACUAACUCAUCCAAUUUCAAACAUGCCCAAUGCAACAAAUUACGAUAAAGAAGAGAGAAUGAGUUAAAGAAAUGAACCUUCCAAUAAUCGAUUUUGGUUGGUAACAAUAUUAAAGAAGACCCAGACUUUAGAACUCGGAACAGAACCUCAAUAGCUCGACUGAGGCCAAAAAUAGAAAUCACAACCGACGAGUCCAAACCCGUACGCCAAAAAUUAUUCAGACGAACAGUCCCCUACUGGUUCGACCAGUGAUACCUGAAACCAACAAAUAACAACCGAUUCCGACCAACCUCAACAUUUUUCGGCCAGAUCCACCAAGAAAUCAAGGAGACAAAAGGGGGUUUUGGGAUUUUUAUUUUAAAAUUGGAUCGACCAAAAUGACAAGUUGAAAACGGAUUCCGGUGACGAUUUCAUCGAAAAAGCUUAAGGAUGACCGGGUUUUCGCGCCGAUUUCACUAUUUUCUCACCGAAAAUCUCAAGCUUCCUCCAUUUUUCCAACUCCUUCCUCACUAUGUGCGUGUAUGUAUGUUUUCGGUGAGAGAGUGCGUUUUCUGAUGAGCUAUGAGUGCGUGUGUGCGCAAUUUGUGAGAGAGAUAUGUGUAUCGAUGUGUUCUCUGAGCUCUUUUUGGUUUCCGGUCGGUGGUCGUCGUUGGCUGGUGGCCCUGGAAGCUGGAGGAGGAGGACCGGAGAGAGCCAGCGGUGGCACUGGGUUGGUUCGCCGCUGCUGGUGGCGGCAGAGCUUUCUCCGGUGGUUGAAACGGCUAGUCGCUGGGGUCAAUUGAUUGGUCUCCAGCGACGAGAUCGAAGGAGAGAGAGGGGUGGCGGCACUAGCUUCUAGAGAGAGAGAGAGUGGAGCUCCUUUUUUUUUUCUUUUCUGUAUGCUGAGGUCUGAUCCCCCCUAUUUUGUGAGAGUAUGUGUGUAUAUGUUGUGAGCGUGGGUAGUGGUGAGGUAGGGUAGGUGGGGUUACGUGGGGUAGGGGUAGGUGUGAUGUUUUUUAUUUUGAUUGGGUAGGUUGUUAGGAUAAGAUAGAAUUAGUUAGGAUAGGUUUUGUUAGGGAUUUUGUUAUAUUUUUUUUUUGUAUUUCGUGAGGGUNNNNNNNNNNNNNNNNNNNNNNNNNNNNNNNNNNNNNNNNNNNNNNNNNNNNNNNNNNNNNNNNNNNNNNNNNNNNNNNNNNNNNNNNNNNNNNNNNNNNNNNNNNNNNNNNNNNNNNNNNNNNNNNNNNNNNNNNNNNNNNNNNNNNNNNNNNNNNNNNNNNNNNNNNNNNNNNNNNNNNNNNNNNNNNNNNNNNNNNNNNNNNNNNNNNNNNNNNNNNNNNNNNNNNNNNNNNNNNNNNNNNNNNNNNNNNNNNNNNNNNNNNNNNNNNNNNNNNNNNNNNNNNNNNNNNNNNNNNNNNNNNNNNNNNNNNNNNNNNNNNNNNNNNNNNNNNNNNNNNNNNNNNNNNNNNNNNNNNNNNNNNNNNNNNNNNNNNNNNNNNNNNNNNNNNNAAAUCCUAUCUAUACAGCUUCUGUUGGUUCUUGACUCGACUUUCAUCACCCUAUUCUUCAGGCGGGCUCCUGACUUGCAAUUUCUUUCAACUUGUUGCUUGGCUUUCAAUUGCUUCACUUUGUUGCUUGACUUUUUCGUUUCUUUACCCUAUUCUCCAGGCAGGCUCCUAACUUGUUAUUUCAUCACCCUAUUCUUCAGGCGGGCUCCUGACUUGCUAUUUCAUCACCCUGUUCUUCAGGCGGGCUCCUGACUUGCUAUUUCAUCACCCUGUUCUUCAGGCGGGCUCCUGACUUGCUAAAAUUAAAACUAGAACGAAAAUUAUCCCAACCAAGAAUCAUAAUAAAGUAGUAUUUCAUUUUUGAAAGCGUUGUCCCAUUUUUCAGGAGGGUCCUGAACAUAAAGUAAAAUCCCAUUUUUCAGGAGGGUCCUGAACUGAAAGUAAAUUCUCAUUUUUCAGGANNNNNNNNNNNNNNNNNNNNNAUCCCAUUUUCCAGGAGGGUCCUGAACAUAAAGUAAAAUCCCUGAACAGAACGUAAAAUCCCAUUUUUCAGAAGGGUCCUGAACAUAAAGUAAAGUCCCAUUUUUCAGGAGCGUCCUGAACAUAAAAUAAAAUCCUAUUUUUCAGGAGGGUCCUGAACAGAAAGUAAAAUCCCAUUUUCCAGGAGGGUCCUGAACAGAAAGUAAAAUCCCAUUUUCCAGGAGGGUCCUAAACAUAAAGUAAAAUCCCUGAACAGAAAGUAAAAUCCCAUUUUUCAGAAGGGUUCUGAACAUAAAGUAAAAUCCCAUUUUUCAGGAGGGUCCUGAACAGAAAGUAAAAUCCCAUUUUUCAGGAGGGUCCUGAACAGAAAGUAAAAUCCCAUUUUUCAGGAGGGUCCUGAACAUAAAGUAAAAGCCCAUUUUCCAGGAGGGUCCUGAACAUAAAGUAAAAUCCCAUUUUUCAGGAGGGUCCUGAACAGAAAGUAAAAUCUCAUUUUUCAGGAGGGUCCUGAACAUAGGGUAAAAUCUCACGGAUGUGCAUUUCCAAUGGUAGCUGAAUGAAGUGAAGCGAAUUUGCCCCUAUUUCAACAAAGAAAAUUUGUCAGUUAAAACUUAGUGGUGGCUUGCAACUCUUGGCUUCUCAGGUAUCUGCCUCAGCAUUCGUUCCUUUCAUCUUUGUUCCCAAAUCACUAACACUUGCCGUGUCUUGCCGCAUCAUUGACCCGGACCCAUAUUGAGGGAAAUGAGCUCUGACUCAAACAACGGGUUUUCAUUUUACCAUGCCCCUGAGGUGCACUGUUUUCCCAAAUCUGAAUGUUUCUAUGAAUCCAAUAGCCUGUUGGUUGAUAGACUUCCUUUGCUUCGUGUUGAAUUAUGAUCAUAUUUCUCCCUGUGCUGUUCCUUGGCUUUUCCUCACAUAAUUGGAAAGACUAGUAGUAAAUUUUGAGAUCCUUUCUCGCUUGUUUUGACACAGACUUGACUUAAAAUGUAAAGAAAUGAUGGUGAUUUUUAUUUUUAUAAAUGACAUAAAAAGACAAAAAGCAUGAAUAGGUAAAUGAAAGAAAAGGGCAAUGUCCCAUAUUCAAAAAGAAAACUUAUCUGAAUACGACAACCAACUCCAAUGAGUAUGAAAUGCAUUUUGGAUUGAGCUGCCUGAUCUUCCUAUCCAGACUCCCCAUUUGUUGUUGAGUUCGUACCUUUUGCCGCUGAGCCGCUUCUUCAUCACAUUAGAUUGACGACUUCUUAAAAGACUUUCGUCAACAAAUCUUCUUCUUUUCACUUUUCGCUUUUCUCUUGAACUCUCCGUCGCCUUACGAUGCCCGUGAGGGUUUUCACCAAUAAGACUCUCUCAUUUUUAUUUCUCUCCACUCACCAUCGCCUUAUGGUGCCCGCAAUGGUUUUCACCAAUAAGACUCUCUCAUUUUUGUAUUUCUCUCAACUCACCAUCGCCUUAUGGUGCCUGCAAAGGUUUUCACCAAUAAGACUCUCUCAUUUUUAUUUCUCUCCACUCACCAUCGCCUUAUGGUGCCCGCAAAGGUUUUCACCAAUAAGACUUUCUCAUUUUUGUAUUUUUCUCAACUCACCAUCGCCUUAUGGUGCCUGCAAAGGUUUUCACCAAUAAGACUCUCUCAUUUUCAUUUUCUCUCCUGAUUUCUUAUGCUGAGGGAGACGAGCGUUACCUCACAAUGUAUUAUCAUAUCCAUUGCAUGUUAGCCUUAACAUUAUCAAAAAUUGAUCUGAAGGACUUUCUUUAGUUAUAACUUGGCUUUUGGUUAAGGUUAGAAAAAAAUGGUAAGGGGCUCAAACGAUACUUGAAGUGGGGGUGGGACUUACAACGUUUGGAAUCGACUCAAACAACACAUUAACUCAUGCCCCAGUUUUGUUGACUGGGUGAAUCUUAAAUCUUUAUUUGGUUGGACCAAGCCCGAAAUAGGGCAUCCUAUGUAUCUCACUCCCGAGAGAGGAGAAUUAGGCCGCACGUAGUUCCAUCAGUUUGUUCUUUGUUUUGAUUUGAUUUUGAUUUUUGAUUGAUUUUUUUUAUUUUUAUUUUUAUUUUUAUUUUUAUUUUUAUUUUAUUUUCAAACUCUUUCUUUAUUCUUAUUUUCUUGACAUUUAUCUUUGACUUCCAAAAGAGGGAUAUGAAAGAAAAAUAAAACAAAGCUCAAACGGGUAAACAAAGGAUGACACCAUGUUUGGAUAGAAGAAUAAAAUGCCUUUGUCAUAUCAAUCUUCAAAAAUGCACGUCUUAAACAUGCAAUAAAAUCAACAAAGGAUCAAAUAUCAUACAUAGUAUCUUUUGACUGCAUCAGCAUUGAUAGCCAUUUCUGCCAUUUUGCCUUCAAUAUCUGUCAAAUAUAAGGCUCCAUUGGGCAACACUUUCUUCACAAAGAAGGGACCUUGCCAGUUAGGGGAGAACUUGCCUUUCGCUUCAACCUGGUGAGGAAGGAUACGUCUCAAUACCAACUGACCAACUUCAAAAUUCCUGGGACGAAUCUUUUUGUUAUACGCUCGAGCCAUCCUCCUUUGAUACCACUGGCCAUGACACACAGACGUUAUCCUUUUUUCCUCAAUCAAACUCAAAUGUUCCUGUCAGGUUUUUACCCAUUCGUCAUCAUCAAUCUCUGCUUCUACAAUGACUCAAAGAGAGGGAAUUUCAACUUCUGCAGGGAUGACUGCUUCUGUCCCAUACACCAAUAAAUAUGGAGUNNNNNNNNNNNNNNNNNNNNNNNNNNNNNNNNNNNNNNNNNNNNNNNNNNNNNNNNNNNNNNNNNNNNNNNNNNNNNNNNNNNNNNNNNNNNNNNNNNNNNNNNNNNNNNNNNNNNNNNNNAAAUGGCAACUUUUCAUGCCACUGUCUAGACCCUUGUACCAUUUUUCACAGUAUCUUUUUUAUAUUCUUAUUGGCGGCUUCUACAGCACCAUUAGCCUUUGGGCGAUAUGGAGUAGAAUUUCGAUGUGCGAUCCUAAACUGUUGACACACUUCUUGCAUCAAAUGACUAUUGAGAUUGGCAGCAUUGUCUGUAAUGAUCAUUUUAGGCAUUCCAAAUCUACAAAUGAUAUUGGCAUAAACAAAAUCUACCAUCGCUUUCUUUGUCACUGACUUGAAAUUUACUGCUUCUACCCACUUUGUGAAGUAGUCAAUGGCUACCAAAAUGAAUCUAUGCCCAUUUGAUGCCUUCGGCUUAAUCGGUCCAAUCACAUCCAUUCCCCAAGCCACGAACGGCCAUGGAGCGGCCAUUGCAUGCAACUCAACAGGAGGAGAAUGUAUCAGAUCACCGUGUGCCUGACUUUGAUGACACUUUCGAACAAAUUGAAUAGAAUCCCUUUCGAUAGUAAGCCAGUAAUAACCUGCUUGAAGAAUCUUCUUUGACAAGACAUGACCGUUCAUAUGCGACCCGCAUACUCCAAAGUGUAUUUCAACCAUGAUUGCCGAGGCUUAUUUUGCAUUUACACACCUUAAAAGUCCCAGAUCUAGGGUUCUCUUAUACAAGAUUCCCCCACUUAAGAAAAAUCCACUAGCCAAACGCCUAAUAGUCCUCUUUUGAUUGUUGGUGGCAUAUGGUAUUUUCCUGACUGAAUGUACCGCUUGAUAUCCAAGAACCAAGGUUCUCCAUCGAGCUCUUAUUCAACCACAUUACAGUAAGCAUGCUGAUCACGACUCUGUAUAUACACUGGAUCGAUGUAGGCUUUGUCAGGAUGUUGGAGCAUUGAAGACAGAGUGGCUAAAGCAUCAGCAAUUUCAUUAUGAAUCCUUGGAAUAUGCCUAAAUUUUACUAACACAAACAGUUGACAUAACUCCUGCAAGUAUUGUCGAUACGGGAUGAGCUUUAAAUCUCGCGUCUCCCAAUAGCCUUGAAUUUGAUGGAUGAGCAAAUCUGAAUCUCCCAACACCAAUAAUUCUUGGACUCCCAUGUCAACAGCUAACCUCAAACCAAGAAUGCAAGCUUCGUACUCUGCCAUAUUGUUAGUACAGUAGAAUCGAAGUUGUGCUGUUACUGGGAAAUGUUGUCCUGAUUCAAAGAUAAGAACCGCACUUAUUCGACUCCUUUCAUAUUGACAGCUCCAUAAAAAAAUAACCUCCAACCUGGAUCAGCAUCUAUAACGACUUCACCGACACACGACACUUCUUCGUCAGGAAAAUAUGUCUUUAAUGGCUUGUACUCUUCAUCGAUGGGGUUCUCAGCAAGAUGAUCUGCCAAGGCUUGGGAUUUCAUGGCGGUUUGAGUUACAUAUACAAUGUUGAACUCGGUAAGCAAUAUUUGCCACUUUGCCAAUCGACCCGUUGGCAUAGGCUUCUAAAAGAUAUACUUCAAAGGAUCCAUACGGGAGAUGAGAUAAGUAGUAUAGGAUGAGAGAUAAUGCUUCAACUUCUGUGCUACCCAAGUUAGGGCACAACACGUCCUUUCAAGAAGAGUAUACCUGGCCUCAUAUGCGGUGAACUUCUUGCUAAGAUAAUAAAUAGCCUUCUCCUUUUUGCCUGUGACAUCAUGUUGACCCAGGACACAACUGAAAGAAUUGUCCAUGACUGAUAAAUAUAAGAUCAAAGGCCUACCAGGCUCCGGGGGUACCAGCACAGGCGAAUUUGAUAAAUAUCUUUUGUUCGAUCAAAUGCUUCCUGACAUAAUUCAGUCCAUUUUAUCGCAGCACUCUUUUUCAGCAACUUGAAUAUAGGCUCACAAGUGGUUGUGAGUUGAGCAAUAAACCUACUAAUGUAGUUCAGUCUACCAAGAAAACUCAUCACCUCCGUUCUACUCUUGGGCGGGGGCAAAUCCUAAAUGGCUUUGAUUUUUGAGAGAUCCAAUUCAAUUCUCCGACGGCUGACUACAAACCCCAACAAUUUUCCAGAUGAAACUCCAAAUACACAUUUCAUCGGGUUGAGUUUGAGAUUAUGCCUGUGAAGACUUUCAAAGAACUUUCUUAAAUCUUUAACAUGGUCGGCCUGACUUUUGACUUAAUAAUCACAUCAUCCACGUAGACCUCAAUCUCCUUAUGCAUCAAUCAUGAAACAUAGUGGUCAUGGCUCUCAUAUACGUUGCUCCAGCAUUCUUCAAACCGAACGGCAUCACUCGAUAACAAUAAGUUCCCCAUGGUGUGAUAAAAAAUAUCUUCUCCGCGUCUUCAUCAUCCAUAAUGAUCUGGUGAUAUCCGACAUAGCAAUCCAUAAAAGAGGCGACCUCGUGUUUAGCACAGUUGUCUAACAAAAUAUGGAUGUUGGGAAGUGGAAAAUCAUCUUUCGGACUGGCUUUGUUCAAAUCACAAUAAUCAACACACACUCGAAUUUUGCCAUCUUUCUUUGGUACGGGAACAAUAUUGGAUAACCACAUGGGAUAGCGAGCCACUCGAAUUACUUUGGCUUCAAGUUGUUUCAUGAUUUCCUCUUUGAUUUUAAUACUUACAUCCGUUUUAAACUUCCUUAACUUCUGUUUGACAAGAGGGAACGCGGGAUCAGUUGGCAAUUUGUUAGACACUAAUUCAGUGCUUAAACCAGGCAUAUCAUCAUAAGACCAUGCAAAAACAUCCUUGUAAUCAAUUAAUGCUUGAAUCAUUCCAUCUUUUAGUUGUGGAAAAACAUGCACACUGAUUUUAGUUUCCCUAACAUCCUCUUGAUCUCCUAGAUUUAUUGGCUCAGUCUCAUUCAAAUUAGGAUUCGGUUUGUCUUCAAACUGUUCCAACUCUUUGCUUAUUUCUUCUAAUGCUUCUUCUUCAUUAUAUUCCCCAUCUUGAUUCAUUAAAUCUUGAUUAGUUUGGAUUUUAAGAUCAGGCUAAAAAUUCCGCAUGCAUGUCAUGUCAUUAGAAUCAGCAUAAAGAGAACUGUGUAAAAAAGAAAAACAAAAUAUAUUAGACACGAAAUAAAAGGGACAUUACAUUUCAUUAAAUAAAAAGAUAAAAGGGUUUAAACAUAGAUACCAACAUAACAUAAACAAACUAAAAUCCGAAUUACAACCCUAAAAUAACUUAGAUAAACAGAAAGAAAAACAAAAUAAACUACCAAAACUCUCUCCUGACGGGGAGAGGAGUGACUUCCCAAUUAUUGAGCCGGAUAGCUGGACCUAUGAAUUACAUGUCUGCCAUACUGGUACCUUCUCCUACUUCGACUAUAUCAACUUCAAUAAAAAGGUUCUGGAAGUCAUCAACCAAUUCANNNNNNNNNNNNNNNNNNNNNNNNNNNNNNNNNNNNNNNNNNNNNNNNNNNNNAAGGGAGUGACCAUGUUUCCUUUUUUCUUCCCUUGGCUUUCUUCAGAUCUUCAGCUGUAGGCUCAAAUCCCAGACCAAACGUGCCCACGUUCUCACUCGGACAUAUGGAAUGAACUAUACCGUGCAGAGAUUCUCCCAAACCCUUUCCUGGCUCAAAUUCGUAUUUCCAAAUUUCACUCACCAUCAUGAUAGAAGCAGAAGAAAAUUACGGUCCCAAUGUAGCCUGCCAUUCAAUGAUAUGAUUCACUAGCACUGUAUCAAAAAUUUGAUAGACGAAUGUCUCCUCUACGUUAUUUGCUUCAAUAAGAGACAAGGGAGAACCUUCGUAGGCUGACAAAUCUCCUUCACCAUGAAUAACUACUUCUUNNNNNNNNNNNNNNNNNNNNNNNNNNNNNNNNNNNNNNNNNNNNNNNNNNNNNNNNNNNNNNNNNNNNNNNNNNNNNNNNNNNNNNNNNNNNNNNNNNNNNNNNNNNNNNNNNNNNNNNNNNNNNNNNNNNNNNNNNNNNNNNNNNNNNNNNNNNNNNNNNNNNNNNNNNNNNNNNNNNNNNNNNNNNNNNNNNNNNNNNNNNNNNNNNNNNNNNNNNNNNNNNNNNNNNNNNNNNNNNNNNNNNNNNNNNNNNNNNNNNNNNNNNNNNNNNNNNNNNNNNNNNNNNNNNNNNNNNNNNNNNNNNNNNNNNNNNNNNNNNNNNNNNNNNNNNNNNNNNNNNNNNNNNNNNNNNNNNNNNNNNNNNNNNNNNNNNNNNNNNNNNNNNNNNNNNNNNNNNNNNNNNNNNNNNNNNNNNNNNNNNNNNNNNNNNNNNNNNNNNNNNNNNNNNNNNUUGAGCAGGGGUUUUCUUCAACUGGUCUAAUAUUGAAUACUCUGGCAAUUUCAUCUUUUUCAAAAAUUCUUCAGCUUCUUCUUCGGUGAUAGGAUUUUUGAUAGAUGACGGUCCACUCACCGUUGGCUUAGACUUUCUUAAGCUUUCAGGCACGAAGCAUCUUCCUGACCUAGUCAAACCCCCAACCUUAUCUAUAUCUUCCACUACUUCUUUCCCGUGAUAGGUCAUCACAGUCCACCCAUAAUUCCAGGGAACCCUUUUCGUAUCAACUAUCAGAGAUUGGGUCACCGGUUUGAGGACAAUAGGCGCUGCUUGUGCUCCUUUCACCGUCAAGAUGGGCUGACUCAGAGCUCCCACCACUGUCAACUUAGGUUUAUCCUGACUUAAAUCAACAUACCUUUUGGCGCCUUGUACUGUGAUCAGGGGUUUCUUUGUACUUUCUUGGUCUUUAUUUUCUCUCAUUCCUUCCCGGUUCAAUGACAAUGCUUUCAAAGACUCCGCUACAUUCACCGAUUUCUCCUCAAUAGUCUGUAUCUUGACAAUAGGCUUUAACCCCUCGAAGAAUCUUUCCCAUCAUAUAUUAAUUCUAACAUAUUGGCUUCAGCAUGGGUUGGCAGGGGAUUCUGGUUAAUGUUUGGACCCUCCGAGGCCUGGACCAGCAUCUGAUUUGUGUCAAUUAAAUCUUGGAUAGCUCUCUUCAAAUGCCAGCAUUUCUCGAUAUUAUGGCCUAGCAUUUCAGAACAGUACGCACACCUUAAAGAAUAAUCGAGAUUUCUCAGCGGUGGAUUUGAAAGCCUUCAUUGAAUUGUGCUCAAAACCUUCAACUUUUUCAACCUAUUAAACAAGCUAGCAUAUGACUCCCCAAGAGGUGUGAAUUGAUUUUUGACCUCCUUCUCUUUUUUAUACUCGGGCCUAGGCUGAAAGAUGGGUCUGGAGGGGUUUUAGUAAUUUGGUGGAGCGAAUGGGCAAUUUUGUGGAGCUUGAGCGCAACACUACGAGUAAGAAGGGGUUUGGGAAUAUGGCUGCGCGCUAUAUACUGGGUACGGGGGUGGUGGAAUAGAAUAUAGAGGGUUUUGUGGAGGGUAAUAAUGGUGGGGAGGACUAUAUGGAGCUUGGGCGUAGACUUGGGCUUGGGAUUGGUGAUAGGGGCGAGGUGGUCUUUUGGGAUAAGAAUGGGUUCCAGCUACGACAGUCGCUACAUCCUCUUUUUUAUUUUUACCUCCAAAUACACCAGAUCCAUCUUGAAUCGCUUGUAUAGUAGCUUUUAACGUGGUAAAACUCACUAUUCGGCCAGUCUUAAUUUCGUCCUCUAUCAUCUCCCCCAUUUUGAGGACUUCCAUAAAAGAUUUUCCCAUUGCCAGAAGUAAAUGCUGAAAAUAGGUCUCAUCCUGCGCCUGAAUGAGAACUUCUACCAACUUACUUUCUUUCAUUGGAGGCUUUACCCUAGCGGCCUGUUCACGCCACCUUAUCGCGUAUUCUCUAAAUCCUUGAGUGCUCUUUUUCUUCAUAUUGACCAGUCAUCUGAAAUCAGGUCGAUGUUAUACUGAAAAUAUUGAACAAAUUCAGAAGCCAAAUCAUCCCAGUUGUUCCAUUUAUCGAUGUCUCGAUCGAUAAACCAUUCUGAGGCCAGAUCUGAAAGACUCUCGCCAAAGAAGGCCAUGAGCAAUUCUUCCUUUCCUCCUGCAGCCCUCAACUGGUUGCAAUAAUGUCUUAAGUGUGCCACGGGAUUGCCGUGUCUUGCAUACUUCUCGAACUUAGGCAUCUUAAAACCGAGGGGACACUCCUAUAAUCUCUGAUUCCUUGCAAAUUCCUUAUAGCUUGUUCUAAACUUUUCAAUUUUCGGGCUAUGAUAUCCUGUUCCUCCGUUGCGACAGGUUUCUCCGUAUCAAAUGGAAAUGCAGGCGGCUGAGUGUACCCAUACGGUUCAUUCAUUUGCAAAGUAGGCUCUGGGGCAUAAUACUGGCUAUCUGGAACCUUCAGUACUGGCUCACUGGUAGACUUAGGAAGCCUCAUUGUGGGAUGCGCAACAUAUAUGGGAGUUUCAUGUGGUGGCAGAGCCACGAAUAUCGGUGUGAUUGGUGGUGCUGGCUGAGCAGCUGGUCUUGAUUGGGGAGCUACCAAGGGCACACCAGAACUGCCAGGAUAAUAAUGUCGUAGAGUGAAUCCUGGCGCAUGUUCAGGUAACUCAGUAGGAGCAGAGAAUUAUGCCUGAGAGAGUGGUGGGCAGUUAGAGAUAUUCCCAAGACCUUCAGGAAGCGAAGGAGGAGGCAUUCCGCUGGCCCAUGCCCAGUGUAAAUCUAUCAAUUGUUGCCUGAGCCUUACUACCUCAUCAUUGUGUUCAGAACUUUCUUCCCUGUGAUCCUGAUCCGGGUCAAUGAGCGAAUUUUCAAUCUCCCUGCUAGCCAUGGCGAGCUUUGCUUUGGAUCUAGUGAAGUAUGGGUGACUAGCCAGAGUGCUGCAAACCUACCACUGUUAUUUGAAAGAACAUGCUCAUCAAAGACGACAUCCGUUAGGAUUAGGGCACACAACAAUCAUGGGAAUCACAUUGGUAAAAUUGUCCUAAAUUCAUGUUCAUUUCUACCAGCUUUUGAGGGUAGCGAGGUCAUUUUAACAUCAUCCUGAUUUUGUUUGCACUUAUUUUUUUUUAUCUAAACUUAUUAUUAUUAUUUUUUCGUAUCCAUCUCUGUUCUUUUCCUUUCUCUCGUUAUCUACCUUUAUUUUAUCAUUCUUUAUGGCUUUUGUUUUUCUUUAAAAGAGGAAAAAUAAUGAAAAACAACAAAACAAAAUGAUUAGAUCGAACCCAAAAGUAGGUUGCCUACGUAUCAUGUUGUACAUGAAUCAGAUCUUGCGUAGUUCGGGCAGUCUUGCCAAAAUGGCCAAUUAAACUUUUUUUUUCUUGAAACUUUAAGAAGAAAAGAAAAAUAACAACUUGUCAAAAGAAUUGACGAACAUAUUUUGCAUUUUUUACUUUUAAAAUACCAAUACAAAACGAAACCUAUGAUUACCAAAGAAAAAUCUUUUGGGGUUUUCAAUUUUGAAUACUGAUACCCCGAGGGAUAGAUUGAAGCCAGAACUCAUAUCCCUGAGUGUGGCCCGGAUUAUCCAAACUUUCUUUGAGUGUGUCCACACCUAGCUUUGUUGCAUGCUUCCAAAACUGCUCAUACUUGCUCUCACCUAGUGUUUGGUCCUUGAAGUACUCAACAUCCUUCAGAAUAUCCACUGCUGGUGGUACGUCCUGCAGUCUACCCAACUGGCGCAUUACCCUAGAAGCACUGUAUGGUAUAGUGCAAUUGAGCCCUAACAUAACUAAAGGGAGCCGCGUCUGACAACCCAACAAGAUUAUCUUCGGUUGAAGCCACAGAUAAGUCCACAAAAUAUUAUCCCCGGUUCUUGAUUCAAGAAAUUCAAUCCAAGCCUCGACUCCCACGGGUAGCGAGAAUUUAUCCAAACGCAACCUGGAGUCCAUGGCUUUCACUUGAUUGGGAAUAAAACGAUCUAACACGUCUGGUCUAACUAAAGAAGGCGUAUGCAAAUACUCCAUCAUCCAUAACUGUAAUAUCAGGUUACUGCCCUCAAAAAAUCUCCGUCCCCCCUUCACUUCGAUUAAAGCCUUAUAUAUUUCUGUUAAGAUCAUAGAUAUGAGAGUGAACCUGCCCUUUUGAUUAAUGCCAUUGUCAUUUUGAUCCUUAUGAAGUAGGGUCAUCGCCACAGAUUGCAAAUGGGUAUUAAUACGUCUUUCUUCUAGUGGAAACACUAAAGUACCUAACAAAGCGAGGUGAAGACUUCAAGACGCUUUCUCUCCCACUUCUCCUUAGUCACAUGAAAUUCAUCCCAAAAUCAAUCAAAACCUUCCAAGGGCCCGAAUCUUGUGAACAAAAAGUCUAAGGAAACCACGAAUCACUUAAACAACUCAAACGCAUACCCUUACUUUUUAGACCACAAGACUGCAAAAAUCUCACGCCGGUAUGAUUUCGUGCUCGAAUCAUAUCCUUCUCGAUGUAGGGCAAAUGCAAUAAACCGGAUAUUUCUGCCAAAGUAGGAGUCAUUUCACAUUCCCCAAACCUGAACACCAAACAACUUGGAUCCCAAAAGGUCAACAAAGCCUCUAUUAAAUCUGGACGAGGGGUAAGAUGUAGAAGUUCCGUAAGAUCACCUAAUAUUUUAACCAGUUUCUACUGAUCAAUAUAGUUAAACAUUUUCCACCAUUUGAUUAACUUUUUGGGCACCUUGACAACCAUCAGAACUCUAGAAUUGGUGGAUAAAUCCAUCCUGUAAUAACACACAAGAUGUUACCUCAAAAAUUCGACAGGAGUAGAAGAUUCCCAAUCCUUUGGGAUUUUUGACGCAAACAUAUGUCGAUGGGAUAGACCGCAUUCAUGACUCCAAUUUGCCGAACAGAAGUACUGAGCGAAAUCAGUCUACUUGGCAAACAACUCUAGAUUACGGGGCGAGAGACCUAGGCUAAUAAGAAGACAAAGACCAACACAAAGAUUUACCGGACCCAUGGAGGGUUGCCUACGUAUCCCAACCCAAGGGAAGGGAAUCAGAUAUGCGUAGUUCGUCCAGAUUGGACAAUUAACGAUUAACUACUAAAUGGACCCUAACUUAAGAGACACAAUCAAAGCAAACGAAUAAAAACUUUUUGGAUUUUCAACUAGACAUUUCAACUAAGACUGACACCACCAAUUAUGAAGAAAAAUCUUUUUGGUAUUUUUUUUUUGACAAAUAAGUAGAAAAGGUGAAGAACAAAAGCCAUAAAGAACUCUAAAAUAAACUAAGAUAUUCCUCUUUUUUUCCAUUCUUUUCGACUCACUUUUUUUUUUCUAUUUUUUUCUUUUUCAUUUUUGCCUACGCACCUUACUCGUAACAACAAUUUUUUUUUCCAAAAGUCAGUCCGUCAAAUGACCACGUUACCCUUAAAAAUGCAAUAGUUAGCACAUAGGAAUGCUUUAGAGGGGAGUCUUCUACAAAGGGCCAUGUGGGUCCCGCUAGGUCUCCGUAUGAUGCACAUAAACANNNNNNNNNNNNNNNNNNNNNNNNNNNNNNNNNNNNNNNNNNNNNNNNNNNNNNNNNNNNNNNNNNNNNNNNNNNNNNNNNNNNNNNNNNNNNNNNNNNNNNNNNNNNNNNNAAUAAGGGUGACUCAACUAGAGGUUGUGUACAAUACGUGUACUACUGACUUGUUGCAGAAAGAAGGCCGGGGGGUGGACUCAUGAUGACAGAUAUAAAGCGGUAACACAUAGGAUAAAUACUAUAAACAACGAGCACGAAAAUUCAAAAAAGUGAAAACAAUAACACAAACAAAAUCACAAACAAGCUUAUACACUCGUAAUGCCAAACAAAGCCGAUACGACUCCAAAAAUAGCUCAAAUUCUGAAAACUUGUCAUAUGCCCCCAGCAGAGUCGCCAGAAGCUGUCACACCCCCUUUUUACAUAUUCCAAAAAAGAUUUAUUUUAAAGUUCAAAAGGGUUUUAUUAUUUAAGUGACAGAAAUGAAAAUUUAUUUCGGAAAAAGGAUUAUUUACAUUUUUUAUUCAGAGUCGCCACUUAGCAUAAUCCGGUGUGCAAAGUCACCUUUGGAAAAUUCUUUUCGAAACCAUUUGACUCUUAAACUGGUUUGCAAACAGAGAUUCCGGCUAAGGAAUUCUGUUGACCGAGGGGAAGGUGUUAGGCACCCCUCGAUCCCGUGGUUUGACCACGGUCGCUUGGCAGAGCGUAUCGGCUAAAUUGACGUUACAAAUGCAUAAACCACACAAAGCACAAAAAAAUAAUCACUCAAGCAAACAAAAACAAAAUAAUCCAAAACAUAAAGUCCAGUCCAAUUAUACAGUCCAAAAUAGAAAAUAUAAAUCCUAUUCUAAACUAAAUCUAGACUACGCUCCAAUGCCUUACCCAAUUCCGCGGGCCUUCAUCACGGUCAUUUUUGGCCAAACAUGAUACGUCGGGGCAUUCCCCGGUGAAUAAAUAUAUACAGAUACUUCGGGGCAUUCCCCGGCCAAAUUAUACAAUUGAAUUAAAUAUUAUAAGCUAGAAAGAAACAUUCACACGCACAUUCUAACAUUCAACCAAAAUAACAAGUUUUAAAAUUUGCCUAUCCGAACCUAUAUUGCCUAUCCGCUUUUGAGUUAAAAUGAUUCUAUCAAAUGCAUGCUUAAUCCAAAUUAAAUAAAACGACAACGGUCCAAAAUUUAACUACAUUCAACUUUUAACAACUUUUUAUUCCCACCCCAAAAUCCUUUUCUAACUAAAUAUUAACACAUGCUUUGCCUAUCAACUCAAAUUUUUUUUACUAGGAAUUCAAUAUAAACAACAUAGAUCCAACGACAAUUAGAGCAUGAUAAUCAUACGAAUUUCACGUGAAAUAACAUCAAACAUUCACCAACUCAUCCAAUUUUAAACAUGCCCAAUGCAACAAAUUACGAUAAAGAAGAGAGAAUGAGUUAAAGAAAUGGACCUUCCGAUAAUCGAUUUUGGUUGGUAACAAUAUUAAAGAAGACCCGGACUUCAGAACUCAGAACAGAACCUCAAUAGCUCGACUGAGGCCAAAAAUAGAAAUCACAACCGACGAGCCCAAACCCGUAUGCCAAAAAUUAUUCAGACGAACAGUCCCCUACUGGUUUGACCAGUGAUACCUGAAACCAACAAAUAACAACCGAUUCCGACCAACCUCAAUGUUUUUCGGCCAGAUCCACCUAGAAAUCAAGGAGACAAAGGGGGUUUUGGGAUUUUUAUUUUAAAAUCGGAUCGACCAAAAUGACAAGUUGAAAAUGGAUUUCGGUGACGAUUUCAUCGGAAAAGCUUAAGGAUGACCGGAUUUUCACGUUGAUUUCACUAUUUUCUUGCCGAAAAUCUCAAGCUUCCUCCAUUUUUCCAACUCCUUCCUCACUAUGUGCGUGUGUGUAUAUUUUCGGUGAGAGUGCAUUUUUUGAUGAGCUAUGAGUGCGUGUGUGCAUGAUUUGUGAGAGAGAUAUGUGUAUCGAUGUGUUCUCUGAGCUCUGUUUAGUUUCCGUUCGGUGGUCGUCAUUGACUGGUGGCCCUGGAAGCUGGAGGAGGAGGACCGGAGAAAGCCAGCGGCAGCACUAGGUUGGUUCGCCGCUGCUGGUGGCGGCGGAGCUUUCUCCGGUGGUUGAAGCAGUUAGUCGCUGGGGUCAAUUGGUUGGUCUCUGGCGAUGCUGAUGCUGGAAUGGGGCUGGUCGGCGACGAGAUCGGAGGAGAGAGAGGGGUGGCGGCGCUAGCUUCUAGAGAGAGAGAGAGUAGAGAGAGUGUGGAGCUCUUUUUUUUUCUUUUCUGUAUGCUGAGGUCCGAAUCCCCCUAAUUUGUGAGAGUAUGUGUAUAUAUAUUGUGAGGGAGGGUAGUGGUGACGUAGGGUAGGUGGGGUCACAUGGGGUAGGGGUAGGUGUGAUGUGUUUUAUUUUGAUUGGGUAGGUUGUUAGGAUAAGAUAGAAUUAGUUAGGAUAGGUUUUGUUAGGGAUUUUGUUAUAUUUUUUUUUUUUGUAUUUUGUGAGGGUAUAAUAACAUGGGUGAGGGUACGCGGUAGGAUAAAAAUAAAAUGGGUAAAAAUGACAUCGGGGAGGGACAAAAGUAGGUGUCUACAUUGACAAUGUCAUGGAGCAUCCGGCCUCCUCUCAACCAUCCUCUCACUAGUAGAAAAAUGGUUAUUAGCGAAGGGAAAUUUUAUUUCUAAAAGUUCAAUUCCGUUCCUUUAAUGUCAUUAGCUACUAGAAAAAUUUGGUCGUCACCCGUCCAAGUGCAUAUUGCACAUUAGUAGAUGAAUUUGUUAGCUUUAGAGAAUCUACAUUCAAGCAAUAUUCAUCACAGACACCUUAAUUAAGUAAAAUAUACACCAUUGAUAACAAUGACAUCAGGUUAUGUGAUUUUCAAUUAGAACAAUUAAUCGAAGCAGAAGUCCUUCCUUCCUCCGUAGCUAAUAGUCCAAAAAUAUGUGACCUCAUCUCUUUUUCGAUAUACUCUACGGCUAAAAAUUGGAUAUAUCAUUGCUUAGAUGCUGCAUGAUUGUAACACCCCGCACUUUAGGGUAAAGUUUGAACCAUCUUUUCUACGUGUAUAGACAAAAACCCAAGGAUUCUUUAUUAAUAUAGGUGUGAUGAUCAAUCAUAUAGUGUGUGAAUACCUUUGAAUAUAAAUUGAGGUCACAAAAAUCCCCAAACUCAAGGACGAGUGUAAAACUCUUUUAUCGAUUAUGUUUUGAUGAACGUCUAAACUUGGGUCAACUUCCAUCAAUCAUAACUUUUUGUAUAUAUCGAAUUAGGAGGCCUAUUAUAUAUCAAAUGAAAGGUCUUUGAGUCUUCUUUGCAACUCCACUAGCUUUGUCUUAAUUUGAUAUCGGAGUAGAAUGUUAUACUUAUUUUACUUCAAAGUAUCUAUCUGCCAAAAUGUGAUAAUGAGGCUGACAACCUAUCAGCUGGGUGACGGCCUGUUAGACCUAGUCGUCAGCCUAAGGCAGUGAAUGGUGAAAACCAACCCAAAAGUGAUGACCUGGGUGACGGCCUAUUACUUGAGUGACGGCCUAUCAACCCUGGUCGUCAACUGAUGUAAUUAUGCGACUUUUUUGGGUUCCUUGGGGGUAUUUUGGUCUUUCCCCCAUUUCAAAAACCUUUCACUCGAAUUAUAUCACCCCUUAAGCAUUAUUAAUCAAUCAUUAUCAGUUAUACAAUAUCAAAAACUUCCUCUUCACUCUCAAAAUAAAUUAAACUAGGGUUUCCUCCAAGAACAAGGAAUCAAGAAAAUACUCCUUAAGUCCAAGAUUUUCAAGGAACAAAUUAAGAUUCGAGUGCUACUCUUAAAAACCUUGUAAUCUAAGGUACGUGGGGUUUUCCUAAACUACAUGGGCAUGGUGAAAUUAUUUCAAUCACGUUUAAGUAUUUAGGAAUCAUGGAUUUACGAAAGGAUAUUGAAAUUUCAACUACAAUUAUGCACUGUGAAUCUUUCUUGAUACUAAAGUUUUGGUCUUGAGGCCUUCCCCAUAAACUUGAUGUCAUAUAUAUAUAUAUGUAUGUAUAUAUAUGUAUAUAUAUAUGUAUGUAUAUAUAUGUAUGUAUGUAUGCAUGUGGUUUGAUGUUUGAAACUUGAAUUGAGAGCACGAAAAGUCGUAAUCCCUCUCUUGUUAUAAAUCCUCUUUGUGUUCAGAUGUUAUGAAUUGUUCAAAUCCAUAUUGAGAAGCAUAUUACAAAUAUCUUUACUAGUGCAUAAGACUUGGUUUUGAUUAUGAAUUGGAGAGAGGGAGGUUUUAUAUGUUGACAAAUAUCGAAGAUAUAUAAUGAAAGAAUUGCAUGGUUUGUCAAAAAUACAUGACCACCACAUAUUUGUUGAAAUGUUGAAAAGAGAGAUUCUUUGCAUAAUUUGACAUAUAUUUUGAAGUACGAAUUCUCUUGAACUUUUUGAAUGAUAUGGUGGUCCAAUCUUUGUGUUUUAAAUGAAGAGACUAUCCCAUGAUAUUUUAUGAAUUAGAGAUACGACUUGCAAGUCAUUGGUAUGACUAUAUCAUUUAAAUGAAUGCCAUAACAAAGUAGGAGUUUCAGAUUUUGAUUUCAGAGAAUAAAUGUCUUAAAGAGCUAAAAAUGUGCUUAAAGAGAGUUAGGAAUUAGGCUUCAACAUAAAAGUACUAUGCAGUGGGACUCAAACUCAUCUGGUUAGAUGUAUAUUGGGAGAAUUGUAAGUUGGAACUGAUGCGGCAUGUAAUUUAUUGUUUGGGGCAUAGACAAGUAGUGUCUCUAAGUUUAAGUCUUUUCAUUGUAUCUUGUAAGGUGGAGAAUAUUUCUAUUCUUAUGUUCAGCGAAAAUCUCAUCUCAUGUCUUGUACCAAUCUUAAUCAGGCUGAGGAUUCUGAGGAAAAUUUAUGCCUUACAAUGUUUUGAUCAUGUGCCAUAAUACACAUGCCAAGAUCAUGUCGACGUCAAGUUUCGUUAUCUCAUGUUUCGAGCUUACACAUUCCCUAAGGGUUAUCAUGAAGCUAGUUGGCUGCCUUCAUAUGUUUUGUUGAGGAAAAAUAUUCAAUACAAUGUUAAGUUCUCUAUUCUACACUUUUAGAUCUUUAAAAAGUCCCUACCCAUCAUUCGGGGACGAAUGAUCCCAAGGGGGAAAUAAUGUAACACUACGCACUUUCGGGCUAAAGUUUGAACCGUCUUUUCUACGUGUAUAGACCUGAACCCAAGGAUUCUUUGUUAAUAUAUGUGUGAUGAUCAAUCCUAUAGUGUGUGAAUACCUUUGAAUAUGAAUUGAGGUCACAAAAAUCCCCAAACUCAAGGACGAGUUGAAAACUCUUCUAUCGAUUAAGUUUUGAUGAACGUCUAAACUUGGGUGAACUUCCAUCUACCAUAAAUUUUUGUAUAUAUUGAAUUAGGAGGCCUAGUAUAUAUCAAAUGAAACAUCUUUGAGUCUUCUUUCUAACUUCACUGGUUUUGCCUUAAUUCAAUAUUGGAGUAGAAAUUUAUGCUCAUUGUACUUUGAAGUGUCUGUCUAUCAAAAUGUGACGACGAGGCUAACGACCUAUCAGCUGGGUGACGGCCCGUCAGACCUAGUCGUCAGCCUAAGGCAGUGAAUGAUGAAAACCAGCCCAAAAGUGACGACCUGGGUAAGCGCCUAUCACCUGAGUGACAGCCCAUCAACCCUGGUCGUCAACUGAUGCAAUUAUGCGACCUUUUUGGGUUCCUUAGGGGUAUUUUGGUCUUUUCUUCAUUCCAAAAACCUUUCACAUGAAUUAAAUCACCCCUUAAGCAUUAUUAAUCAAUCAGUAUCAGUUAUACAACAUCAAAAACUUCCUUUUCACUCUCAAAAUAAAUCAAACUAGGGUGUCCUCCAGGAACAAGGAAUAAAGAAAAUCACUCCUUAAGUCCAAGAUUUUUAAGGAACAAAUCAAGAUUUGAGUUCUACUUUUAAAAAUCUUAUAAUCUAAGGUACGUCGGGUUUUUCUAAACUACACGGGCAUGGUGAAAUUAUCUUAAUCAUGUUUAAAUGUUUAGAAAUCAUGAAUUUACGGAAAGGUAUUGAAAUUUCAACUACAAUUCUGCAUUGUGAAUCUUUCUUAAUAGUAAAGUUUUGGUAUUGAGGCCUUCCCCAUAAACUUGAUGUUUGUUCAUAUAUAUAUAUAUAUAUAUAUAUGCAUAUGGUUUGAUGUUUGAAACUGGAAUUGAGAGCACGAAAAGUCGUAAUCCCUCUCUUGUUAUAAAUCCUCUUUGUGUUCAGAUGUUAUGAAUUAUUCAAAUCCAUAUUGAGAAGCAUAUUACAAAUAUCUUUACUAGUGCAUAAGACUUGGUUUUGAUUAUGAAUUGAAGAGAGGGAGGUUUUAUAUGUUGACAAAUAUCGAAGAUAUAUAAUGAAAGAAUUGCAUGGUUUGUCAAAAAUACAUGACCACCACAUAUUUGUUGAAAUGUUGAAAAGAGAGAUUCUUUGCAUAAUUUGACAUAUAUUUUGAAGUACAAAUUCUCUUGAACUGUUUGAAUGAUAUGGUGGUCCAAUCUUUGUGUUUUGAAUGAAGAGACUAUCCCAUGAUAUUUUAUGAAUUAGAGAUACGACUUGCAAGUCAUUGGUAUGACGAUAUCAUUUAAAUGAAUGCCAUAACAAAGUAGGAGUUUCAGAUUUUGAUUUCAGAGAAUACAUAUCUUAAAGAGCUAAAAAUGUGCUUAAAGAGAGUUAGGAGGUUGCCCGAAGAAGGCUUGAAUUCAGAUAACUCCUAGUCCAAAACUGUAUUUUACCGAUACAGGUUUAUUAUGUCCCCAAGAGGGACCGUAUGCUGGCCUAGUGCCCUUUGGCGUAUUAGAGAUAGAGACUCCAACUCUUGCGACAAACUUGGGUUGGGGGCUUGGCUGCCAAGUUAAGGACAGAUUCCAUAUAGCUCGUGGGAUUGUAGAGUUGUGGGGUAUACCCUCUAACCCAGAAGUAAGAUAAAAAGUGAGUCAUGGAUUUCAGAUUAUUGUUCAAAGUCUUUUAAAUAUGCCCAUAUGUUUUUCAUAUAUCAUAUAAAUUGUUUACAAACUGUUGUCACAUAUGUUGUAUAAAAAUGAUUUAUUUUGGAUUGCUCUACGUACCAGUACAAUUGCAUUGACCCCCUAUAUUUCAGGGUUUGAGGCUCAGUCAAGGGGUCCCGCUAAGCCGUAGAUUUUUCAGACAAAAGUGUACAGUUGGUGAGCCUCCCUUAUUUCGGAAGACCUAUUUUUAGAAAUUAUUAUUUCAUUUUAUUUUGGGUCCGACUGGGAGCCUUGUCCCAAUUUAGACAAGAUGUUGGUUUUGAUGUAUUUAGAGAUUUCGCAGACUGAAUGUUAGAUGUUGUUAGAGAGUUAUGAAGUUCAUUUGAAUUGGUUAGUUUGAUUAUAACAUCGACCAUGAUUUCGUAUUAUGAUCUUUCUGUAUUUUCUUCUUAUUGUAUGAGCAUUGUGCAUGAUCGCCAGAUAGACAGGGGUUCUCGUGCCUUCAUAGUUCGGGAUGCUCGUCACAGCUAGGGCCUUGGCUCAGGUCGUGACAAUAAUUGACUAGGGUCUCUUCUCACCACAUAAAUUAUGUACUCCCCCAUCUUAAAAUCUAUAUCUUCUACAUCUAUAUCUAUAUAUAAUUAUUAUUAAUAGGAGAGUAUAAAGCCUCCUCAUUAAGCCACUUGACAUCUUAUGAAUGAGCCAUUUGGCAACUUAGUAAAAUAAAUAUAGUUAUGUUUGUUAUUAGUUAUUACAAUUAAAUUUAAAAACUAAAUGUCAAAAAAAUAAUAUACUAAAUAUUGUAAAUAUUUUAAAAUAGAGGGAAAAAACCUCUUCUUAAUCCAUAUAUGCCAUUUGUGCAAUUUGCCGAUUGGUCAUUCUUCAAAACCCCUAAGAUGAAAAAAAACAUCCUUAAUAAAUUGUAAGUUUUGAAUUAUCCCACAAAUUAUCGACAGUUUCUUUUUUAACUGCAUAUUUCAAAAUUCAAUACAAAUUAUUAAAUCUCAUGUUAACUGUAGGAGAAAAACCGUCCUUCUCAAUGUUUUCCACUCUGAUAAAUAACUUUGUUCUCUAUCUCAUAUCUGAUAGAAAGAAAAUUUCUCAUCUUUAUUGCCUUUUUUCUCAUGGAAACACCAACCACCUGACAUUGUCAAAGUCACUGUCAAAUCUGGCAUCACAUUGAAAUUUCACUACAAUUUUUACUAUUGAAGGAUGGAGUUUACUACCUUGAUCCAAUUCUUCUACAUAUAAAUUUCUAUACUGUUGAAACUAUCAAGAAAAAUAGGCGAGAACAUUAUGUUUGCUGUCAAUUUUUACACAACUGAUGAACUUUUAUUUCUUAAGGAAGUAGGGCAACGAACAAAUGCAGGUCAAGCUUUUUGUUAAAGAAGGUUUGAGAUUCGGAACUGAAUAUUUCAGAUAUUAUUUAUUUGUUUCAUCAUUAGUAUGUAUUAUUGAUUUCGUGUUCUGUUUCUUUUAUGGCUUUGUUUUCGAUGAAUGGACUUUUAAAAUGAUUGACCGUGAUCGGUUUUGUUCUAGUGUACCAUAGAGUCGAAAAAAAGUUUGCUGAUUCUUCCUUGGAUGGAGAAUUUUUGGAUGCUAAUCUAUAUAAGAUCAUCUGCCUGCUGCAUUUAUGUUUUAUUUGGUAUUCAAUGGUGUUGAUUUGUUAGUGUAAUUAGCACAAGGGAUGGUUUGAAUAAUACACGAAACAAAGUAUCUGAUGGACAAUUGCAUUACACAGUACGGGGCGGUAGGUCAAGGAACGUAACCAAUGUCUCAAUUCAUCAACAUUAACUUAAAUAUUUUGAUUUGCUUUUAGCUAAUGAAUUCUCAUUUCCAUUUUAAAAGUAUUGACAAAUAAUUACAAACAUGACUAACCUUUCACAUUAUAGUUCCACCAAAUAAAGAUGAGGUUUACAAAAACUCAUAAAUGGCAGAAAAAUAUCGUUUAAAAACGAUGGGAGAUUGGCGGUAUGUUUCCUUUUUUACUUGUGAUUUCCCUUCUCAUCUACUCAUGUUUUUCUGCUAACAAAAACUCUUAUCCGUAAAACAUUAAGCGGAUUGAAGUCUAUCUGUUGUAUACCCGAAACAAUCAACAAUGAAAAUCUUCCGUUUAACUACAAUUGUAUGUUAAUAAUUCCUACUUAUACCUUAUGAGAAUUUGUGGCCAAAUGCUGAUCUAAUGUUAAGGAAGGGGGUUUUAUUGAAUCCCCUCCGUCCAGAAAUUACUUGUGGAAGUAGAGUGAAACUUAUCUAAUUUCAAAAAUAGUAAAGCCCUAAUCAUUUAGAGUUCCAUUAUUAUCUAAACAAAUGAGUUUUCUGGAACAAACAAUAGUCUCUUGAUAUGUAGAUCAAUUUGUCGAGUUACAACAGUUGGUUUUGGAUCCUUUGUUCUUUUUCUUUUGUUUGAAAGUUUGUUUUACGAAUUCUAUUCUUUUAAGUCUACCAUUUGUUAUCCUAUUGACAAACAGAUUAAGCAAAACAAUAUAGAAUUUUACUAGAACAGACUUUUCAUUAGAACACUCUUUGAUGUCCACUAACAUUGUUGAUAACUAUAUUAUACGGUUUUAAUGACAGUGUAUGGAGUCUAUUUCUUUUGAGUUUUCUUAUGUAAUAUUACCCUAGACUGAAUUUAAUAGUUACAUAAUCUACACAAAGAUAAUGCAAUAAUUUACUUUUGAGGUUAUAACUACUGUAGGUAAGACAUUAGAGUUCUAUACAUUUAAGAUUCUAAAUGUGGUUACUUAUCUUCUCUCUUGCCUUCUCUUUAUUUCUCUUUUAAGUAACUAGAUAGUUAACAUUUUGCUUUGUUUUCAUUUUUUAUAAUGAUGUUUUAUAACAAAUUGUGGAGCUUUUUUGGUGUGGGUUCAAAGAAGAUAUGGUACUACAUUCAGUAGACUAUUGAAAUAAAUCAUUACCUAUUGUUAAAAUCUUUCAGAUUUAGCGUUGGAGUGACAGGAUAUAAACUCUCACAAUGAUGGCUUAUAUUUGAGCUUCUCGACUCAAUCCGGUUUACUUAAGAAAGAAUAUGACUUUUCAUUUUCUAUUGGCCAUCUUUUCCCUUUUUUUGUUCUAAUUUUUUCUUUUCUUAUGUGUCUAUUUGUGUGAAGAAGUAGAGUUAGUCUAGAAAUUUUUUGGCUUAACUGUUCAUCUUUUUGAAAAACUAAAGGUACAUGGUGAAGAAUUAAUUAGAACACACUCUUCGCAAGAAGACCCCUUCAAAUUUUAACUAAUUCCUUUGAAAUUCAUCGCACACUUGAUUCCUCUCUAUUUACAAGUGCUUUUUGUCUAAAAGUCAAGAGGUUUUUGUUGUCCAACUUCACAAUAGCUUUUACGAGUGACAAGUCAGGUGAUCCUAUCAAUACUUUACCUGCGGUAUGGAAGAAACAACUCUAAUAGCAUAUCAAGUAUAGGGAUUUCUCAACUAAGUGAUAUGAAGAUAGGUGUACUUUGCAGGCUGAGUUUCCAACAAUUGUUGAAAAGGUUAGAGUUGUAAAACAGUGAACUAUGAAGUCUACUAUCUGUGAGUAAGUGUUUUCUCAAAGAAUCAUAUUUUAUCGCUGAAAUCUCACAUCAUACGUAUAUGUAUUUAAUCAUAUGGUCUAAAUUAUUUAGCGCUGAAUGAUACUGCAGGUUGUUACUGCAAAUAAAGGUGGAGUGGUGGCAUAUGUCGAGGGUCUUCAGGUGUUUGUCCCAUUUUAUGAUAAACCAUCUUGGAAAUAAGCUUCACAAAUACUAUUCAAAAAUGGAUAUCUGCUAUAGUUUCUUAAUAUAGUUAUAUCUUCCUUUGAGUUCGUUCGUAGGGUUCAAGUUCAAAUUAUUGUAGUAAUAGUUUACUGUUAUAGCUUUCUUGGUCAUAUAUAAGUUUUCUAAUUUGGUUUACUGUUCAGUCGUGCACAUUGGCUCCCAUUGAAGGGUUGUUGAUUGAUCUACUUCCAACUCCACCCUCAAUGCUAGCAGAUGUUGCCAUUACUACUAUGCAAUGCACCCAUUGAAGGAUUGAAUCUGAUGUUUUUUCUUAAAAACUUCACAUCUUUGGAGGAAAGAAGACUUGAUGGGUGGUUGUAGGAAAUUGUGGGGUGGUGGUAAUGAAUAUGAAAAAGAAGAGUCCAGCCUUUGAUUUUCAAUCACCUGAAUGAGAAAGCAUUGAGAGAGUUGAAAAGCUUUCUUAUUAUCUAAGUUACGUGGACUCUUCAUUUUGAUGCCACAUCCAUGUCGGAUUCUUGAAAAAACACUAAUUUUGGCGAAUUCGACAAGCACUUAUUGACUUUUUUGAUGAGUCCAAGCAACAUAGCUUAUUAUGACUUAAAUUUUUUUUACAACUUCAUCUUCUACGAGGAGAUGCAUUAAACCAGAGGAUUUUUCAGGUAAGUGCAACUGUUCGAUUUCGCAAGUGUUGUCAGUUAUAUGAGUUGAUAGUUUCCCUCAUCUCACUGAAAAAAUGAUCAAUAUAAAGUUAGGCUCUUCAACGCAGCCUCUCCCUAAUGGAGACGUUCACUCGCAAAAGAAAACUAUUAAUUCAAGGAAAAAACAUCUCUUGAGAGAGGAAACCUAUUAACUCAAGGAAAAAACAUCUCUUGAGAGAGGAAACGGAGAACACUAAAGGUGACAAUGCAACUUCAAUUUCAAAAAAGAAAACUAGGCCAAAAAAUUGUUGCAGAGAGUUACUCCCUAAUUUCCCCUUAGUUGUUCCUCCAUCAUCAAUUAUUAAUUGUAAUAAUAUCUCUAAGAAAGUUAUUUCUGUAUACUAAGGUAUUUCAAUUUUUCUGAAUUAGUUUCUAAAAUUUUACUAGAAUGAAUAUUAUAUUUGUUGGACAUGUUUAUCAUAUAGUACUAAAUUUUGCAGGGUUGAAGUCAUGCAAGUCACAAAAAGCUGAAGGCCACUUUUGUGAGGUCUCUGAUGAUAAUGGAAAGGUUAAUAGAAACGUUGGCUUCAAAAAGAGAUCUAUUAACAAGAUUUCUGUCACGACCCAAGGCCCGAAACGCUAUCUGUCUAUCUGGUAAUCAUGCACAUAAUUCAUAUGAUCAAAGUAAUACGGAAUAGAAACAAUAAUACGGAAACAUGGUCAACAAUUUAAAAUAGUUAAAGGCCUAAAAAUAUGCCCAACAAUAUUUAAUAAACAUCUGCAACAGUCUGCGAAAUCUCUACUGACAUACUAUCUGAAUAACUAGGACAAGGCCCCCAGCAGACUAAAAACCAUACUGAAAUAAAUACCUAAAUGACUAGGCCUUCCGAAGCAAAGAAGGCUCACCAACUGAAAUCGGAGACAACCCUAUUUGUAGACUCUACUGAGGAUUUGGACCCCUAGACUGUGCCUCAGUACCUGGGAGGAACGGGGGGUCAGUACAAUUGUACUGGCAUGCGAAGCAAUCCAAACUAGAGUAAUUGAACACACACACACACACAUAUAUAUAUAUAUAUAUAAUACGUGAGAGCAAAUGUUCAUCAAACAUUAUGCAUAAAACAGUUUCUGAAAAACACAUGGGAACCUUCUGAAAAUAUGUAAUCUGUCUGUAAAUCUCAAACUCUGAUCUGUGUAUUACUUUUGAGUUAGGUGGUAUCCCCUACAAUUCUAAUAUUCCACGAGCGAUAUGAAAUCCGUCAUUGACUCGGCGGGGAAGCCUCCAACCUGAGUAUGCUGCAAGGGUUGGAGUUCCUGAAUCUGAUACGCUACACGACACUUAAAUCAGCGUAUAAUAAUAUACCCGGGUCGGCAAACCACGAUUUUAGGAAAUGAGUUGCUUGAACUUAAGCCCUCUUCGGGGAACCACCUAACAUCUCUGUAUGCCUAUUUUUAACCUUUUCUAUACAUGCAACAUUCUGAAUGUCUAAAAUCAUGAUAGUCUGAAAUGUUUAUUAGUCUGAGUCUGAUAUGACAUUGGUCUGAAUUGGUAUCGUCAUACCAAGACUUGCAAGUCAUGAUUUCUGAGCUAUAAUACAUUAAGCUAAAUCUUUCAUUUAAAGCAUAAUUUAGACCACCAAAAACAUGCAACUGAUAUAAAAGAUUUCAUGUUUCGAAACUCAAGUCAAAAUCAUGCAAAAACUUCAUCAACAUAUGGUGGUCUAGUGCCUUUAGCAAAUUCAUGCACUCUUUCAUUACAUGCAUUAUGAACGUUUAACAUUCAUGCUAGAUUCCCUCUUUAGUGAUUUAAAACCACCUUAAAUCAUAACAAGAGUUCAAUCAUUUCAUAUAGUGCUUUUCUAGGAUGCAUUGCAAAACAAUUCAUAUGCUAUGAGAAAUCUGAAAAAAAUUCAUAAUAAGAGGGAAUUCACUAAAAAUCAUGCUCUCUAACAAGAAUUCAUUCUUAAAUACAUGGUUUCAUACAUUCAUAUUCUCAAAGCACUUUGGGGAAGGUCAAAAGACCAAAACAAUGAUGUUAAAACAUUUAAUACAUGAAUAUAUAUAGAUUCAAAAACUCCAUUCUAAAACAUGAUUUUUCUAUGCCCAUAAGAAUUUAGGAAAUCCCCGCGUACCUCUAUUUCGGAAAAUAAUGGGUACUUCUUGAAGCCUAUGGAUUGGGGAUUCUAAAUCUCUAAUCAAUUUUGAAAACCCACGGUUGAAUCUUGAUUUAUUUGGGUUUUUAGUUUGAAACCCUUGGGAGUGUUCUUGAGAAUUUUUAGAUGAAUGUGGAUGUAUUUUGGAGAAUUGGGGACUGAAUUUCAUGUUUAUGGCUAAAUAAGGGUGGGAAAAGGACCAUUUUGCCCCCAAAAUGGAGUGUUUAAGUCACUUAAAACCAUUACAUAAGCGCCGCCUAUGAUAUCACCUAUAUUUACAUAGGCGCCGCCUAUGCUAUCGCCUAUAUUUACAUAGGCAUCGCCUAUGCUAUCGCCUAUAUUUACAUAGGCGCCGCUUAUGCUAUCGCAUAUGCUUUCCAGUUGCCAUGUGCGAUUGGUUAGGUGACGCAUUCUACUUUGAAAGGCCAUAACUUCUUGCUCGGGUGCUGGAUUUUAGCAAAAUUGGUAUCGUUGGAAAGCUAACUCGAAAACCUAUCAUUUUACACAUAGUAGGCUCUCUAAUUCGAUAUAUACAAAGAGUCAUGGUCGAUAUAAGUUGACACAAAUUAUAAUGUCCACUUAAACUUAAUCGAUCGAAGUAGUUUUCAACUCGUACUUGAGUCAAAGGACCUCUAUGGUCUAAAUUCAAGCUUGAAUGGAUUCACAUACUAUGCAAAUAAUUAACAUGCCAUAUUAGCAUAGGAUUUAUGGCUUCGAUAUUAUCAACGCAUCGGAAUCAUGAUUCAUAUUGUAGCCCGAAAUGCGGGGCGUUACAAUUUCUAGGAAUCGGGAUCUCUUGGGGGAGGCAACAGGGAGAACUAAAGUUUAUAAUACAACUUUAAGUGGUAGAAAAUGGGGCUAAAAGAUUAUCACAGAGAGUUGCUCACUAAUGCGUGUUUUGUUGUUCCUCCAUCAACAGUUAUUAAUUGUAACACUACCGCAUAGAUUGUAUCUACUAUUCAUGAUAUUUCUUACCGCAUAGAGUGUAUCUACUAUUCAUGAUAUUUCUUAGAUUAUAGUGUAUUUCUCAUAAUCUCAAUAGUUUGGGUGUGAAACUCAAAAGAAAGGAUUAUUUAGGUGUGUUCUUUACUCUACUCACAAAUGUAUAAUUAUAGUAUGUGUUUUUACCAAAAUGUAUUUGAGUUUGGUUUUUGAACCCCUAAAUAAUCCGCAGCCGCUACAACCUUUGUCACAGCCACCCGUAGCCGCUAUAACCUCUGUCACUACCUCUGCCAUUCUGGUGAUCACUCUGUGGUGAGCAAUUUGAAUGCACCGGGUAAACCCCUCACUAUGUAGUACAUUUCACUAGACACUAGGUGAUAAUUACACUUUUAUAAGAUCAAAAAGACGUGAUGUGUUCAAUAAUUAAAUAAUUAUUAAUAAUCUUCGUGCAUCGCGCGGGUAUGUAUACUAGUAGAUAAUAAAAAGCAUGCUAAAGAAAAAUCCAUGACAUAGAUCAACAAGUUGUUAAGGAAUCAACAUUUGCAACUAUACCUCCUUUUGUGUCAAAUUCCUUCACAUGUUAUUUUUUCUGCAAAGUCCCCGAGCAGCACGAAAGAGAAAAAAUGAUCAUCAUCUCGAAAAUCUAUUAGUCCAAGAGACAACAAAAACAAACAUUUGAAGCUAAACGAGAAGAGAAUGGUCCUUUAUUUAACAUUCAGCCAAGAAAUUUAUUAGAUGAGUAUAACACAUUUUGAGCCAAACUUGAGACUAAGAGAGUUGAUCCAACAAGAUUUCCUAGUUAGGAUCUCUCAACAUAGUGAGGAUUCUAAAGUUGGGAAGACCAGUGGGGAAGCUACAAUUUUGCAAAGGAAACUCCGAUUACACCAAAAUCUUAGUUCAAAGGAAAAAAUAUGAUCCGGCGACAAGAGAAUGUUAGACGAUUUGAAGAGUGUGAUAAGAAAGUAGUAAGACAAAAGGGAUUGAGGUGUUGAGCAGUGCACUCGUCAAUUAGGAAGCAGAGAUAUUGGAAUCUUUAUCCCAAAAGCUUAGAAGAAUAACAUUUUCUAAUUAAAGAUCAAAUGAUAAAACAUGAUCCACUUUUGAAGAAAGAUCUUCAUCAAAAUCCCAACCGAUAAAACCAUAUACUGAUCAGGCAGCACCAAGAUGUUAUGUUAUUGAAAUCGAAGAUGCUAGUUAGUGUAGAGAAGCUAUUAUUGACUGCAUAUGAAAUGGAAGCAAUGGUUCACUUCUACAUGAAGACAAGCUAGAAAAGGAGCAGCAAAAUAGUAUAAGAAAGAUGUUCUUCGAAUAGUGAAUAAUAUGUUUUCACAGAUCAAGUCACUAGUUGCGUCAACUAGUAAGAAGGACAAAGAUGUUUGAGAGAAUCCCACUCAACAAAUAGCUGAAACUGUAGAGUCUCUUAUGGAGGUUUAUGUACGACUACUUAAACAGGAAAAUAUUAAUGAGCUUUCUGGUGGGCUGAAGUUAUUUGGGGAUGAUGGAAUGUCGUCUAAAGAGACAACAAUCUUGUUGACAAAUAGUCUCAUGAUAGCAUAAAAUUGGAAUCAAGGGAUCGUGCCAUCACUAAGAUUUACAUAUCAUUAUCUGUAAUAGAUUUGGUUUCCUAGAAAUCGACUACAAUGGUGACGAUAGAAAAAAUGAUGCAGAAAAAUCAAGAAAACCAUAGAGACUCGAUAGAGGUGCCUCACAACAAUCUAGUACACAAAAGGUAUAAAAGAGGAAAUGGGAGAGUAGAAGCUUGUAUUCUAUUUACACUUGAUACAAAGUUUAUCGAAUUUUAGCAAGACCUUAAAACUAAUAUUUACUGUGGCUGGAUUAUAAUCAUUCCAUACAGUAUGUAUAGUUGUGGCUGGAUUAUACUCAUUCCUUACAGCUUACCACCAUAUGCAUAGUUAAUUGUCACCCUAAUUACAACAAGUCAAAUACAUACUACAUUGUCUCAAAACUCAGAUCUAUAAAGUUAGUUGUAUACAUAAAAUCCGGCAAAUUGAUCCAAAACUUAUCUCAUGGUCAAAAUCAUUAGCCUCCUACUUCGGUAUCUUCUCCUUUUUGGAGUAUAUGGAUUGAGGUGCAAUUGUUUAACAAACUUACAGAUUUCAAAAUAUUUUGGUGAUCAAGUGCGAACAUCUUGUGGAAUUGAUGUAUGUUAAAUACAAAUGUAUUUUCAUUUACUUUCAUGUGUCCGAAGCUAUAUAUAUCUAAUGGAAAAUGAGAGAAGAGCAAUUUUUUUACUAGAAUGAGCUAUUGAGACAAUUAAAUACAUCACUUGAAACAAUCUGCAAAUAAAAGUAUAGCUAAAGAAAUUACUUAGCUUAAUUAUAUAUAACCAACAAAAGAAAAAACAAAAUGGGAUUAGGGAGAACUAGAUUAACAAUACAACAACAAGAUACCCAGUAUAUUCUCACCAAGUGGGAAUAUUAGAUCCAAUAUUCAUCGAUCCAAUAUUAGAAGCAAAAGGUGAUAGAUAACUAAAACCCACUUUUGAAUCAAACUGAAAUACUUUACAUAGAUCUGAACCUACCAAAGAUAGCAUUUAACUGUUCUUUCCCAUCAAAAGUAUUUCUAAGAAAAUACAUAUAAGAUUUAUCAAACUUUAAUAUUCUAGAUUUAUAAUUUAAAGAACCCAUAAAAAUAUAGAGUAAAGCAACUUAAUUACAGCACCUAAUUGGCAAAAAAAUCCAAUCAAUUCAAAAGAAAUUUAGAAUAUACUAAAUCCCACAAUAAUUAAAGCCAUAAUAGUUCCUUAGUCCUUAAACCAAAUCUGCAAAAGACUUAUUUAAUGCAACUCAAAUUUGAAAAGAUGAAACCCACGAUAAAUCAUCGAAUACCUCCCAUAUUUCCUCUUCAAGCACCACUAUUAUCUUCACACACAACAAAAAGAAGCUCAUUCACAAUAAAAAGAAAGGAACUGAAGGGUGAAUUUUUGUUUUCAUUGAAAAAAGAAAAAAACAUGAAAUUCAAAUAUUGCAUUUACUAGAUAAUUAGAAGGAGAUGUAGUGAGUGACAAUGUUGUUAGCUUUGAAGAUAAACAGGGUGCCAUUGCAAUUUGAGCCAUCUACAUAGGAUUUAGGUAUUUUGAAAUUGUCCAGAGUGAGAAGGAAAUUUCUUAGCAAAGCCCACUGAAAUUUUUGUCUAAUGGCACCUUUAGUUUAAUUAUCUUUAUUAGGGACCAGCUAUUUAUGUUUUUCAUUUAUUUGUAAAAUAAAAAUGUGAACUGGGACAACAAAAUAACCUCAACUCUAAAAGUAUAAUGUAGGGACAAUAUUCUGACAUUUUUUUGUUUAACGAAUCUUAGUCCCAUAAAGUAUUGGUUGUAACUAUAGUCACCGAAAAAAAAAAAUAACAAGACCGUUACAGUGAUUUUCAUUUUGAUCUGAAAAAACUUUCCAUAGGAUUAAGUCUCAUUUUGGUCUGACGGGAUCACUAAUUGGUUGUACAGUGAUAUAGGGUUGAUAUAAAAGAUCAAGAAAUGCGUUUGAAAUUAAAGAAACUAUUUAUGUCAACAUCAUUGCAUAUAUUGAGAUACUAAUAAAUUGUGUGCUUGAAAUUGAAGAAAUCCUUGCUAGAGGUGUCACUGUUGGUGGAAAUGAAACUCCUGCUACAAGUGAAAGUGUGCCUGUCUGGAAUUGGAGCUAGUGAUUUGAGCUCUUGGUGGUGGUAGGGGCAACUUACACGGUUUCAAUACAAAUUCAUAUAAAUCCGCUACCUGAAAAAUAAUACUACAUACACAUAUAAAUCUAAAACAGUACAAAUUUAGUUAUAUAAAAUAAAGAUAAAAAACAACUGUGUGGCUCGGUGGUUAUAUGACUUUAAAGCUCGGUGGAGGCCAAGCGUUUGCAUAUAUAUUUGAAAUGAUUUAUCUUUUUAGUUUCAUUAAAUUUGAUCUAUACUAAAAUUGCUUAUUUGUUGAAUAUUAUAUUUCAUCAUUUGUCUGAUAAACUUUCUUUAUUUGAUAAUUUGUUUUGGUUAGUUAAUUCACAACUUUUUUAUUUGAUUUUGUUUUUUUGUUAGUAAUAAUUUCGUUUUGUUAUAUAUAAACAUGGAAGGAAUUUGUAUUUUGUUAUAAGUUUCAGAGUUUAGUAUUUUUUUAUAUUAGUCAUCAUUGUUAACGAUUGUUUAAAAUUUUUUAAAGAAAAUUUGAGAAAUUAAGUAGAUAAAUUAUUUUAAAGAUGAAUGUAAAUACAACACAGUGUAUUUUCACAAGAUAGGGUCUAGGGAGGGUAAGUGUACACAGUCCAUGCAAUUAACUCAGAUGAAGUAGAGAGGCUGUUUCCGAUAGAUCCCCGGCUCAGGACAAAUAACACUAUAACCAACAAAUAAACAGAAAACAUAAAAGCACACAACAAAAAUGGAAUAACAAAAAGAUGAAUGUAAAUACAUUUUGUAAUUAUUUUAUAAAAAUAUUACCUACUUUUUAAAAAAAUAAGAGCGGCAACUUGAAAAUGACGACUUCAUUUUAAGGAAGAUUUUUUUAAAAAAGUAAAGUAACGACAAUAUAUUGCUUGCUUCCAAUUGUCAGAUUUUAUUGUAGGCUCCCGUCGUGUCCGUUUGAUUCGGCUUAUAUAAAAUUCUAAGUCUGCUACUGUGAAGGGAAGGUGCUAAGGAGGAGUUGCUGGUAGAGGUGGUUGCAACACGGUUGAUUACCUAGUUUAGCUUGUCAUACUACUUUGUUAAUAAAUAAAAUUCAGUGUAGAAGUGUGAUUAGUGUUAUGCUAACACUGAUUACUUUUCUAAAAAUAUAUGCUAAAUAUAUGGUCAAGAUAAGUAGUAUUAGUGGUAACAUACACGAAUUAAAUUAGGCUCAAAUUUGUUAGGUGAUAUCUUGUUAAAUGAAGUGUGACAACAUGUUUACCAUGUUACCUUUUCUUGAUUUUAUUGGAAUGUAGUGUGAGUAAUAAUUGGAGCAUAAAUGAGGAGAAUUUUGUGGCAAGUACAUUAGUUUUUUCUUUUCUUAGUAAAAUCAACUAGAGUGUUAGAGUCAUAGCAUUGUAAACCCAUAGCUUUGAUUUUACUUUGCAAAAAGGUAGAUGACUCUCUAAAUAACCAAUAGUAUCAACUUCUCCCAAUUUUAUAUGUCUUAGUUUAACAUUCAAUGGUGGUAUAUAUAUAUAUAUAUAUAAUGUAAAAUAAAAAAUCAAAUGGUAUUUGACUUAUAUCGCGCGAAAAGAGAUUUACUAUACAUAAAUCGAAAAGAGUACUUAGGAGUUGUUAUGGCAUAGAACUUUUAUCCAUUUUUCCAAAAAAAAAUAUUUUGGAAUGUUGUUUAGUUAUUCAUUGGAAUGUUAGUUUUUCUAGAUGAGUUUUUCUAGUUUAAAGAAUGAGUCAAUCACAAUUUUUUUUUUCGAUCAUAAAAAAUUCAAGUGAAAUAGAAUUUCAAUUUUCAAAUAUCUAUCUUUUAACUUCAAUGGUUUUUUUUUUUUUUUUUUUUUUUAGUUUAAAUCAAAUUUAUGACCGAAUACCUACUUAAAUUGAUACGUCUUGUUUUAAAAUUUUUAAAUUUGGGGUUGCGAUUUUUUUUUUCUUUUUAAUGAAAUGUUUUUAUAAGAAUUACAAGACAUGCAUAUUUAAGAUUAUGAAAUUAUUUAUUUCUAAUAUGUUAUAUACAUUUAAUCAGUGUGUCUUUUUAUUUUCUUACAUAUCAUAUCUUGGCGAAGAUGAAAGAGUUCAAAACCAAUUAAAAAAAGUUUGAAUUCUUCUUAAAACCCCUUAUUCUUAGCAUGACAUAUUGAAUUAAGAGACGAACAAGGGGAUAGUAAUUUGAGGCAAGCAUAAAGGAGGACACCGAAUGGCUAUAUUAUAUAUGACUAUGAGACUAAUUCAAACAAUAUUGAAUUAAUCCGUUUAAAUAUUUUAGAGUUAUAAUUUUAUGUUUUGAACCUUUAAGGAAAACUUGUUAGGAAGGACGCAAAUCGCGAGCAAAGUACCUUCCGUUUACCACCAACCAUGAAUCAUCUAUUGUUUUAAUACUCAUUGUAAUUUUGGGGUUAAUGUUUAACAGAUAGAGUACUAUUGGACCUUAAGACUUAGUAGUAACGUGAAUAUGGAUGUGUGUGGUUGCGUAGGUGGAGCGGGGUGGGGAGGUUAAACUUUUGAAAAUCCUAAUUAAAAAGAUACAUGAAAUUACUUGAUAUUAUUUUUAUCUUCUCCAGUAUAUGUCAGUUGUACUCACCCUAAAACAAAAAGAAAAUAUUUAAUGUGCAUUAGAUGCUAGAUGAAUGUGGAUGUGCAGGAUGGGUAGGUACGCCUUUGAGUUUCUCAAUAUAAUAAACAAAUUCUCGUCAUUUUUCUUCAUCUCAGGAUCUUGAAUGUUUCACCCACUCAAAUCAUUUUCUUAAGCUAUUUUCUCUAUUUUAGAUAUUGUUGUUUUUGCAAAGGCCCCUCCACUCCCCUCUCAUAAAAUAUUACUUAUUAGAUUUUUUUUAUAAGUACAUAUUUGAAUUUCUUAAAGUUUUCUUACAUCUAUCCCAUUUUCAUUUUGCAACUAACUAGAUGUAAUUUUUUAUAUAGAUACAAGAAAUUUCUUGAUACUAUUUUUAUCUUCUCCUGUAUAUGCCAAUCGUAUUCACCCUAAAACAGAAAGAAAAUAUUUAAUGUGCAUUAGAUGCUAGGUGGAUGUGGAUGUGCAGGAUGGUAGGGGCGCCUUUGAGUUUCUAUAUAUAAUAAAUAAUCUUUUGUUAUUUUUCUUUAUUUCAGGAUCUUGAAUUUUUCACCCACUCAAAUCAUUUGCUUACUAAACUAUUUUCUCCAUUUUUAGAUGUUGAUUUCGGUAAGGCCCCUCCACUCCCCUCUCAAAAAUAUCAUUAGUUUUUUUUAAGUACAUCUUUGAAUUUCUUAAGAUUUCCUUACUUCUUCCCAUUUUUCUUUUCUAAUAACCAGAUAUAAUUUUUUUUUAUCUAGAUCUUACUAUUCAACCUUAAGACUUAUUAGUAUUGCGAAUAUGAAUAUGUCUGGGUGGAUGGGUGGGGGGAGAGGGGAGAGAGGGGGAAGGGAUUAAACUUUUGAAAAUCCUAAGCAAAAAGAUACACGAACUUACUUGAUAUUAUUUUUAUCUUCUCCAGUAUAUGCCAAUCGUAUUCAUCCUAAAACAAAAAGAAAAUAUUUAAUGUGCAUUACAUGCUAAGUAAAUACGGAUGUGCAGGAUGAUAGGAACGCCUUUAAGUUUUUCUAUAUAAUAAAUAAAUUCUCAUCAUUUUUCUUCAUUUCAUGGUCUUGAAUUUUGCACCCACUCAAAUUAUUUUCUUACUAAGCUAUUUUCUCCAUUUUUAGAUGUUGUUUUUGCUAAGACCCCUCCACUCUCCUCUCACAAAAUAUCAUUAACUUUUUUUAUACGUGCAUCUUUGAAUUUCUUAAGGUUUUCAUAAUUCUAUCCCAUUUUCAUUGUGUAACUAACUAGAUGUAAUUAUUAUAUAGAUCUUAAAUGGAUGAUAACAAAUUAGGUUUAGGCGUGGUUAUAAGAAAUUGUGGCAUCGAUAGACCUAGUAACAUUGUAACCCCUAAUUUAGUCUCCGAGUUUUAAAAUUUGAUGAUGCCAGAAGUUUGGUCGUAUGAUUUUCAAAUUUAAAGAAUCAAGAGUUGAAAUUAUGGGCUACAACGUUGCUAGGUUUACUAAUGCCACAAUUUCUUAUAACUACGCCUAAAUCCUCAUGUUAUCAUCCAUUUCAGAUAUAUAUAUAAAAAAUUAUAUUUAGUUAGUUUCAAAUGAAAAUGGGAUAUCAGUAAGAAAAUCUUAUGAAAUUCAAAGAUGUACUUAUAUAAAAAGCAAAUGAUAUUUUGUGAGAGGGGAUUGGAGAGGUCUUAGCAAAAACAACAUCUAAAAAUGGAGAAAAUAGCUUAGUAAGAAAAUAAUUUGAGUGGUAGAAAAUAUAAGAUUCUGAGAUGAAGAAAAAUGAUGAAAAUUUGUUUAUUAUUUAGAGAAACUCAAAAGGGUAGCUACCCAUCCUUCACAUCCACAUUCAAUUAGCACGUAAUGCGCAUAAAAUACUAUCUUUCUAUUUUAGGGUGAGUACGAUUGACAUAUAUACAAGAGAAGAUAAAAGUAAUAUCACGUAAUUUCGUGUGCCUUUAUACAUAGGAUAUUCAAAAGUUUAAUCCCUUCUCUCCCUCUCCCUCCCCUCACCUACCACACAGAUCCAUGCUAGCGAUACUAAUAAGUCUUAAGCUCAAAUAGUCAGAUCUAUAUAAAAAACUAUAUGUAGUUAGUUACAAAAUAAAAAUGGGAUAGAAGUAAGAAACCUUAAGAAAUUAAAGAUGUACUAAUAAAAUAAUCUAAUGAUAUUUUGUGUGUGUGGGGUGGGGGGUGGGGGUGGAGGGGCCUUAGAGAAAACAACAUCUAAAAAGAUAGAAAUUAGCUUAGUAGGAAAAUAAUUUGAGUGGGUGAAAAAUUCAAAAUCCUGAGAUGAAGAAAAAUGACGAGAAAUUGUUUAUUAUAAAGAGAAACUCAAAGUCGUACCUACCCAUUUUGCAUAUCCACAUUCAUUUAGUAUGUAAUGCACAUUAAAUAUUUUCUUUCAAUUUUAGGGUGAGUAUUGGUAUAUACUAGAGAAGAUAAAAUAGUAUCAAGUAAUUUCGUAUACCUUUUUGCUUAGGAUAUUCAUAAGCUUAAUUCCUUCCCCCCUCCCCACACCACACACAUCUAUAUUCGCGAUACUAAUAAGUCUUAAGGUCCAAUAGUCAGAUCUAUGUAAAAAAUUAUAUCUAGUUAGUUACCAAAUGAAAAUGGGAUAGAAGUAAAAAAAUCUUAAGAAAUUCAAAGAUGUGCCUAUAGAAAAAGCUAAUGAUAUUUUGUGAGAGUGGAGUGGAGGGGCCUUAGCAAAAACAAUAACAUCUAAAAAUAGAGAAAAUAGCUUAGUGAGAUAAUGAUUUGAGUAGGUGGAAAAUUCAAGAUCUUGAGAUGAAGAAAAUGAGGAAAUUUUGUUUAUCAUAUAGAGAAACUCAAAUGCGUAAUUACCCACCUUGCACAUCCACAUUUACUUAGCAUGUAAUACACAUUAAAUUUUUUCUUUCUAUCUUAGGGUGGGUUCAAUCGGCAUAUACUGGAGAAGAUAAAAAUACUAUCAAGUAAUUUUGUGUACCUUUUUGCUUAGCAGUUUUAAAAGUUUUAUCCCUUUUAAUCACCUUCCCCCCCACAACUACAUGCAUCCAUAAUUGCAAUACUAAUAAGUCUUAAGGUCCAAUAGUUAGAUCUAUAUAAAAAAUUAUAUCUAGUUAGUUACAAAAUGAAAAUGGGAUAAAAGAAAGAAAAACAUAAGAAAUUCAAAGAUGUACUUUUAAAAAAGCUAAUGAUAUUUUGUGAGAGGAGAGUGUAGGGACCUUACCGAAAACCACAUCUAAAAUUGGAGAAAUAACUUAGUAUGAAAAUGAAUUGAGUGGGUGGAAAAUUCAAGACUCUGAGAAGAAGAAAAAGACGAGAAUGUAUUUAUUGCAUAGAGAAACUCCAAGGCAUACCUACCCAUCCCUGCACAUCCACAUUCACUUAGCAUGUAAUGCACAUUAAAUAUUUUCUUUCUAUUUUGGGGUGAGUAAGCUUACAAUAUCCAUAAUUGCGACAGCUCUUAGAAUUCUCCAAGUCCCCUAGCAUGAAAUCUUUGUUCCCCUUGUUGUUCAAAAGUUUAUGAAAAUAGGACUUCCACUUCUUCCUAAUGAGGGCAUCCUUAACCAACAUUGUACUAUCCUCCCCUUGAUGUAAUUCACUUGGUCAAGGUAACGAGCCCUUUGCUCCCUAGCCUUGUCAAGCCUAUACAACUUUUUAUCCCUGCCUCUUUUCUCUAAAGCUAUAUAGAAACUCUGAAAAGCUACUGUUUUAGCCGUCGUAACUGCUAACUUAACGUCUCUUUUGGCUACCUUAUACUCCUCCUUAUUUGUCUGCCACUAGUCAUCAUCCUUUCUCUCAACCAACUUAGCGUAAGCCACCUUCUUAAUAUCCACCUUUUUCUUAACUUCUUUGUUUCACCAGCAGUUCCCAUGGUGCUUUCUAGAUUAUCCUCUCGAGACACCCAACACCUCUCUAUCGAUAUCCCUAAUGCAAUUGCUAGUCACCUCCCACAUACUAUCCAUAUACCCUCUGCUCUCCCAAUCCCCUUAGUCAUCAACUUCUUCCCUAUUUCUAAAACACUAGCCAAAGUCAGGCUACCCCACUUAAUCCUGAGCCGAUUCUCUGCUCUCCUCUUUUGUAUGCCCUUGUUGAUUACUAAGUAUUUCACCAAUAACAUAUGUUGUGUCAAAGGAUUCUCUCUAGGUAUUUCCUUACAGUCUCUAUAAAUUGCUCUAUCACCUUUCCAUAGUAGCAAAAAAGUCUAUCUGGGUCUUGGCUACCGAACUAUGAAAAGUAAUAAGGUGCUACUCCCUCUUUGGGAAUCUUGAAUUUACCACCCACAACCUAAAGUCCUUGAAAAAUCCAAAAGAGAAGCUCCUCCUUCAUUUCCUCCCUACAAAUUGAAACUUCCAUGCACAUCAUCAUAACCUCUCAGUAAAGACCCAAUAUGUCCAUUAGAAUCCCAUCUGAGAAAAAGCAUCUUUAUGCCCAGAACGCCUCUGACCACCUCACCCAAAGCCUCCCAAAAGUUCCUCUUCUCCUCCUCAUCUGAUCCUACUUACAGAGCGUAGGACCUAUUAACGAUCAAGUAGACCCAUAUAACCUCCACCACCCAUCUCCUAAGCUCUUCAUCUACUAAGAUACCUACGUGAUUUUUAUGCCUUAUGCUACUCGAGUACCACAACUUAUACCUGUCCACAUCCCUCGCCUUAGAGCCUACCCAUUUAGUUUCCUGGUCAUAAGCUAUACUAAUCCUCAUCUUUCUAAGACUCUUCACGAGCUCUAUAGACUUACCUUGAAGAGUCCCUAUGUUCAAAGACCCAAUUAUCAACUUGGAAUCUCCCUCACCCCACCUAUCCCUACCGCCUCUAACCCCAACUUAACUUAAUCCUAGACACACCCCUAACCCAUCCUAGACCUAGACUUUAGCCUCAUCCUAUACCCUAAUCUCGACCCUAAAUGCAACCCCGACCUAGAACAUGACCCUAGUUUACCAUCAUCUACCAAAACCACUACUAAAAAAGAGACGAGAAAAAACAAGCAAAUAGGUUAGGCUAAAAAUCAAAUAGGAAAGUCUAAAUAGAUGCAAAGGUAAUAAUGUGAAAAAUCUGCAAGAAAAAAUCAAGAAGCAACUGUGUAUGCCUAGGACCACAAAACCAAUAAACUAUAACACAAGUUUGACAAACAACAAUCAAUAACAAGAACUCUACAAGUGUCAAUAACUCUGAUCAGCUUUAGAAAGUAACCCAACACAAGAAAAAAAUACCAACACGUACCUCAGUAAAUUGAUGUACCAGUCUCAACUAACUCGUACUCAGUAAAAGAGAAACAAGAAUCAAUAAUCCCACAAGAAUAGUCAAGAUAAACAACAAGAAAUCAAGAGAGAAAGGACUGAAAAAUAUGUAUCAAAGAUGCAAGAAGUAUCCGCCUCCAAUUAAUCAGGAACCUAGACCAGAUAAACUAGAAGAGAUGAAACGAGUGCACCUGAUCUUAUGAGAAGAUGAAGUGAGGAUGUUUUCUUGAUCAUUUUGUCGGAUUCCAACAAGUUGGUGGAGAAAUUGAUCGCCAGAAUGUUGCUUCCACUGUCUUUACCUACACUGAUAUCGAACCUGAACUUGAAUAUCAGAAAAUAAAUUGGCUACCAAAAAAUGUAUGCCGUGAUCUACCGAAAAAACCUGGUGUCAUAGUAUUGCCGUCGGAGCUUCACCGGGCGGCCUUUGAGAAAAUAGAUCUGGGUUACCACUAUUUCUUGGUCAUCGCUGGAUAGUCGAUUCCACCAGUGGAAUUGGUUUUUAUCUCACUGAAAAAUAUAGAGUACCAACGAAGAUGGCGGUAACAAGUCGGAGACAAGGAUAAAGAGAGAGAGAGAAUGAAUGGGAGAGAGAAAUUAGUUGAAAAGAUCUGAGAAAAUAUUACCUUACCUGCCACCGAUGAGAGCGACAUCGCCAGAUUCAACUGUCAGUCCUCGACACUCAUAAUGGAAAAUUAUAGAGAGAUGUUUAAAGAGAGAGAUGUCACAAAGAGAGAGAGGAUGCUUAAUUAGUAAGAAAUGAUUUGAGUGAGUAGAAAAUUCAAGAUCUUGAGAUUAAGAAAAAUGAUGGGAAUUUAUUUAUUAAAUAGAGGAACUCAAAGGCGUACUUACAUCCAUAUUCACGAUACAUCCAUAUUCGCGAUAAUAAUGUCUUAAGGUUCAAUUGUCUGAUCUAUCUAAAAAAUUAUAACUAGUUAGUUACAAAAUAAAAAUGGAAUAGAACUAUGAAAAACUUAAGAAAUUCAAAGAUGUUCUUAUAAAAAAAUCUAAUGAUAUUUUGUGAGAGGGGAGUGUAGGGGCCUUAGUAAAAACAACAUCUAAAAAUGGAGAAAAUAGAUUAGUAAGAAAAUAAUUUGAGUGGGUUAAAAACUCAAGACCCUGAGUUGAAGGAAAAUGACGAGAAUUUAUUUACUAUAUAGAAAAACUCAAAGGCUAACUUACCCAUCCUGCACACCCACAAUCACUUAGAAUGUAAUGCACAUUAAAUAUUUUCUUUCUGUUUUAGGGUGAGUAUGAUUGACAUAUACUGGAGAAGAUAAAAAUAAUAUUGAGUAAUUUCGUGUACCUUUUUUCUUAGGAUUUUCAAAAGUAUUAUCCCUCCCCCCACCCCCAACCACAUGCAUCCAUAUUCGUGAUACUAAUAAGUCUUAAGGUCCAAUAGUCAUAUCGAUAUAAAAAAAUUAUAUCUAGUUAGUUACAAAAUGAAAAUGAGAUAAAAGAAAGAAAAUCACAAGAAAUUCAAAGAUGUACUUUUAAAAAGAUAUGAUAUUUUGUGUGAGGAGAGUGGAGAGGCCUUACCAAAAACAACAACAUCUAAAAAUAGAGAAAAUAAGUUAGUAAGAAAAUGAUUUGAGUGGGUGAAAAAUUCAAGACCUUGAGAUGAAGAAAAAAUACAAGAAUUUAUUUGCUAUAUAUGUAACACACCAUAUUAUUAUUAGCUCAAUUUAAUUUCUAGUGGCAUGCAUAAAUGGCUUAAGGCCUGAAAAUUUUACUAAGUGUUGGGAACUUAGUCAUUUUCAAGACCCCCAAAUUUUGAGGAUUUUUAUUUUGUCUUCCCGACCCUGAGAUGUUGGUUUUUGAGUUUAUUCAUAUUUAGGGGUGUAAGGAUAACGUCUCGGAGAAGUUUUGGAUUUUUAGAUGGGGUUUAGGUCAUGUUUGGAUCACAAAACUAGAGGAUUACCGCGAUAAGACCGUGUCGCAGCAAUAGUCCCAUUCUCAUGUUCAACCCAUCGUAGUGAGGAAAUUCAACUAUCGCAAUUAGACUACGUCAUGGUAAGUCUAUUGCAUCUAGUUUCGAAUUUAAAUGCCCAAGGGGAAAUUGGAUUUUCCCCCCUCGACCCAAAUUGUCCAUAACACUAAUUCAGGCAUCUAUUAGGGCAUUAUUUGCCCUUUUUCUCUAAUUCACUCUCAAGAAAACCCUUUCCAUUCACCAAGAACAAAAAUUCAACUCUUUUCCCUAUAUUAAUCUAGAAUUCAAGCUUACCAAGUUCAAGAACCUUCAAGAAAGCAUCAAGAUGUAAUACCCCAUACUUUUUCUAGCUUAAUUGCGCUCUUAGAAUGUCAAAGAUUAGCUUCAAAAAUAAAUAUCAUUUUAUGCAUGUGAAAUUUUCCAGAUUUAGACCUUCCAUGGUGUGGGAGAUUAAAUAAGCUUUCCAUCGAUACCAAUUUCACCCAAAUCCGACACUCGGUUAAGAAGUUAGGGCGUUCUUAGUAAAGCAGUGUGCCAACUGGGUAGUCACCGCAUUGCGGUGAAGGACAAUUUCAUAAUUGUCAUAUUUCAUUGGACCACCGUGAUUAGGUCAUAUCGCGGUGGAGUCCAAUUUCCCAUUUGUCACAUUCCAGUAGACCAAUAGAGUACCGCAUCACGUUGGUGGCCAUAAUGGCAUUCCAAUAGAGUACCGCGAUGGUGGCGCAUUGCAGAGAACUUUCAGUUCCUAUUCAUCAUUUUCCAGUGAGACACCGCGAUAGUGGUGCAUCGCGAUGGCCUUCCAAAUCAAAAUAUUUUUGCUUUUCCAGUUCCAAAUAUAAUUAAAAAGGGGUAUUAUGGUCAAUUCUCAAACCCCCAAUCCGUCCAAAACAAGAGAUUAAACCCAUUCUAAGACUAUUAUGCUCAUUAUUCAUCAAUUCUCUCUCAAAUAAAAAUCCUAGAGUUCAAAUCUUCUUCUCCAAGAAAUUAAAAUUCACCCUUGAUUCUCCAAGAAAGCUCUAAAUUGAGGAUUACCAAGACAAGAUAAUCAAGAAUCCAUAUUCAAGAACUCAAAUAGGAAUCCAAAGUUCAAGUUUCUUCAUCUAAUUAUCUACCAAGGUAUGUGGGGUUAUGAACAAGGACAAUCCUUUCGUCUUUGUUCCCAAUAUUAUAUUUUAAAGUAAAUUUCUUAUUAUUUGAAAUUAGGGUUCAUACUUAAUUAUCAGUAUUUGAAGAUUAUGAAUUUACAAGUGAUUGAAUGUUGAAUUGCAUGACUAUUUUCAUAUAUGCAUGUAAUGCAAUUUUUCAAAUUUUCCAAUUGAGUUUAAGCAUGAUAUUGUGAUUCUUGAUUUCAUUAUUUUGAUAUUGUUGAAGUAUUUUCAAGAAGCAUAUUGAGCAUGAUGAUUUUCUUUGAAUUUACAUGAGUUUGAAGCAUGGGUUAUUAUCCCAAGAUUGAAUAUUAUUAUUUCAAGAAAGAUUAUGCUUUAAGCAUCUUAUGAUCAGAUUAUUUUUAGAUUAUUCAGUAAAACUUUGAUCUCUUGAUCCUCAGAUAAGAUUUGGAAUCACUUUACAAAUCUAUCACAGGUUAUAGAAUUCAGAAUAGCUUUAUUUACAGAUUUAAUUAGACAAAUACAUAAUUGGUUUCAGAAUAAAUCCUUAUGCUAGUUUUAAAGUGGAUUUCCAACAAAAUAAGCGUAGCCUAAAGGGCGUAGUAUUUAGAACCAAGUGGAAAGUGUGGGAUUAGCGUGCCCUAUCAUCCACAGAACUACGUAGCCAACAUAGGUACAUAUUAUUAGAUUAUUCCCACUUAAACGUGGAUGACAAUUACAGAUGUGAUCACUUAGCUCAGGUUAUACUCCUUGGCAAGAUUAUGACACUUCUCCCCAUUGUGAGGUUUUCCCUUUAGGGGAACAAGACGUUGGAUUCUAUGUUUUCUCACAUAGUUUAUGUCGGUUAGAAGAACCUCCCUUGUAGAGCAGUUUGUCCCUAACAGUAAAAGCUUUCAUUAUAGUUUUAAAGUAUUUCCCUAAAGUUGGUGAGUCCUCAUAGUUUGGGGACUUAUUUAUUUAGAUUUUGUAGCUUAUUAGUUUAUAUGAUUCAACAUUCUUUUCAGAUAGUUCGAGUUAGUUGGGGGUUUGUCCAAGUGACUCUCUAGUUAUUAGUAGUAGAGGUUUGUCAGACUGCUAGUUUUGAUACAAAUUAUUCAGUAUUGAGAAUUCAAACCUUACUUCAGAUUUUUCUCAAUUAUUUCAGACAGUUUUUUGAAAUAGUAUGACUCUUAGGUCUAUGUUUCCUAUAUGAUGAGAUUCAGACUUAGUACCAGGAAGACAGGGUUAGCUUAAGGCUACUCAUUGUCUUGAGCACCGUGUGACAUCUCGGGACUAGGUUUUGGGGCAUUACAAACUUGGUAUUAGAGCUUAAGGUUUAUAAGAGACUUAGAGAGUCAGGCAAUCCGCAUUACGUAAAGUCUUGAUCAUGGGUGUGAAGAACGCCAUAUUUAUGAGCAAGAGGCUACAGGAAGUUCUUUGGAAAUUAUCUCUUUCGUUCAUGAUCUAUUGUACUUACAGUACCUCUAUCUGCUUUUAACUCGUGUUCUUACGUGAUAUUUGAAUAUGCGUCCUCGUCAAGCUAAUGCCCACAAAAAUGAUAACCAGCCACCCUAGCCCGCCGAUCCUCUGAAUGAGAAUACUUCCUAUGAUGAGUUUAGGGAUGCCUUUCAGGCAUUGGCCCAAGCAGUGAAUUCUAAUAUUUAGGAUAACUAUCAGUCUGCAGUCCCACUUUAGUAGAAUGGUGAUUUAGAAGCAGCCAGAAUUAAAGACUUCAUGAGAAUGAAUCCACCAGAGUUCUUUGGGUCAAAAGUAGGUGAGGACCCAUAACUUUAUUUAGAUAAGGUAAAGAAGAUCACCCAGAUUAUGCAUAUUUCUAAAGAGGAGAGUGUAGAGUUGGCAUCCUGUAGGUUAAAGGAUGUAGCGUAUAAUUGGAUAGUCAUCCGGAAGAAUGGUAGAGGUGAGAAUGUAGCUCCUAUGAGUUGGCAGGUAUUUCAAGAUGCUUUUCUAGGUAGGUUCUUUCUACAUGAAAUGAGAGAGGCUAAGAUAGAGGAGUUUGUUAACCUGAGGCAGGGCUCGAUGACAGUGAAUGAGUACUACCUUAAGUUCAAUCAGUAUUCUAAUUAUACCCCUGAUAUGAUGGCUGAUCCUAGGGUAAGUAUGAGUAAGUUUAUUACUGGAGUGUCUAGAUUGGUAGUCAAGGAGUGUAGGACUGCCAUGCUUAUUUGAGACAUGGAUCUUGCUAGGUUGAUGAUUCAUGCUAAAAAUAUUGAGGCAGAGAAGUUGAAGGGAAGAGAUAACAGUAAUAAAAAGGCUAAAAUAGGGUAGUUUGAGUAUGGCUAGGCUAGGUGUCAAGGGGGAAAUCGAUCAUAGUUUCAGAAUCAUUCAUCUGUCCCAGCACCAUCUUUAGCUAGGAUCCUCCUGCUAGAUCUAUACAAAAUCAGUGGGGUAAGUCCUCUAUGUCCAUAUCUUAGAAUAGUGUGAGUGGAAGGCCCGGUUAUCCUUCUUGUGCUAAGUGUGGUAAAAAUCAUCCUGGAGACUGCUUAGCUGGAUAGAAAGGUUGUGGUUGUGGUAAAUUGGGUCAUGGAAUUAGAGAGUGUCUGCAUGCUAAGUAGGGAAACAGAGAUGUUUGUACCCAGACUUAGGCUACUAGUGCACCAGCUCCUUUAGUUUGCCUAGUUCCUCCUCAGGGCGCAUCAUCUAGUACCGGUGGUGGUCAGUUCCAAAAUUAGUUUUAUGCUUUACCAUCCUAUCAGGAGUAGGGGGAUUCACCAGAUGUUGUUACUGGUAUGCUUCGUAUCUUUCAUCUUGAUGUUUAUGUUUUGUUAGACCCUGGGUCGAGUUUCUCUUAUGUGACCCCAUUAGUUGCAGUCAAUUUUGAAAUAAGUCCUGAAAAGAUCCUUAAGCCUUUCUUGGUUUCUAUCCCAGUAGGUGAGUCGUUGUUGCCAAACAGAUUUAUAGAAAGUGUCCUAUCAUUGUCCUUUAUAAAAUCAUGUUAGCAGACUUAAUAGAUUUAGAUAUGUUUGACUUUGAUCUUAUUCUUGGUAUGGAUUGGCUCCAUUCUUAUUAUGCAUCCAUAGAUUGUCGCACCCGAGUGGUGAAGUUUUAGUUUCCAGAUGAGCCAGUCUUUGAGUGGAAAGGUAAUUCAGUGUCUCCCAAGAGUCACUUUAUAUCUUAUCUUAAGGCCAAAAAGUUGAUUUCUAAAGGGUAUAUCUAUCUUCUAGUUUGAGUCAAGGACACUAAAUUUAAGACUCUAAUAGCUCAGUCAAUCAGUGUAGUCAAUGAGUUUCCUGAUAUUUUUCCUAAAUAUUUGCUAAGGGUACCUCCCGAUAGGGAAAUAGAAUUUGGUAUUGAACUUUUCCUAGCUACUCAACCUAUUUCUAUUCCUCCUUAUCAUAUGGCUCCCGCCGAGCUUAAAGAGUUAAAGUAGCAACUCAAAGAUCUUCUAGAUAAAGGUUUCAUAAGGCCUAGUGUUUCUCCAUGGGGGGACUCCCGUCCUAUUCGUGCAAAAGAAAGAUGGUUAUUUGCAUAUAUGCAUUGACUAUCAUUAGCUGAAUAAAUUCACAAUCAAAAGAAAAUAUUCUCUUCCUAGAAUUUAUGACUUAUUUGAUCAAAUCCAAGGUGCAAGUUAUUUCUCAAAGAUAGACCUUAGAUCCGGCUAUCAUCAACUUAGAGUAAGGGAAUGUGAUAUCCCAAAGGCAAUUUUUAGAACUCGUUAUGGUUAUUUUGAGUUUAUAGUCAUGUCCUUCGGGCUAACAAAUGCCCCAACAUCCUUCAUGUACUUGAUGGACAGAGAGUUCAAACAGUAUCUAGACAUGUUUGUCAUAGUCUUUAUCGAUGAUAUUCUUGUAUACUCACGUAGUGAUAAUGACCAUACAGACCAUCUUAGAAUUGUGUUACAAACUCUUAGAGAUCACCAGUUGUUCGCCAGAUUCAGUAAAUGUGAAUUUUGGCUAAGUUAAGUAGCUUUCCUUAGUCAUAUCAUUUCCAGUGAAGGUAUUCUAAUUGAUCCCCAAAAGACAGAAGCAGUAAUAAAUUGGCCUAGACCUAUCUCGCCGUCAGACAUUAGGAUUUUCUUGGAUUUAGUUGGAUAUUACAGAUGUUUUUUUGAGGGUUUCUCAUCUAUUGGGUCUCCUAUAUAUAGAUUGACCCCAAAAAAAUGUUAAGUUUCAUUGGUUAGAUUCUUGCGAGAAGAGUUUUUAGGAGUUGAAGACUCGACUCACUUCAACCCCAGUUCUAGCAUUACAUGAUGGUACAGAUGGUUUCGUUGUGUAUUGUGAUGCCUCUAGAGUUGUUUUGGAUUGUGUUUUGAUGUAGAGAGGUAAGGUCAGAGUCUAUGCCUCUAGACAUCUUGAGCCUCACGAAAAGAACUACCUAAUCCAUGAUCUUGAAUUAGCUGCUGUUGUGUUUGCUUUGAAAAUCUGGAGACAUUAUUUAUAUGGAGUGCAUGUUGAUGUGUUUAUGGAUUAUAAAAGCUUGCAGUAUGUGUUUACCUGGAGGGAGUUAAAUCUUCGAUAGAGAAGGUGGUUAGAAUUGUUGAAAGAUUAUGAUAUGAGUGUGUUGUAUCAUUCUGGCAAGGCGAAUGUAGUGGCAUACGCUCUUAGUAGAUUGUCCAUGGGCAGUGUUGCUCAUGUGGAGAAUUACAAGAAAGAGUUAGUUUGAGAAAUUCAUCGAUUAGCUAGAUUGGGUGUGAGAUUGGUUGAUUCAACUGAAGGAAAUGUUUGGGUCCUGAAUAGUUCUGAAUCUUCCUUAGUUUUGGAAGUGAAAGAGAAACAAGAUAGGGAUUUUAGUUUGGUCAAACUGAAGGAGUCAGUUAAAGACCAAAAGACAGAGUUUUUCUCCUAUGGGGGAGAUGGUGUGUUGAGAUACUAGAGUAGAUUGUGUGUGUCAUAUGUUGAUGAUUUUAGGCAACGGAUUAUGGCGGAAGUGCAUGGUGCGCAUUAUUCCAUUCAUCCAGGUGAUACCAAGAUUACCGCAACUUGCGAUAAAUUUAUUGGUAGAGUGGUAUGAAGAAAGAUAUAGCAGAUUUUGUAGCCAAGUGUGCAACUUGUCAAUAGGUUAAGGUAGAGCACCAAAGGCCUGGUGGUAUGUUGCAAGAGUUUAGUAUCCACGCUUGGAAGUGGGAAGAGGUGAAUAUGGAUUUUGUAACUGGUUUACCUCAUUUGCAUCAUCAGCAUGAUUUGAUUUGGGUUAUUGUAAGUAGAUUGACUAAGUCAGUGCAAUUUUUGCCAGUUCACACCUACACUGCCGGAGAUUAUGCUAACUUGUAUAUCAGAGAGUUGGUUAGAUUGCAUAUAGUUCCUUUAUUUAUCAUCUCAGAUAGGGGUACUCAGUUCAUCUCUCAGUUUUGGAAAGCCUUUCAGAAGGGUCAUGGUACUCAAGUUCAUUUUAGUUUAGAUUUUCAACCGUUGACAGAUGGUCAAGCAGAAAGGACCAUUCAGACCUUAGAGGACAUAUUAAGGUCAUGUGUUCUUGAUAUCAAAGGUAGUUGGGAUGAGCACUUACCAUUAAUUGAGUUCUCUUAUAAUAACAGUUAUUAUGCUAGUAUUCAAAUAGCUCCGUUUGAAGCUCUUUAUGGGUGGAGAUGUAGAUCGCCAGUUGGUUGGUUCAAAGUGGGUGAGGCCACUUUGAUUGGACCAGACAUGGUGUUUGAGGCCAUGGAAAAAGUUCAAUUAAUUCGAGAGAGAUUGAAAGCUGCCUAGAGUCGUUAGAAAUCUUAUACAGAUGUAAGAAGAAGAGAUCUUGAGUUUGAGGUUGACAACCUUGUGUAUUUGAAAGUUUCACCCAUGAAGGAGGUGAAGAGAUUUGGCAAAAAAGGGAUUCUUAGUCCCCAAUAUGUAGCCCCUUCCGAAUUUUGAGUCAUGUUGGAAAGGUGGUGUAUGAGCUUGAGCUACCCGCAAAUUUAUCCUCAGUUCACCUAGUGUUCUAUGUGUCCUUGUUGAAGAAGUGCAUGGAUGAUUCAGCCAUUAUAAUCCCACUAGAAAGUACAAAUAUUCAGAAUAAACUUUCAUACGAAGAAGUCCCAGUAGAGAUUCUUGAUCAUCAAAUCCGUAUACUAAGGAACAAAGAAGUUUCCUUGGUCAAAUUUCUGUGGCAAAAUCAGUCCGCUGAGGGUGCUACUUGGGAAACAGAAGCAGACAUGCGUACCAAGUAUUAUUAUCUCUUCUCCACGAACUUAGAUUUAACCGAAGGUAGUAGUUUUCCUUUAUUAAGUUCUUUUCCUAUCUCAGAUUUAGCUAUAUAGUUAUUUUAUGCCACCUUAUACACUCACAGAUCAGUUUAGUAGCUCUGUAUGUUUCAGAUUCAGUCAUACAUAUAUUUCAGUUGUGCAUGAUAGCUUAUAGCCUUAGAUUUCUCAGUAUUCUCAGCUUAACUAGCCAUAUUCGGGGACGAAUGUUUCCAAGAGGGAGAUAUUAUAAUACCCCAUACUUUUUCUAGCUUAAUUUCUCUCUUAAAAUAUCAAAGAUUAGCUUUAAAAAUGAAUAUCUUUUUAUGCAUAUGAAAUUUUCUAGAUUUAGACCUUCCAUUAUGUGGGAGAUUGAAUAAACCUUUCAUCGAUACCAAUUUCAUCCAAAUUCGACACUCGAUUUUGAAGUUAGGGCUUUCUUAGUAAACCAGUGUGCCAACUGGGUAGUCACCGCAUCAUGGUAAAGGAUAAUUUCAUAAUUGUCACAUUUCAGUGGACCACCGCGAUUAGCUCGCAUAGCGGUGGAGUUCUAUUUCCCAUUUGUCACAUUUCAGUAGACCAACGCGAUAUUACCACAUCGCAUUGGUGGCCAAAAUGACAUUCUAAUAGAGUACCGUGAUGGUGGCGUAUCGUGGAGAACUUUCAGUUCCCUCUCAUCAUUUUUCAGUGAGCCUCCGCAAUAGUGGCAUGUCACAGUGGCCUGCCAAAUCAAUUUUUUUUCUUUUCCAGUUCUGAAUAAAAUUAAAAAAAGGUAUUAUGGUCAAUUCCCAAAUCUCCAAUCGGUCCAAAACAUGAUAUUAAACCCAUUCUAAGUGUAUUAUGCUCAUUAUUCAUCAAUUCUCUCUCAAAUAAAAACCCUAGAGUUCAAAGAUUCUUCAAGAAAUUAAAAUCCACCAUUGCUUCUCCAAGAAAGCUCUAAAUUGAGGAUUCCCAAGAGAAGUUAAUAGAGAAUCCAUCUUCAAGAACUCAAAUAGGAAUCCAAAGUUCAAGUUUCUUCAUCUAAUCAUCUACCAAGGCAUGUGGGGUUAUGAACUAGGACAAUCCUUUAGUCCUUGUGCCCAAAAUUAUAUUUUUCAGCAAAUUUCUUAUUAUUUGAAAUUAGGGUUCAUACCCAAUUAUCAGUAUUUGAAGAUGAUGAAUUUACAGGUGAUUGAAUGUUGAGUUUCAUGACUAUUUUCAUAUAUUUAUGGAUGUAAUGCGAUUUUCCAGAUUUUUCAAUUGAGUUUAAGCAUGAUAUUGUGAUUCUUGAUUUUAUUAUUGUUGAAUUAUUUUCAAGAAACAUAUUGAGCAUGAUGAUUUGCUAUGAAUUUACAUGAGUUUGAAGCAUGGGUUAUUACCCCAAGAUUGAAUAUUAUUAUUUCAAGAAAGAUUAUGCUUUAAGCAUCUUACGAUCAGAUUAUUUUCAAAUUAUUCAGUAAAGCUUUGAUCAUUUGAUCCUCAAAUAAGAUUUGGACUACACUUUUAUUCCUACUUCUGCAUGGAUAAUAGUUACAGAUGUGAUCACUUAGCUCAGGUUAUACUCCUAGGCAAGAGUAUGACACCUCUCCCAUUGUGAGGUUUUCCCCUUAGGGGAAUAAGACAUUAGACUCUAUGUUCGCUCAUAUGGUUUAUGCUGGUUAGAAGAAAAUUCCUUGUAGAACAGUUUGUCCUUAACAGUAAAAACUUUUAGAACAAUUUUAAAGUAUUUCCCUAAAGUUUAAAGCUUACAGCAUAACAAAAAUACUUUUAGAAAACCAAGUGUAAAGGCUCAUAACUUUAUUUAGAUUAUGCUUUAUAGAAAGAUAUUAGCUACAGAUUUCAGCUUUCAGAUUUCAGACAUAGACUUGAGACCUUUCUACACUUAGACAAUAUGAUUUAUAGAGAGAAGAAAAGUACAACUCUCAGAACUAAAUGUUAUGACUCACUAAAUUUAUAAAGUAUGAUUUUCUAUACAUGAUUACAAAUUUCAGUAUUUCAGAUAUUCCAGUUUCUGUGAGUCAUUUAUAUUUAGCAUGCAUUAUUUUACAAAUUAUGAUGAUGAGAUAAUAUUUUACUUAUGCAUUUAACCCCUAUAUACUCAGGACAUCCUCAAAGUAUUGAUCCAUUUAUACUUCUAUAUGCUACAUUGUCUCAUAAUGUAGGUUCAGGCGCUCAGUAUAAGUAGUGUGAGUAGUUCGAGCAUCUCCAUCUACAUCCCAUAAUUGGUGAGUCCUUAUAGUUCGGGGACUUAUUCAUUUAGAUUUUGCAGCUUAUUAGUUUAUAUGAUUCAAUAUUUUUUUCAGGUAGUUCGAGUUAGCUGGGGGUUUGUCCCAGCGACUCUCUAGUUAUUAGUAGUAGAGGCUUGUCAGACUGCUAGUUUUGACAUAGAUUAUUUAGUAUUGAGAUUUCAGACAUUACUUCAGAUUAUUCUCAGUUAUUUUAAAUAGUUUUCCGCAUAUUGUAUGACUCUUAUGCCUAUGUUUUUAUGAUGAGAUUCAGACUUAGUACCAGGCAGACAGGGUUAGAUUAAGGCUACUCGUAGUCUUGAGCACCGUGUGACGUAUCGGGACUAGGUUUUGGGGCAUUACACAAGAUUAGGGUUUCAUUUCCAAUUAAGAAACUUAAGGUAUGUGGGACUAUCCUGAACUCCAUGGGCAUAAGUUUUGCCAUUUUUAUCAAGUUUAAAGAUAUAUAGUUAUGUUUACAAAAAAGGUUUUUGACAUAAUUUUGAAUAGCAUGUAUCAUGGAUUGGUUUUGAUGGAAGUAAAUGUUUGUCUUGAACUCCUUUUAUAGAAUUGAACUAUAACCAUGUAUAUACGUGUUUUUAGUUUUUCAAAGUUUGAUUGAGAUCAUGAAUAAAGAAACUCCCUAUCUCAUCAUGAUAUCCUUUGAUUUCAAGUGUUGUGGUUGUUCAAAGGUAUAAUUGUUAAAAUAAAACUUGAGAAUGAGUUCCUUAUUAAUGUUCACGGAUUGAUAUGGUUUAUGACAAGUCGAGGGGGUGUUUUUACUUCUUGUAAUCAUUCAUUGUAUUAAUUGAAGGAUUUUCAUGAGUUUUAAGUAAACACAAGCAUGCGAUGGCCACCAUAUGAUUGUAAUGUCGAGAAGAGAGUGUUUGGUGUAAACUCAUUUGAUAACCUAUAGAAAUACUCUCUUUCUUACAUUAUGUUUAAAGCUUUUGGGUGGUCAUUAACGUGGUGCUAAAUUAGAAAUGGCUACAUAUAUAUUGUGAUAAGAAUUGAUUGACUUGUAAGUUCAGGUAUGACGAUACCCUAUGUUGAUAUAACCUGAACAAAAUAAGAACUGAAUGUUUUGAGUAUGAAGCAUGAUAUUUAAAGGACAAUAACUAGACUAAAAGAGAUUUAGAUGGUUACCUGAAAAAGGCAUGAGUUCAGAUAACUUAUAGCCUGAAGCUGUAAUUUGCUGAUGCGGGUUUUCUUUUAGGGAAGGUAUGUCAUUCAAGGAGGCAUAUCCUUUUCUUAGGUCACUAUGUGUCAUGCAAGGUGGCAUACUUUGUGAUUCUUAUGUACUCCAAUCCUUGUGGUAAGCUUAGAUUGGGGGCUUAGCUGCCGAGUCAAGGACAGAUCCCAUAUAGCCCGUGGAAUGAUCAGGAUUGUAGGGUGUACCAUCUAUCUCAGAAGUAAACUAAAGAGCGAGACAUGGUUACCAAGAAUUUUCUCAAAAUUCAUUAAAUUAUGCCUAUGUGUUUUCAGUCAACUUAUGAUGAAUUAGUUUUAUGAAAUGCUCUCACCUAUGUUAUAUGAAAAUAUGUUAUUUUGGAUUAUUUCACAUAACAGUACCUUGUGUAUUGACCCCCUAUAUUUUAGGUUCUGAGGCCUAGCCCCAUGGUCCCGCUAAUCAAUAGAUCGGUGUCAGACAUUUGGAGUUGGUGUCACGACCCAAACCGAGGGCCUGUCCGCGACGAGCAUCCCAAACCAUGAAGCCCUGAGAGACCUUCUAACUAGCAAUCAUAUGCAUAAUUUAUAACUAUAAAAUGCGGAAACAAAAUGGAAACAUGGUCAUCUGAUUAUAUUAACAAAACAAUACGACACAAGUUCAACAAGACUAAAAUCCAUCUAACACCUGUCUGCGAAAUCUCUACUAACUAAAGAAAACCAACAUCUGUUUGACGACUAGGACAAGGCCCCAGUUGGACCAUAAACCAAAACUAAAUGAGAUUAACACAUGUGAACAAGACACCUUCCGAAGUAAGAGAGGCUUACCAACUCUGAAUGUCCAACAACAAUAUACUGUUUAGUAGAACUGCUAGACUAGGGCUUAGAAACUGGAAUAUAGGGGGUCAAUACAUAUGUACUUAUGCAUAGAGCAAUAAAAAAUAAUGUACUUUUGUACAACAUAAGUGAGAGCAAUUCAUAAAACAGUUUACAUAUGAUAUAGGAAAAACAUAUGGGCAUACUUUAAAGACUUUGAAAUAUUUCUUUGAAAUCAUGAACCACUCUUUAUGUUACUUCUGAGCUAGAUGGUACACCCUAAAAUCUGUAAUUCUAUGGGCUAUAUAGAAUCCACCCUUGACUCAGCGUCCAAGCCCCUAAUCCAAGUUUGCCGCAAGGAUUGUAGUAUUAGUAAGGGGAGACACGCAAGACCACACAACAUGUUUCUAUGAUCCCCAAUCAAAUCAACAUGGUAGUGCACAAAACCACAAAGAAUGGGUCCUAACCAAAGCCCCAAAUUGGGAUGACAUAAAUCAAGGUACACAAGACCACACAACAUGGUACCAUAACCCCGUGUCGGUAAAUAAUGAUUUUUAGCAUUGAGUUUUUCAACUCGUACAUUAUUUGGGUAACUAUCUAACUCUCUUUAAGCCCAUUUUUAAUCUUUUCUAAACAUAUAUCUUUCUUAAUUCAAAAUCUGAGUAAAAUCUGUAUUUUUAGUCUAUUUUGAAUCUGCUAUGGCAUUCUUUUGUUUGGUAUUAUCAUACGAAGACUUGCAAGUCAUAUCUCUAAUCCAUAAAAUAUCAUGUUACAGCUCUUUCAUUCAAAGAAAUGGUUAGACCACCAAAUCAUUCAAACAAUACAAGAGGAUGUGUAUAUCAAAAUUCAUGAAAACUUAUGCAAAGAUUCUCUCUUUCAAUUCACAAAUAUGUAGUGGUCAACUCUCUUGUAACAAACUAUGAAACUCUUUAAAAUCAUUACUUCUCAUUUAUAUAAACAGGAAAACACCCUCUCUUCACUUCUAUAAUGCUCUGUAUUUCCCUAUUUUAACUUAACUUUUUGUACAUGAGUUAUCCUAUAUAUAUUUUUAUAAAUACUAAGUAUUUUUCAGUUUAGAGCUUACCAUUGUGUUGGAAAUUCAGUCAGCUUUCCAAUGAUAUAAAGUUUUUCCAAAUCCGAUACCUGGGUUAAGAGUUAUAGCAUAUUUUGUAAAAUAGUAUGCCAAUUUAGCAAUCAACGUAUCGUGGAGGCAGUCCAAAUGACAAUAGUCAUUUUACAGUGUUCCAUCACGAGUGUUACCAACCAUUUUACCAAUUAUCAAUUUCCAAUGUGACUCCACAAUUAUGGCAUGUCGCACCAAAGGGUAUAUUCGCAUACAGUGAAGCUCCGCGAAUGUACUGCAUCGUGCCAAGCGUCUAGUUCCCAAUUGUCAAUUUCCAGUAACACGGCACGAUAGUUUCGUGUCAUGCCACGAGCCCAGAUCGGGUUUUUAGUGACAAUUUUAAAUUUUUUCUAGGGGUAAUUGGGUAUUUUUCCAUGAUCCAAGUCAGUAUUAAACAUGUGAUUAAACCCCUAAAUAGCCUAUUAUCUCAUUAUUUUACUCACUUUUCUCAAGAAACAAAACAUUCUCUAUCAAAGGGCAAAACCCAAGAACAAAAUCAAGAAUUCCUCCAAGAAACUUCAAGAACUUCUUUUCUUAGGUAUGUUAGGUGUUCAUCUAUGGGUUCUUUCACCCAUAGUGUCCAAGAAUCUAUUUUAAAACUACAAGGUUAUAGAAUUAUGAUUUCCAUGCUUGAAAUUAAUUGUACUCAUGUUCAUGAUAGUAAUUGGGUUUUAGUUCAUGAUUCAUUGUAUGUUUCCAUGAAAUUAAAAUAUUUUAUGUGAUGAAUUAUAUGAAUUGCAUGCUAAACCCUUUAGAUUUGUAAUUGAGUAUUGUAUUCAUAAUGUUCAUAUCAUGUGAAAUAAUCCAUGUUCCCCAAGUGUUUGCUAAAAUGCCUAUGUGAAGUAAAUAGUGAAAUCAUGAAAUAUUAUUAUGUGGUCCUAAUCAUGUACAAGUUUAUGCCCUACAAGUGUUUGAUAAAAUGUCUCUAUGAAUGAAUUAUGAACAAGUGGACAUUGUUAUGUUUUUCAAGAUCAUGCUAUGCUCCUGGGGGUAUCUAAUACCCAAAAAUUUAGCUGUUUACCUAGAGCUACAGUAGUUAUAGAAUCAUCUCAGUAGUGUCACAAUCAGUAGCACUCUUAGUCCAUUACAAAACUCAAAAAACUAAGUCAGUUACAGAACUCAGUAAAACUCAGUACCAGUCUAGUUUAACUCAGGAUAAUCAGUUCAGUAUCUAUUCAGUUGGGAGUAGGAUUUAGCACCGGGUAAAUACAAGUAUGGGGGAUCACCUGCCAGUAGAGGGUGUGAUCCUUAGAAACAGUCCCUGCAUUCCAGAACUAUGUAGCCAACGUAGGUUGAGACAUCAACCUUCCAGUUGAGGGUUGAUGAGGUGUUUUUAACCUACCAAUUGAGGGUUGAUGAGGUGUUUUUAACCUGCCGGAUGAGGGUUUGAUACGGGAAUAACCUCGAAUAUGCACUUAAGAGAGUGCGUGUUGGACCUGCUCCUUGGCAUGUGUAAUUGAAGUGUAAAAGAGGUCGAAAAUGCACCCAAAUCAUCCCAUAAAUUAUACUAUAUGGGUGCCCACUCUUUGAAGGGUCUUUUGGUCAUUUUAACUUAUAUUUUGUAAUAGUUAUAAAAGGAACAUUGCAGGGUUUUUAGAUUUAGUUUUUGAUGUUAUUUGUGAGUCUUUAAAGACCAAAGAACACAACUCCUCUCUCCUUGAGGCACCAAAACCGAAAGUAGGAUACAAUAAUAAGGUAAAUUCUCUUUUGUUGUUGCUUUGCUUGGAAACGUUGAUGCUAGAGAGGUGCAAUCCGAUCUUGUGUCACGUAAGAGAUAGGUUUAUUAUUGUGUGUAGUGUUAAGGGUACAAGAGUUUCCAUUCUUGGGUUCUUAAGAUUAUAACUUUAUGUGGUCUAUCUAUCUAUCCCUUUACUUUCUUGUAAUCAUGUUUAGUGUUUGUGUUGUAAUUUUGUGUUCUUGUUGUUAUUGUUAAAUCCGAAUCUUGUGCCUUUGUGUUCAUCUUGUUUUUCACGUAUUGUUUCUGUUUUGGUGUGAAAGACACCCUGUUUACCUUGUAUUUUUGUUGUAUUUGUGAAUCUGAGAGAGGUCUUCAAUCGGUCCAAGGAUCUUAGUGAUUUGUGGACUAUUUUGGAGUGUGUUUGUGGAUUGUUUUUGAGUGAUUUCAUAUCUUUCAAGUUUUUAUCGUAUCAUUUGGUAUCAUAGUAUGGCUUGAUAUUGUUCCCACAAGAUCAAUCUUGGGCUUGUUAUUUGAAAAAUUAAAAAAAAAAUUCAAAAUUGAAAAUUCCAGAAAAAAUAGCAAUCUAUCCGUGUUGUGUUCUUGGCCGAAAAGUGUGUUCUUGUUGUGUGUUGGACGAGAUUUUUACUUGUAUUUGUUGUCUCUAAGUAUUAUUUUUGUUCCUCACUAACACAUUGAGUCUAUAUCUAGAUUUGAGCUUUAAAAAUUGAUGUUGUUGUUGUGAAAAAGAAGUGGCCGUGGGUUGAAGUUGUUGUUUUAACUUGGUCAUGUGGUGAUCUUGUUUUUGGAUGUUGGUUGGUGUUGUUUUUGAUCUUUGUGGUUGUUUUUGUGUUCUUGUUGUUCAUGACAAUCUUCAUCUAGUGUUAAAACCGAAAAUACAACACCAAAGAAACUUGGCCAUUUGUUGGUGGUUUUAUUGUUGGUUUUGUUAUUGUGGAAUUGGGCGUUGGAACUUGUUGUUAUUAGGAGAUUGUUGUUGUUUAUUCUUGUUAUGGUUGUUGUGUUCUUGAAGUUCUUCACCAUAUUCAUCACCUUGUUAAGAUAAAGUGAAUAAUAGAUCCUAAAAGGUGAAGGAAAGAGGUGUAAGUAAUUGUCAGUCUUGAAAGACCCCCAACCAUAAAAAAACUUUACAUCACUUCUCAACCAUUUUUCCAUGAAACAAGGGUUCAUGUUUUAUGGAGAAUUUCGAGUCUAGUCAAAGACUUUUGGGUCUUGAAAUUUGAAUUUCAAAGACUAGUUUGUAUUUCCCUCCAUUGAACAAUUUCUACCAAAGUUCAAAUUGUAGAAUUGAUCAAGACUUCCAAAUUUGGAAAAUAAAAUUGUUGACUGAGGCCAAUCAAGGACUGCCACAUCACCAAUUAAUGUUCACCGAUAAAUUUUAAGCUCAAAUUUUGAUCUUUGAGUUUCAUUUUGUGUCUUUAAUUUCAUUUUUUGAUUCCCAUACUAACUUACAAGCUAGUGACCAAUUACUAGAUUGUGAGUUAGUUUGAAACCAUAUAUUUUUUUUGUGUGUGUUUAUGUUCCUUUGUGUGUUUUAUUCUUUUGAGUUAUUGUACACACUUGAUUCACCUCUCAACACCUAUCGGAGUACAAGAAAGCUUACAACAUUGUGAGAUUGAGUGUGAGGGAUUCAAGAGACAAGAAAUAAAAGAGAGAGUAAGGAUGUUUUUGUACAACUUACGUGUUUUCUGUUUUGUAGGUAACUCCUUUGCCAUAAUGGACACCAUUUUGGGUUACCUUGAUGCUAUUGCUCGAUAAAUAGCUAAGGCGAAUACGGUUCUUGAAAAAUUGGGUUCGAAUAUGUCCACUACACUUGAAAGGUUGGAUCGAGUGGAGAGUCGAAGAAACUCUCAUAUUUCUACUCCCGAAGCUUUUUCUCAAAUGAUCAACCCUCCAAGACCACCACUAAAUGACAUAGACAUAAGCCAAGCCAAUAAAUAUCCUCAAACCUGAGACCUAAAUGAGUCACUUCCCCCUCAAUUCGAUCAAGUCCAACAAGAGGGAUUUGGAAGCCAAUUUCCUCCCAUCCAUGCUCCAGAACCGAAGCUCCCACUUACCAAAUCGUUCCUCUCAACCAAAACUCUACUUCAGCAAAACUGAUAUAACCAUGUAAAGGAGUAUGGUAGAAAGGAACAUGAAGGUUAUGGAGACUACUACAAUACUUGUAUGAUGGUAGGAGACUUGUUUUGGAUGGGAUUGAUGAUAUGGCUUAAGAUGGAGAGGAAGCCGAGGUUCAAAAUGAAGUGUUGGUCGAGAGUUAUUGUUAUUGAGCCCUCGGAUUCUUCAUGAUUUUUUGGAUUGUUUUGACUUUUUUUUGUGACUUGUUUGCGGAUUGUUUUGAGUAGGUUUCCUUUGAAGUGACUAAUUGAAUGAGGUAAAGCCGUGAAUUUAUGGACAAAUUCCUCUCAAGAUGGAGAGGAUAAUACAGGAAUAAUCUCAGAUAUGAACUUAGCAGAGUGCGUGUUGGACCCGAGCCUUGGCAUGUGCAAUUGAAGUGUAAAAGAGGCCCAAAAUGAACCCAAAUCAGCCCAUAAAUUACACUAGAUGGGUGUCCACUCCUUGAAGGGUUUUUUUUGGUCAUUUUAACUUAUAUUUUGUAAUAGUUAUAAAAGGAACAUUGUAGGGUUUUUAGAUUUAGUUUUUGAUGAUAUUUGUGAGUCUUGAAAGACCAAAGAACACAAGUCCUCUCUCCUUGAGGCACCAAAACUGAAACUAGGAUACAACACUAGGGUGGAUUCUCUUUUGUUGUUUCUUUGCUUGGAAAUGUUGAUGCUAGAGAGGUGCAAUCUGAUCUUGUGUCAUGUAAGAGAUAGGUUUAUUAUUGUUUGUAGUGUUAAGGGUCCAAGAGUAUCCAUUCUUGGGUUCUUAAGAUUAUACCUUCAUGUGGUCUAUCUAUCUAUCCCUUUACUUUCUUGUAAUCGUGUUUAGUGUUUGUGUUGUAAUCUUGUGUUCUUGUUGUUAUUGUUAAAUCUGAAUCUUGUUCCUUUGUAUUCAUCUUGUUUUUCACGUAUUGUUUCUGUUUUGGUGUGAAAUACACCCUAUUUACCUUGUAUUUUUGUUGUAUUUGUGAAUCCGAGAGAGGUCUUCAAUCGGUCCAAGGAUCUUAGUGAUUUGUAGACUGUUUUGGAGUGUGUUUGUGGACUAUUUUUGAGUGAUUUCGUGUCUUCCAAGUUUUUAUCAUAUCAGGGUUCCACCAUUCUCAUUAGAGCACCUGCUUGAGUUAUCAGAAAUCAGAACCCAACUUUAGUAAGAGUAUAUAUAUAAAUAAAUGCACAGUAUUGCAUUCUUGGUACUUAUAGUAGUUUCAGUUAUCAAUGUACUUUUACUUUGUUAUUCCACGCCAUUCAGUCAGUUAUUGUUCAUGCAUAUGAACCCUUGCAUUCAGCCUUACCUCAUCUAGCAUACCAGUACAUUCCACGUACUGACACAUACUUUCUCUUGCACUAUGAUGUCUCAUAUCAUAGGUUUGGAUGCUCAGGUUCCUAAUCGUGCUUAGCAAGAUUCAGUCAGUAGUAUUAGAUUACAGUAGUGAGUCUUCAUCUAUCGAGGAUGUGCUUUUAUUUUAGCAUUUUAGUUUUUUAGUAUUUCAGUAAAUGGAGUUAGUUAAGGGCUUGCCUAUCAACUCCACAUUCAAAAAGUUCAGUUAGAGCCUUUUCAGACUAGACUAUUUCAGAUAAUAUUCAAUAUUUCAGAUGUUUUCUUGAGACGUUAUAUUUUAUCAAUAUUUUAGAUUAUGAACCUUAUGGUAUUUUAGCCUAUUUUCUGCAUUAUUUCAGUAUUAUUACUUAGUGCUCACAACAGAUAUCAGGCGUGGGUUAGCUUGUGGUUUUUUGAGGUCAUAAGUAUUAUGUAAUGUCCAAGGUAAAGACUCGGGGAGUUACAAACUUGGUAUCAGAGACUAAGGUUCAAUAGAGUCCGAAGGAGUCUAAAAGUCGCAUCUAGUAGAGUCUUGUGCAUGGAUGUGUAGCGCUCCACAUUUAUGGGCAAGAGGCUAUGAGGCAUUUUUAGGAAAUAUUUCCCUUUUUUCAGUAUUCAUGUCGUGCGGGUGAGCAUGAGCUCAAGUUAAACUCUAAGUCUAAUCCUUUUCUUCCUUCCAUUUAUAGAACAUGCCUCCCAAAAAGAACAAUGGAAGAAGAACAGGAAACCAGUCAGCACCUCAGCCCGUUCAGGAAGAUCCCCUGGACGAGCAUGUCUCCCAUGCAGAAUUCAGAGCUGUGUUCACCACUCUAGCCAAUUUUGUAGCAUCUCAGAAUGAAUGGACAACUGCCGUUCAAGACAACCCAGUGGCCAAUACUGCUGCAGUCAGGAUUCAACACUUCACCUAAAUGAAUCCUUCCCUAUUCUCAAGAUCUAAGUCAGAAGAGGAUCCACAGGAGUUCCUUGACUAGGUUUAGAAAGUCACAGAUAUUAUGGGAGUGACUUCUAGUGAAAGUGCUGAGUUAGCUGCCUAUCAGCUACAAGAUAUAGCUCAUACGUAGUUUAAGCAGUGAAAGGUAGAUAGGGGCUCAGAUACAGAGCCUAUAGAGUGGGAAAAAUUUGCUACUACUUUUCUAGAUAGAUUCUUUCCCUUAGAGCUGAGAGAAGACAAGGUGUUAGAGUUUAUUAAUCUCAAGUAGGGAAGUAUGAUUGUGAAAGAGUAUUCCCUCAAGUUUACUCAGUUAGCUAGGUAUGGUCCCCAUGUAGUAGUAGACAGUAGGUCUAGAAUGAGCAAGUUCAUAUCUGGGGUGUCAGAGAUUAUUGUUAAAGAGUGCAGAACAACAAUGCCAAUUUAGGAGAUAGACAUAUCUAGGCUUAUAGUCCAUGCUCAUCAGCUAGAAAAGGCUAAGAAUAAGGAGAAAGAGAGGGAGAGUAAAAGAGUUAGGACAAGUAGCUUCAAUUUCACUAAGCCUAAGUUACAAAGCGGUAACCAUUCUUAGUUUUGUCCAAAAUUCAGCUCUGUCCUUACCUAUUACUCUAGUCCCUAAGUUCAGAAAUGGUAACAUAGAUAGGGAUCCAAGCUCUAAAUCUCAGGGUAGUGUCAACAGUGCUCAAAUGAAUCCUCUUUCUCAGAAAUAUGGAAGAAACCAUCAGGGUGUCUGCAGGGCUAGCAUGAUAUUUGUUUUGGGUAUGGCAAGCCAGGCCAAAGAGUUAGAGAUUAUCCUUAUUCAGGUUCACAGGGUCAGUAUAAUAGUCCUUCAGCUCAUUUCGAUCGCCCGAAUCAGCAAGGUUCAACUUCCAGUGUCACCAGUGGGCAGUGCCCAAAUAGGCUUUAUAUAUUUAACUCCAGACAAGAUCAGGAAAGUUCUCCUGAUGUGGUCACCGGUACAUUACAGAUAUUCCAUUUACAUAUUUAUGCCUUAUUAGAUCUAGGAGCUUCUUUGUCUUUUGUAACUCCUUAUAUAGCAGUUGACUUUAAGGUCAAACUAGAAGUUUUAAUAGAACCUUUAUCAGUAUCUACCUUAGUCAGGUAUACAAGAACUGUUCGGUUAUGAUAUCUUGGAAAUUCACUUCAACAAACUUAGUAGAAUUAGAGAUGACGGAUUACAACGUCAUUCUUAGCAUAGAUUGGCUCCAUUUAUGCUAUGUAUCAGUUGACUGUUAAAACAAAAUUGUUCAUUUUUUAGUUUCCAAAUGAGCUAGUCCUUGAAUGGAGGGGUAGUACAACAAUGCUUAAGGGUCAGUUGAUUUCAUACCUUAGAGUGAGAAAAAUAAUUUCCAAGGGAUGUGUUUAUCAUCUUGUGCAAGUCAAAGACUCUAGUUCAGAGACUCCUAUCCUUGAGUCAGUUUUGGUAGUAAAUGAAUUCUUAGAUAUGUUUCCCGAAGAUCUUCCUAGAGGUCCUCCCGAAAGGGAGAUUGACUUUGGAAUAAACCUUCUUCCAGAUACUCAACCUAUAUCUAUUCCACCAGAAUGGCUCCAGGAGAAAUCAAAGAGUUAAAAAAGCAGUUCAAAUAUCUCCUAGACAAGUGAUUCAUCAGACCAUGCAUUUCCCCAUAGGGCACACUAGUUCUAUUCGUACGUAAGAAAUAUGGUUCCCUCAGAAUGUGUAUAGACUACCAUCAGUUGAAAAAAGUCACAGUCAAGAAUAAAUAUCCACUUUCUGGAAUUGAUGACUUGUUUGACCAACUUUAGGGUGCUAGUUACUUUUUUAAGAUAAACCUCAGAUCAGGCUAUCAUCAGCUCAGAGUCAGAGAAUGUAACAUUCUGAAAAUAGCUUUCCAAACCUAGUAUAGUCACUUUUAGUUUCUAGUCAUGUCCUUUUGUCUUACUAAUGCCCUAGAAGCUUUUGUGGACUUAAUCAAUCGCGUGUUAUGGUAGUACUUGGACAUGUUCAUUAUAGUCUUCAUCGAUGACAUUCUUGUCUACUUUUAUUGAGAGAAUGAUCAUGCAGAUUACCUCAGAAUCGUACUUCAGACUCUGAGUUGUUCACCAAAUUUAGUAAGUGAAAAUUUUGGCUAAGGUCAGUAGCAUUCCUUGGUCAUAUUAUCUCUGGUGAUGGCAUUAGAUUUGAUCCUCAAAAGACUGAGGUAGUGAGAAAUUGUCCUAGAUCCAUUUCUCUAUUAGAUAUGAGGAGUUUCUUGGGUUUAGCUGGCUAUUACCAUAAAUUUUUUAAAGGGUUUUCGUCUAUUGCAUUCCCUAUAUCCAGAUUGACUUAGAAAAAAGUCAAAUUUUAUUGGUAAGAUGCUUGCGAGAAGAGUUUUUAGGAAUUGAAGACUCGACUUACCUCAGCAUAGUUUUGACUCUACCAGAUGGUUCAGAUGGGUUUGUUAUGUACUGUGAUGCAUCUAGAGUAGGUUUGGCUUGUAUCCUUAUACAGAGAGGUAAGGUCAUAGCCUAUGCCUCUAGACAGCUUAAGCCCUAUGAGAAGAAUUACCCAACUCAUGAUCUUGAGUUAGCAGCUGUAGUGUUUGCCUUAAAGAUUUGGAGGCAUUACUCGUAUGAAGUGCAUGUUGAUGUGUUCACAAAUCACAAAAGCUUGCAGUAUGUGUUAUCUCAGAAAGAUUUGAAUUUAUGUCGGAGAAUAUGGUUGGAAUUGCUAAAAUAUUAUGACAUGAGUGUUUUGUAUCAUCCGGGUAAGGCCAAUAUAGUGGCAGAUGCUCUCAGUAGGUUGUCUAUGGGUAGUGUUGCUCACGUUGAGAAUGAUAAGAAGAAGUUAGUUCAGGAAGUUCAUCAGCUUACUCGACUAGGUGUCCGCUUAGUCUAUUCAGCAGAGGAUAGUGUGUGGGUGCAAAAUAGUUCAGAAUUAUCUCCAGUUUCCAAAGUGAAGGAAAAGUAGGACAAAGAUCCUAGUCUUGUUAAGUUGAAAGAGUUAGUCAGAGACCAGAAAGUAGAGAUUUUCUCCCAAGGGGGAGAUGGUGUGUUACGUUGCUAAGGUUGGCUAUGUGUGCCAGGUGUAGUUUACUUGAGGCAAUGAAUUCUUGCAGAAGUGCACGGUGCAUGUUACUCAAUUAAUCUAGGGGCCACUAAGAUGUACCACGAUUUGCAGGAGAUCUAUUGGUGGAGUGGGAUGAAGAGGGAUAUCAUAGAGUUUAUAGCUAAGUGCUCUAUGUGUCAGCAGGUUAAGAUUGAGCACCAGAAGCCUAGUGGGUCCAUGUAGGAGUUCAGUAUUCCUAUAUAGAAAUGGGAAGAAGUGAACAUAGGCUUUGUGACGGGUUUGCCUCGUACUCAUCGUCAGCAUGAUUUUAUUUGGGUUAUUGUAGACAGGAUGAACAAAUCAGCUCACUUCUUACAAGUUCAUACCUCCUAUUUAGUCUAGGACUACGCUAAACUCUAUAUCAGAGAGUUGGUCAGGUUACACGGAGUCCCAGUGACUAUCAUCUCAGAUAGGGGUACCUAUUUUACCUCUUAUUUCUAAAAAGCAUUCCAAAAAGGUCUUGGUACCCAAGUUCACCUCAUUACAGCCUUCAACCCUCUGACAGAUGGUCAAGCAGAAAGGACCAUUCAAACUCUAUAAGAUAUGUUAAGAGCAUGCGUUGUUGAUUUUAAGGGUAGUUGGGAUGACCACUUGCCUUUGAUUGAGUUCGCAUAUAAUAAUAGUUAUCAUUCUAGUAUUCAGACGGCUCCGUUUGAGGCUCUUUAUGGUAGGAGAUGUAGAUGUCUAAUUGGUUGGUUCGACACAGGUGAGGCCAUAGUAGUAGGGCCUAAGUUAGUAGUUGAUGCCUUAGGGAAGGUUUAGUUGAUCAGAAAAGGCUUAGGGCUGCAUAGAGCCGACAGAAAUCAUAUGCAGAUGUGAGAAAAAAAUAUCUCAAUUUUGAGAUUGGUGACUUUGUGCUCUUGAAAAUCUCUCCCAUAAAGAGGGUGAAGAGGUUCGGCAAAAAUGGAAAGCUUAGUCCCCGAUAUGUCGAUCCUUAAAGAAUCCUCAGCCAUUUUGGAAAGGUAGCUUAUCAGAUUGAGUUCCUUUAGAUCUAGCUUCAGUACACCCAGUGUUUCACGUCUCCUUGCUAAUGAAAUGCAUUAGUGAACCAACAGUCAUAAUUCCCUUUGAGGACAUAGAUAUUCAGAAUGAUCUCUCUUUCAAAGAGGUUCCAGUCCAGAUCCUUGAUCGUCAGAUUUGCAGGCUGAGGAACAAAGAAGUUCCCUUAGUCAAAGUUCAUUGGUAGAGUCAGUCCGAUGAGGGAGCUACUUGGGAAGCAGAAGUAGAUAUGCGGAUCAAGUAUCCUCACCUCUUCUUUUCAAAUUCAGAUUCAGCUUAAGGUAAGAGUCUUCCUUAUAUUUGCUCAGUUCCAUGUUUAGUUACAGUCAUAAACUUUGUAUUCUUUACCAUUGCAUAUUGUCUUCAUGAUAGUCAUGCAUUUAUGAAUCAGUUCAGCCAUGUACUCAUGCAUUAGAUAUGCAUGUUCAGUAUGAAAACUCAACUUAUCAGUAGUUUUAGUCAUAUAUUUCAUGCAUCAAAUUUGCAUGUUCAGUGUGUGAACUAAGUCUAUUAGUGUUUCUCAGCUUAAUCAGUCUCAUUCGAGGACAAAUGUUCCCAAGGGGGAGAUAUUCUAAUAUCCCGUAUUUUCCUAGCUUAACGUAACUCUUAAUACAUGAGUUAUCCUAUAUAAAUUUUUCAAAAUACUCAGUAUUUUUCAGUUUAGAGCUUACCAUUGUGUAGGAAAUUCAGUCAGCUUUCCAACGAUAUAAAAUUUGUCCAAAUUCGAUACUCGGUGAAGAGUUAUAGCAUAUUUUGUAAAACAGUGUGCCAAUUUGUCAAUCAGCGUGUCACAGAGGCAGUCCAAUUGGUAAUUGUCAUUUUCUAGUGUUCCAUCGCGAUCCCACCAUGUCGCACUACUAGCUAUUUUCCCAAUUGUCACUUUUCUGUAUG
rnacentral:lncRNA from 1 species